rnacentral:lncRNA from 1 species
CAUAGUCAGAUUCUUCCAAACAUGCAUCAUGGUUCCGAAAUAUCAAAACUGCAUCCACCAUCCACUUCCUAAUGUAAAGCAGGCUUAACGAACAAACCAUCUUCCGAAUAUAAGGGAUCAUCGAUGAUCAACCUAAUUCAUCCUCCUAACGAGCUGGUUGAUGUAGUUCUCGUGGUUUCCAGCGUCACCACCCUCGACGUAGUGGUUCAUCUUCUUCUUGAGGCCUCCCAGCGGCGCCUUCAGCUUGAUUGGCCAGAGGAAGUUGUUGGCCUCCUGGAAGUGAGGGCACACGAUCAAGAUCUCAUGGACAAGGUCCCCAAUGCAGAUGAUGUUGUGCUUUCUAAGACCCUGACAAUUAGACAAACAAAAUGGUUGGAGUUACAAUAAUGCAAUCCACUGCUCACCUCCUUGAUGACCUUGUUAUUGGUCAAAGGAAUCCUUUACUUGUUGAGCCUUGCAUAACCUAUCUUCUAGAUCAAGCAGCGGCGAGCGUGUUUUUACAACUUUGUGUUGCUUUUGAUCCCAUGUGUAGGGUGUUCAUUGGACCGACUGAGCAAUCAACGAAUACACUGAUGCACGAGCUAUCCCAAAUGCACUAGAUACGAGGCCCUAGAUCAACUAACGCUCUUUAGUUUUGGCACCUACAAAGAUAAUGCUUCUAUUUGUUUAGCUACAAGNNNNNNNNNNNNNNNNNNNNNNNNNNNNNNNNNNNNNNNNNNNNNNNNNNNNNNNNNNNNNNNNNNNNNNNNNNNNNNNNNNNNNNNNNNNNNNNNNNNNNNNNNNNNNNNNNNNNNNNNNNNNNNNNNNNNNNNNNNNNNNNNNNNNNNNNNNNNNNNNNNNNNNNNNNNNNNNNNNNNNNNNNNNNNNNNNNNNNNNNNNNNNNNNNNNNNNNNNNNNNNNNNNNNNNNNNNNNNNNNNNNNNNNNNNNNNNNNNNNNNNNNNNNNNNNNNNNNNNNNNNNNNNNNNNNNNNNCAUUCAUGGCAUAUAACUUGUUGUAAAGAUUAGCUUAACAAAUGCAAGGGUUGAUUCAGAAAGAGUAUUAGUUUCAGACUACAGUACCCACAAAGUGUUAAACUUUCAGCCUCCAAAAAUGGAUAAAAAACAUAUCUAAUCAAAGUUGGAUAAUGAUAACAACAAUUCAAUCAUUAAAUAUUUAAGGCAUGUAUCAUGUACCAACACAAUAAAAAAUGUACACUUGUAACAUACCCAUAUGCAACAUAUGGCUCCACCUUGCGGAGCAUGAUGAUUGUGGCUUUGUUAGCCUUCAAGAACACUGUGAACUGAGCGUAGAUCUGAUGGUUAGAUUUCUUUCGUUCGGUGGAACCAGCCACCAGGGUUCAAGUCUUAGACUUGACAUUGGUGCUCGUCUUUCCUUGGAUUUAUUCCAGGCUUUCCAAUGAUGUUCGUUCAGUGGGAGUAGACAUUCUCGGCGACUAUGAGGCUCUUGUGGUGACUUCACUACUAGGGAAAAGCCUAUAGGUCGACAAGUAAUGGUAACGGGGGCAAAACACCAGCGCUGCAGGUGUCAACUAGUAGUAGUGCUUGCGCACCAAUCUGGCGCUGCUAGUAAGUUGGCUCCGGAAUGCCCCCAUGAGUUGGCAACAGUAGCAGCGUGGGUCUUCGGCACGCGCUAGUGCUAAGCCUGUUAGCAGUAGCGCUGGUUUCUAACAACCACUGCUAUUGUUGCCAGCCCAGGCCCAGCAGUAGCGUGGGUCCCCGGCCCCUCUUAGCAGCAGUGCGUGCCCAAAGCCCGUGCUAUAGGUAGUAGGCUUGGCCGUAGCUAGCGCUGACCUUGGGCCCGCGCUACUGCUAAACCAAGCCUAUUGUCUUCCUCCACGGACCCUUCCACUACCUCGCCCUCACUCUCCCUUCACACUCUCUUGCUCGCUUUCUCUCCUGCCACCAUCGUCGCCCGCAGCCGCCGCCGAGGUAUCUCCCUCCCUCCUCUCGUCGCCCUCCUCCCUUUCUCCUUCCUCCCUCCCUCCAUCCCGGCCUCCUCCCUCCCUCCUGCCUCCCUCCAUCCCGGCCUACUCCCUCCCUCCUCCCUUCCUCCCUCCUGCCUCCCUCCAUCCCUGCCUACUCCCUCUGUUCUUGUAGAAUGUAGGUUUUUUAAUGCUUUUUGAAAACAAUGGAGUGUAGAUUAUUUGAAUGGAAUAGAAUAUUUUCAGUAAAUGUAGGUCUUUUGAAUAGAGUGGAAAAUUUUCAAUAAAUAUAGGUCUUUUGAAUAGAAUAGAAAAUUAGGAAAUGUAGGUGUUUUGAAUAGAAUAGAAUAGUAAGUGUUGAAUAGAGUAUGAAAGGACAUGUGGUGCCCCCAUGUUUGGUUUUGGUAAUUGAUGACAAUCUCUAUGGACUAAUGUUGUCUUGAGUUGUAUUUGAAGGAUUUGUCCAUAGGUUUUUCUUGAAGUCCAUGUGUUGGUUUCAAGGAGUUUUUGAGUUGACCAAGGUGCUAUUAAGGAAUUAUCCAAAGAUUGGUCAUGCGAGUGUUGAGCUUAUUGCAAGCAUGUCUUGAAGAAGAAGGUUGUGUGAUCAUUCGUGUGUACCUUCAAGACAUCAUCCAAAUGAACAGAGUUGCAAAGAUUCAAGGUUGAUCAAGACUAAGUCAAGAGUGAAUCAAGUUGAUCAACUCACAAAGCGUAGAAGAUGUACCGAGAGGGAUCAAGUGAUCCCAUGGUAUGGUAAUGUGACGCCCCCGAUUUAAUCGUACACUAAUCAUGCACGCAAAUGUGUACGAUCAAGAUCAGGGACUCACGGGAAGAUAUCACAACACAACUCUACAAAUAAAAUAAGUCAUACAAGCAUCAUAAUACAAGCCAGGGACCUCGAGGGCUCGAAUACAAGUGCUUGAUCAUAGACGAGUCAGCGGAAGCAACAAUAUCUGAGUACAGACAUAAGUUAAACAGGGUGCCAUAAGAUGGCUAGCACAAACUGGGAUACAGAUCGAAAGAGGAGCAGGCCUCCUGCCUGGGAUCCUCCUAGGUCACUCCUGGUCGUCAUCAGCGGGCAACACGUAGUAGUAGGCACCUCCGGUGUAGUAGGGGUCGUCGUCGACGGUGGCGUCUGGCUCCUGGACUCCAGCAUCUGGUUGCGACAACCAGGUAGAAGGGAAAGGGGAAAAGAGGGAGAAAAGCAACCGUGAGUACUCAUCCAAAGUACUCGCAAGCAAGGAGCUACACUACAUAUGCAUGGGUAUAUGUGUAAGGAGGCCAUAUCGGUGGACUGAACUGCAGAAUGCCAGAAUAAGAGGGGGAUAGCUAAUCCUGUCGAAGACUACGCUUCUGGUAGCCUCCGUCUUGCAGCAUAUAGAAGAGAGUAGAUUGUAGUCCUCCAAGUAGCAUCUCCAAGUAGCAUAUCCAGGUAGCAACGCAUAGCAUAAUCCUACCCGGCAAUCCUCUCCUCGUCGCCCUGCGGAAAAGCGAUCACCGGGUUGUCUGUGGAACUUGGAAGGGUGUGUUUUAUUAAGUAUCCGGUUCUAGUUGUCAUAAGGUCAAGGUACAACUCCAAGUCGUCCUGUUACCGAAGAUCACGGCUAUUCGAAUAGAUUAACUUCCCUGCAGGGGUGCACCACAUAGCCCAACACGCUCGAUCCCAUUUGGCCGGACACACUUUCCUGGGUCAUGCCCGGCCUCGGAAGAUCAACACGUCGCAGCCCCACCUAGGCAAAACAGAGAGGCCAGCACGCCGGUCUAAACCUAAGCGCACAGGGGUCUGGGCCCAUCGCCCAUAGCACACCUGCACGUUGCGAGGGCGGCCGAAAGCAGACCUAGCCUAGUGGCGUUCCAGUCCAAUUCGGCGCGCGCCGCUCUGUCGCUGACGUCUGAAGUGCUUCGGCUGAUACCACGACGUCGGGAUACCCAUAACUACUCCCACGUAGAUGGUUAGUGCGUAUAGGCUCGUAGCCGACUCAGAUCAAAUACCAAGAUCUCGUUAAGCGUGUUAAGUAUCCGCGAACGCCGAACAGGGCCAGGCCCACCUGUCUCCUAGGUGGUCUCAACCUGCCCUGUCGCUCCGCCACAAAGUAACCGUCGGGGACCGUCGGGAACCCAGGCCCACCUCUACCGGGAUGGAACCACCUGCCCCUUCAGCCCCCAACUCCGAACAGUAUCACAGGUAAUGUAACAGUGUAAAGUAUAUAGUAUAUGCCCGUGAUCACCUCCCGAAGUGAUCACAGCCCAGUAGUAUAGCAUGGCAGACGGACAAGAGUGUAGGGUCACUGAUGGAACCUAGCAUCCUAUACUAAGCAUUUAGGAUUGCGGGUAAGGUAUCAAUGACUGUAGCAGCAAUGACAUGCUAUGCAUCAGAAUAGGAUUAACGGAAAGCAGUAACAUGCUACACUACUCUAAUGCAAGCAGUAUAGAGGAGAAUAGGCGAUAUCUGGUGAUCAAGGGGGGGGCUUGCCUGGUUGCUCAGACAAGGAGGGGUCGUCGAUGACGUAGUCGUACUCGGUGGCAUCAGCGUCGGUCUCGUAGUCUACCGGAGAGAAGAGGGGGAAGAAAUAAUGAAUACAGAGCAAACAAAGCAUCACAAAAUAUAACAAGGCAAUACGCGGUGUUCGGUGUGCCCUAUCGCGGUAGUAGGUGAUACCGGUGAAGGGGGGAAAACAUCCGGGAAAGUAUUCCCGGUGUUUCGUGUUUUCGGGCAGAGGAGCCGGAGGGGGAAAGUUGCGGGUUCGAUAGGUUAGAGGCGUGUGGCGGACGAACGGACUGCGUAUCCGGACUCGUCUCGUCGUUCUGAGCAACUUUCAUGUUGAAAACAUUUUAAUCCGAGUUACGGAUUAAAAGAUAUGAUUUUCUAAAGAUUUUAUUAAUUUCUGAAAUUUAAUUAUUUAUUUAAUUAAUUCGAAAAAAUGUAUUAAUGAUGUUAGCAUGAUGUCAUGCUGACGUCAGCAGUCAACAGAGUUGACUGGGUCAAAUUGACAUGUGGGUCCAGUGGGACCCACCUGUCAUACAUUGCUUAGGUUAAUUAGGUCUUAGUUAAACUAAUUACUAUUUAAUUAAACUAACUAGUUAAUUAGAUUAAUUAAGCAUGAUUAAUUAAUUAAUUAAUUAAUUAAUUAAUUAAUUAUUUUUACUAUUAUUAUAUUUUUUUUAAUUCUUUUUUUUUAAAAAAAGUUCUGGGGAUGGGGCCCCCUUGUCAUAGGCCCCUGGGGGCUUAACGGGCGCGGGCGAGGCUGGAACGGGGCUCCAGCGGGCGCGGCCAUUGUGGCGUCGGCCGCGGUAGGUGGAGCGAGGGGGAGCCGGCAGCGAACGGCGCUGGCGAAGGGCGGCGCCGUCGGAGAGUGGUGGCGUCGGUCGAUGGAGGCUGCGGCUCCAGCGACAGGGGCAUUCCAUGGCACGCGUGGGAGGGCGAGGUAGGGCGCGGGCCAGCGGUGGACGGCGCCAGGCGAAGGAAGAAGAGGCCGGUGGCCACGGCGUGUCCAUGGCCGGAGCGGGAUGCGGGCAGAGCGCACGGGCGUUGGCGCCCAGCCCGAGCCGGCGUACGCCCAGAUCGAAGGUGGAAGCCGCCGGCCACAGGCAAGCGCGGAGCAGGGGGACGCGGGAGCGAGGCGGGCGCGCAGACACGCGCGGGCGGCGAGCGCGUGCGCGCAGGGGCCAAGCAUGGCCUCGGCACGACCCGGUCGCGUCGAGCGCUGGUCAGGGGAGGGAGUGGCUGCAGGCAGCGGGNNNNNNNNNNNNNNNNNNNNNNNNNNNNNNNNNNNNNNNNNNNNNNNNNNNNNNNNNNNNNNNNNNNNNNNNNNNNNNNNNNNNNNNNNNNNNNNNNNNNNNNNNNNNNNNNNNNNNNNNNNNNNNNNNNNNNNNNNNNNNNNNNNNNNNNNNNNNNNNNNNNNNNNNNNNNNNNNNNNNNNNNNNNNNNNNNNNNNNNNNNNNNNNNNNNNNNNNNNNNNNNNNNNNNNNNNNNNNNNNNNNNNNNNNNNNNNNNNNNNNNNNNNNNNNNNNNNNNNNNNNNNNNNNNNNNNNNNNNNNNNNNNNNNNNNNNNNNNNNNNNNNNNNNNNNNNNNNNNNNNNNNNNNNNNNNNNNNNNNNNNNNNNNNNNNNNNNNNNNNNNNNNNNNNNNNNNNNNNNNNNNNNNNNNNNNNNNNNNNNNNNNNNNNNNNNNNNNNNNNNNNNNNNNNNNNNNNNNNNNNNNNNNNNNNNNNNNNNNNNNNNNNNNNNNNNNNNNNNNNNNNNNNNNNNNNNNNNNNNNNNNNNNNNNNNNNNNNNNNNNNNNNNNNNNNNNNNNNNNNNNNNNNNNNNNNNNNNNNNNNNNNNNNNNNNNNNNNNNNNNNNNNNNNNNNNNNNNNNNNNNNNNNNNNNNNNNNNNNNNNNNNNNNNNNNNNNNNNNNNNNNNNNNNNNNNNNNNNNNNNNNNNNNNNNNNNNNNNNNNNNNNNNNNNNNNNNNNNNNNNNNNNNNNNNNNNNNNNNNNNNNNNNNNNNNNNNNNNNNNNNNNNNNNNNNNNNNNNNNNNNNNNNNNNNNNNNNNNNNNNNNNNNNNNNNNNNNNNNNNNNNNNNNNNNNNNNNNNNNNNNNNNNNNNNNNNNNNNNNNNNNNNNNNNNNNNNNNNNNNNNNNNNNNNNNNNNNNNNNNNNNNNNNNNNNNNNNNNNNNNNNNNNNNNNNNNNNNNNNNNNNNNNNNNNNNNNNNNNNNNNNNNNNNNNNNNNNNNNNNNNNNNNNNNNNNNNNNNNNNNNNNNNNNNNNNNNNNNNNNNNNNNNNNNNNNNNNNNNNNNNNNNNNNNNNNNNNNNNNNNNNNNNNNNNNNNNNNNNNNNNNNNNNNNNNNNNNNNNNNNNNNNNNNNNNNNNNNNNNNNNNNNNNGGCCCGUUCGGGCGGCGAAGGCCAGCUGGGCCACUUGGCCCAGCGGGGGGGGGGGCUUUCUCUUUUUUUUUGUGUGUUUGUUUUCUGUUUUUUCCUGUUCUUUUUUAUUUAUUUUCUUUUCUGUUUUAUUUUAUUCCUCAUUGUAAUUUAGUUUUGUGAAGUACAAAAUGAUCCCUAAAUUGGUAAUAGGAAUUAUACCACUCCCACAAUUAACUUGGCACCUAAAUAUAUUAGUUUGUAAUUGUUUAUCAUUUUAAAGCAUUUAAAUAAUCAUUUUUGCUACUGUUUUAGUUUAUUUAGUGCAUUUAGGUAUUUUAUUAAGAGAUGAUUUCUUCACCAGCAUUUUUUAUGGAUUAUUAGACACAUUAGGGACAAUUUAGUUUUGACUUUUGAAAACUUUAAUUGUUUUGACUUUAAUUCAAAUUUGAAUUUGGUUCGGUUCCGAGCAAACACGAGAUUAUCAACAAUAAUCGAGGUGACGUGGCAUCAUUACCAGAGGGUUACUGUAGCUUAAUUUCCCGGGCGUCACAGGUAAGCAUUGUCCAUUACACUUCAUGUACUAACCCAUGGUCUAUGUGAGAGUUGUAUGUGGGGUUAGGUGCGUAUCCAUGGGCUUGCGUCAAGAGGAAGAUAUCAUACAACCCAUGGAAAGGAUGACAUCAAGUGGUGAUCGUCAUCAAGAUUUCCGUGUGCAAGUUCAAGUGGAGCAUCACAAAGAGAUCAAGUGCUUGAAUCUUGCCAUCCAUUGUGGUGUCAAUGGACUUGUGAAGAUGUGCCGAAGAGUGGCUCACCCAUAGUGAACUAUGGGGGAGCAAUCAUCUAGUCUUCAUCCAGCCAACGCAAUCAAGAAAGGUGGUCCAACUUGAGGGAGUCAAGAUCGUCUUCAUCUAGCUCAAGUGGACCAUGUGCAAGGCAAAGGUUUUCCCUUGAUAGGUUUUCUAUUUUACCGGUCUUGUGGUGGUAGUUGGGAGACCGAGUUAUAGGAUAGUUUUCCGUACUAUCAAGGGGGCUCUCAAGUUGGUAGCUUGAUCGUAUCGUUAGUAGAGAGCUCAAACUAUUGCAUCCUUGCAUCAUGUUUCUUGGUUCUUGUUUGGUUAUAUUUGUGAGUCUUAGAGCUUAUGGUCAUCUUGAUGAAAAGCUUGAAUUCAUCGAAAACGGAGUUCGCAUGCGUCUUCUAUGAUGUUUUCGGUGUUGGAGGUUUUACCGGUCUUAUCCGAUGAACGGUUCUCACCAUUUUCUUAUGGGACUUUUCUCAUUUGCUUAUUCUUGAUAUUUCUAUCAAUAUUGUGUUAGCCCAUGUCGUUAGCUUUCCAACAAACUUGGUUUUGUUGAAUUCGAAGUCCAUUUGCAAAAGUUGUGGCUGUUUUGGUAAAGGCUGAAGUGGUACUACCGCAACUAGAGCGGAUGUAAUUUUUUACUACCGCUCCAGAGCGGUACUACCGCUGCUCCUGAGCGGUAGUACCGCUCCAGAGUAGUACUACCGUGGCUCCUAAGCGGUAGUACCGCCCCGGACCAAAAUCUCGUGCUUUCUCUCUCGUUUGGGCUGUUUUGGCCGUGCUAAGCAGUAGUACCGCUCCUCCAAGCGGUAGUACCGCUUGUGCACGACCUGAGCACAUAACGGUUGGAUUCGGGAGGUCCUAUAAAAGGGGGUCUUCUUCCCCAAUGAACCUAAUCCUUUGAGCUCGUGUUCUUCCCCCAUUGUUGACCUUCUUCGAGCUUGCUAACUCUCAAUCCCUCCAUGGAUUCUUGCUAGUUUUUGAGGGAAAAGAGAGAGGAGAUCUAGAUCCACAUUUCCACCAAUCACUUUCUCCUCUAUGUGAGGGGAACCCCUUGGAUCUAGUUCUUGGAGUUCUUGGUGUUCUCCUUCUUGUUCUUCCUCUCAUUUUCCUCCCUAGCAUUAGUUGCUUCGGUGGGAUUUGAGAGAGAAGGACUUGGGCACUCCGUGUGCCCUUGCCAUUGCAUUUGGUGCAUCGGUUUGAGUUCUCCACGGUGAUACAUGGAAGUUACAAGUUGAGAAGCUUAUUACUCUUGGGUGCUUGGUACCCUUGAGCUUGUUCCUCUUGGGUGCUUGGGCGCCCUAGACGGUUGGUGGUGUUCGGAGCUCAAUCAUUGUGGUGUAAAGCUCCGGGAAAGCGUCGGGGUCUCCAAUUAGGUUGUGGAGAUCGCCCCAAGCAAUUUGACGGGUACCGGUGACCGCCCCCAAGGGUUGCCAAAGUGUACGGGUUCGGUGACCGCCCCCAAGGGUUGCCAUUUGUACGGGUUCGGUGACCGCCCUCAAGGGUCCCUUAGUGGAAUCACGACAUCUUGCAUUGUGCAAGGGCGUGAGGAGAUUACGGUGGCCCUAGUGGCUUCUUGGGGAGCAUUGUGCCUCCACACCUCUCCAAACGGAGAUUAGCAUCCGCAAGGGUGUGAACUUCGGGAUACAUCAUCGUCUCUGCGUGCCUCGGUUAUCUCUUACCCGAGCCCCUUUACUUAUGCACUUUACUUUGUGAUAGCCAUAUUGUUCUUUGUCAUAUAUCUUGCUAUCACAUAGUUGCUUAUCUUGCUUAGCAUAAGUUGUUGGUGCACAUAGGUGAGCCUAGUUGUUGUAGGUUUUGUGUUUGACAAAUUAACCGUUAGGUUUAUUCCGCAUUUGUUCAAGCCUAAACUGUAAUUAUUUUAAAGCGCCUAUUCACCCCCCCCCCUCUAGGCGACAUCCUCGAUCUUUCAAUUGGUAUCAGAGCCUCGUCUCUCUUUGUUGGGCUUAACCGCCUAGAAAGUAAAGAUGUCGACUAGAGGAUUAGGAUUCUCUGACACUCUUAGUUUCAAUGGCACAAAUUUUGAUGUUUGGGUAAUUCGCAUGCUUAAUCUCUUUAGGGUCAUGGACCCAAAUUUAGAGCGAAUUGUAGAUAUGGGUUUUUCUCCUCCAAAGGAUCCCCAAAGAUUAUAUUUAGAGGAUGAGAAAAACUCUUAUCUCAAUGCUCAAGCCUCUAAUGUGCUUUUCGAUGCUUUGAGCAAUGUAGUUAUAUUUCAACUCCUGCCGUUCCGGGAUGCUCAUGAGUUUUGGACAAAGCUUCAAGAUAAAUAUGGUGUGUCCAAGAUUUGUGGGGAUGGUUGUUCUCCGUCCACCUCCAGUCAUAUAGUCUUCUCAACUUCUUCUACUUCACCUACAUGUGGUUUGCCACAAGGUAAUGAUAUGGUGAGUAGUGUUGGUCAUUGCAAUGAUGAUAGUAUGCUUAUUGUGGAUGAUCCUUCAUCACUAUAUUAUUGCAAUGCUCCUUCUUUGGGCUUUAACACUUCGAGCACUCCAAAUGUUUCACAUGUUUGUGUUGAUAGUCCUUGCAUAUCAUGUAGAAAUUGCUUGACUAAAUAUCAUGAUGAUAUGCUUGCUAUGUUUUGUUGACAUGAUAAAAAUGCAUCUAUUUCCUCGAAUUGUUGUGCUAACAAUGUAGAGGAAACCGAACACUCCAUGGAACAAGAUGUGGUGUUUAAUGGUGCCUCAAGGGAUCCUACAUCAUCAUCUAUUGCGUUUUGCCUUAUGGCUAAGGCGUCAAAGGUAUCUCCUACUUUGUACCCCAAUAUGUCUCUUGAUGAUGAUGUUGAUGCUAAUGAUGAUGAGGAUAAUGAUGAAGAGAAUGAUAAUGUUGCCUCCUUAAAAAUUAAGGGGGAAAUGGUUUUUAAAGCUCUUCAUAAAAAUAAAAUUGCUCGUUCCAACUUCAUGGAAAUUAUGUCCAUUGCUAUUGAGAGCAAGAAAUAUAUUAAAUAUAUUGAUGAGUUGGAAUCUCGUCUUGAGGAGCAUGAGGUCACCAUUGAUAAAAUGGAAGGUCAUGGGCGUGAUUACGCUAAUGAGAUUGCGGACCUUUCUCAAGCUCUUGAACUUGAACAAACCACCAAGGAAUCUCUUGAGGAGACUUUUGCUCUAGAAUUGUCUAGAGUGAAGGAAUCUACUGAUAGAGCUCUUGAGGUGGCCAAUGUUUUUGAAACUAAAAAUGCUAAGCUUGAAGUUGCUCAUGCUAGACUCCUUGAGGAUUUUGAGCACCUCGAAAAUGGCUCAAGGGUCAUCAAGGGUGAGCUCAUCAAACUCACCGAGUCUCAUGCUCAACUUGAAGAUUCUUAUUUAAAAGAGCUUGCCAAGUUGCCUUCUCCUCUUGUUGUUAAUUAUGAUGCUUGUGCUACUAAUUCUAUUACUUGUGAAGCAUCUAUUUUGAAGGAGAAUGUUGAGCUACGGGCUCAACUUGAGUUUCUAUCUAGCAAUUAUGGGAAAUUGGAAGAAAUCCAUGAAAAACUCUCAAGCUCUCUUGACGAUCUUCUAGUAUCCCAUAAUGUGCUAAAGAUAGCUCAUGAGGCCAUGAUUGCUAAGGUAACAUCUAGUGAGCCUCAUUGAUACUAGCACCACUUCUAAUCAAAAUACUAUAUUGCCAUGUGCUAGUCCUUGUAAUUCAUCUACUCACAAUGUUGGUACAUCUUGUGAUGAAUUGCUUUCCUUGCCUUGUUGCUCUAACGAUGAAGCUUAUACUUCCUCUAGUACUUGUGUUGAGACUAACCAUGUAGAGGAAAUCAAAGAGCUCAAGGCCCAAGUCACUUCUUUGAAGAAAGACUUGGAAAAGAGUCAUGAAGGGAAAUCCACACUCAACAAUAUCUUGAGUGUGCAAAAAUCCCCCAAUGACAAAGGUGGACUUGGAUUCAACUCCAAGAAGAAGAAGAAGUUCAAGAGCAACAAGAAGAAGGGCCAAAAACAAGUCAAGAAUUCGGCCAAGAUUAUUUGCUUCAAGUGCAAAAUUGAAGGGCAUCAUGUCAGAUAUUGCCCAUUGAAGAAGAAUGCCAUUGGUAACAAGCAACAAGGGAAGAGGCCACAAGUUCAAUCUCAUGCUCAACCUCAAGUUGAAGAAAGGCCACUUCCCAAGAAGACUCAAGUUAAUGCCUCUCUUGUUGAGAAAUCAAGUGAGAAGAAACUGAAGAGUAGACGUUGCUACUUAUGUCGUGAGAAAGGUCACCUCGCUUCUUCAUGCACUAGUGGUAACUUAUCCAACCCAAUUAUUAUUGAUGAUAUCUAUGCUCUUGGGAAGGAUAAGGUUGGCAAUGUGUUUGCCAAGUUUGUUGGUACUCAAAGUGGUGUCAAGAAAAGAACCAUUUGGGUUGCCAAGCCUAUUGUGACUAACCUCUUAGGACCCAACUUGGUUGGGGACCAACAAGCUCAAACUUGAUCAAUAGGUGUUGUUGGAGGGCAUUGGAGACUUGGCUACAUUAUGAAGAAUUAAGGGGACUUAAUCACUCUUAUUGUCUCAAGCCAAGUCAAUUGAAUCAUCAAGUUUAUAUCUUAUAUCCAAUGUGCCUCCUUGCGGUAACUUGUACUUAAAAUUUCUUACAUUGAAAGUUACUUGCCCCCUUGCAUGUUUUGGUUUUGUUCCAUGCAUGUGUUUGUAUAUGUUGUGAUUCCAACUUGCUUAUCUUGAGCAAUCAAGUAUGUGUGUGUUGGUUUGCACACCAUGUACGUGUGUGUCGUGCGUUGAGCCUUUAUGCUUAUUGUUUGUAUCCUAGUUGGCUCGUGUGAGAGAUUAAUGGAACAUCACAUUUUGGGGGAGUGAUGUGCUUUGUGCACCUCACAAUCCUAUAAAUGUGUGUACAUGAGGAAUACCAUCUAGUAUUGACAUUACAAGAUUAUCUAGUCGCUAGGUGGUAUAUCUCUCAUGAGAAAUUCAAAUUCUAAAUAGUCCAUUAAUUAUCUCUUGUUUUUUCCUCUUAUUGCCUCUUGUUAAGUUCUUAUUGGUAUCACAUUAUGGGGGAGUAAUAUGCUAAGUGCAUAUUACAAGCCUAGAAAAUGUGUACAUUUGAGAUAUUGUCACCUAGAAUUGAUAUUGUAGAUUAUCUUGUUCCUAGGUGGCAUGUUAGCUCUACAAGUUGCAUUUUUGCUUGUGUUUGUUGUGAAGAUGAUGUUGGAUGUCCUUGUUAUCUACCACCGGGAAUUAUUUCCAAAUACUUCUUGUCUUUUGACAAUUGGUAGUCACUUAUGGGUGGUAGAAUUUGUUUAUCAUCUUUACUUUGGCUUUUGUUUUUAUUUGCCUUUUCUAUUGCCAAGGUUUGUGUCAACUCCCGGUGUCUUCCCUACCACUUGUGGAUCUUGUUUAUUUCUUGUUCUUGUCUAGUGUUUUCUAGAUAUAGUGAAAGUAGUGAUCCCACCUUGUGAAUUUUGUAUUCAAAUGCAAAUCCUAUAUAAUACACAACUUGUGGGGGAGCUAUCCUAUUUUCUUUAGAACACUCUUCUUGUGAUCCUUAUCAAGUGUGUUUUGGUGGAAGGCAAGCCAUUUCUUUUUGGUACUUUGUGCCAUCAUGAAACUUUGUUGAGAGCUUGGUUUGUUUGGAACCAUCCUCUCUUUGGGAGUUUGACAUCUUUAGUUUAGUGUGUAUCAAUGGAUAUCUCAUUCCUUGAUGUAUCUUUAAUGAUAUCUUCCAAGUGAUGAUUUCUCCAUUUGGUAUCCUUUUCACUUGGCAUUUCUUUCUCUUUAGGUUUCAGGUUUUGAAAGUCUUGAGCAUGCAUGUUUACUUCAUGUAUUUUAUUUGGCAUGCUUUCUUUCUUUGACUCAAUACAUAGGGGGAUCUUCACCAAGUCUCAAAUCGGAUGAGAUGUGUAUGAAAUUCAUUUUCAUAUCUAUAUGCACAUAUUUAUGUGGAGUUUGUCCUAUGUAUUGGUUUUUCUAACUAUUUGGUCCCAAUGAGUUUGAGUAUCGUUUAGUUUGUGUUGUUCUUCUAGGAACAUUUGGAGAUGCAUUGGAUGCUCGGCUCACUCACAAGGAAGGUGUUGUGACCAUGUGCAUAUUGGAGUCAAGCUAGGAUGAUCAAUGAACUACUAUCUACCUUCAAUUGGUAUCUACUACAUCCUUCCAAUGAUAUCUCGGUAACAAUUAUCUAUUCAUGCUUUCUCCUCUUGCAUUCAACCUUGUGUAGGUUGCAUCUUGGCAUGAUAUUCAUCUCAUAUCUUGUGAUACUUGUUUCCUUUCUCAAAGCAUCCCAACAAUGAUCUCUUGUUGCUAGUUGUGAUGCCUUUGAUGGAUGUGUGUUUGGACUUCAUUUAUAUACAAUAAGACCAUAUCUAGCCAAGUGCUAUGCUUUCAAGCAAAUAUCUUAUUGGUAUAUUUAUGACUUCCUUGUGGAUAUCUUGUUCCUUCGUGUUGUAACUAUUUCGGGUGUACAUCCUUCUUUGUAGAUAUAUCGUCUACAUAGAACCUUAUACACUUGAGAGAAAUUACAUCUCUAGUUGAUAUCUUUUCAUUCACGUCCACCUUGUCUUUCUUAUGUUAUUUCUUUGGUGGCUCCGUGAAAGCUUUUGCCUUGAGUGCGUGUCCUCUAUCGUUGCAUCUUGUUGCACUCUUGUGUGGUGAAGAUUAUUUUCCUCUUGCUUAUCUUUACGAGGUUUUUGCCAUCUUAAUUGGUAUCCCUCGUCUUGAUGAGCCUCCCCUCGUCUAUCUUCACCACGGGUUGUCACAAGCAUAGGUUCUCUUUUGCUUAUUAGUAAGCUUGUAAACCCAUUUGCCAGUUGUGUGUGGGAAUGAUAGGCCUUGCACCGUGUGCCUCAUUCUUUCAAGACUAUGUUGAUGCUUAAUGCUCAUCCUAAUCUUAGUCUUCUCAAGUGCUUCGCCAUGACUCACACACAUCAUUUUGGUUGAGCCUAUUCUUAAGUUGCCUCUUUUACAUGUUGCUCAACCAUGUGCUUGUUGCAAGCGCUAGGCUUUGUUUCCUAUAUGCGCACUUGCACUGGAUGUGAGUUUCUAUUGAUUUUGGGGGAGCUAUGAUCCUAUUUUGUGCAAUUUGUAUUCAAAUACAAAAAUUCUUAUGUGUGCACAAAUCAUGGGGAGCUUCUCUAGUUUCUUUAGAACACUCCUUUGCGCUUUUCAUAAUAUCUUUAUUCUUGUGGCAUGUAGGAUCAUUGGUCUAGUUGGUUCAAUUGAUAUCCGUUGAUUGCUUGCUUCAAUUGGUAUCUUCUGAUUGCUUGUGUCUCUCUUUGUUAUGACUUUGUGGCAUAUCUUUCUAUUGCAAUCUUUGGGCAUCAAUAUAGUUUGUCUUCCUCCAAGUAUUGGCAGUUGGAUAUGUGUAUUGCAUUCCACUCUCUUGUUGAGAAAUACACAAUUUAUGGAGAACCACAAUUUAUAUUGGCCUUCUAAGAGUUUCGCCCAUUUUGUUAAUCGAUGCCAUUGGGGGAGAAGUUUCAGAGAGUUUUGUGGAGUAGCUUUGGUUUUUAUUUCCUUAGCAUUUGCAUCUCAUAUGCAUGCAUUAUUGGUUGGUGCAUUGAAUGGUGAUGCAUAAUUCCUUGUAUAAACUCUCUUGAAAGUGAUUGUCAUCAAUUACCAAAAUGGGGGAGAUUGAAAGGACAUGUGGUGCCCCCAUGUUUGGUUUUGGUAAUUGAUGACAAUCUCUAUGGACUAAUGGUUGUCUUGAGUUGUAUUUGAAGGAUUUGUCCAUAGGUUUUUCUUGAAGUCCAUGUGUUGGUUUCAAGGAGUUUUUGAGUUGACCAAGGUGCUAUUAAGGAAUUAUCCAAAGAUUGGUCAUGCGAGUGUUGAGCUUAUUGCAAGCAUGUCUUGAAGAAGAAGGUUGUGUGAUCAUUCAUGUUUACCUUCAAGACAUCAUCCAAAUGAAGAGAGUUGCAAAGAUUCAAGGUUGAUCAAGACUAAGUCAAGAGUGAAUCAAGUUGAUCAACUCACAAAGCGUAGAAGAUGUACCGAGAGGGAUCAAGUGAUCCCAUGGUAUGGUAAGCAUUGUCCAUUACACUUCAUGAACUAACCCAUGGUCUAUGUGAGAGUUGUAUGUGGGGUUAGGUACGUAUCCAUGGGCUUGCGUCAAGAGGAAGAUAUCAUACAACCCAUGGAAAGGAUGACAUCAAGUGGUGAUCAUCAUCAAGAUUGCCGUGUGCAAGUUCAAGUGGAGCAUCACAAAGAGAUCAAGUGCUUGAAUCUUGCCAUCCAUUGUGGUGUCAAUGGACUUGUGAGGAUGUGCCGAAGAGUGGCUCACCCAUAGUGAACUAUGGGGGAGCAAUCAUCUAGUCUUCAUCGAGCCAACGCAAUCAAGAAAGGUGGUCCAACUUGAGGGAGUCAAGAUUGUCUUCAUCUAGCUCAAGUGGACCAUGUGCAAGGAAAAGGUUUUCCCUUGAUAGGUUUUCUAUUUUACCGGUCUUGUGGUGGUAGUCCGGAGACCGAGUUAUAGGAUCGUUUUCCGUACUAUCAAGGGGGCUCUCAAGUUGGUAGCUUGAUCGUAUCGUUAGUAGAGAGCUCAAACUAUUGCAUCCAUGCAUCAUGUUUCUUGGUUCUUGUUUGGUUAUCUUUGUGAGUCUUAGAGCUUAUGGUCAUGUUGAUGACAAGCUUGAGUUCAUCGAAAACGGAGUUCGCAUGCGUCUUCUAUGAUGUUUUCGGUGUUGGAGGUUUUACCGGUCUUAUCCGAUGAAGGGUUCUCACCAUUUUCUUAUGGGACUUUUCUCAUUUUAUUAUUCUUGAUAUUUCUAUCAAUAUUGUGUUAGCCCAUGUCGUUAGCUUUCCAACAAACUUGGUUUCGUUGAAUUCGGAGUCCGUUUGCAAAAGUUGUGGUUGUUUUGGUAAAGGCUGCAGCGGUACUACCGCGACUAGAGCGGAUGUAAUUUUUUACUACCGCUGCUCCUGAGCGGUAGUACCGCUCCAGAGCAGUACUAUCGUGGCUCCUAAGCGGUAGUACCGCCCCGGACCAAAAUCUCGUGUUUUCUCUCUCGUUUGGGCUGUUUUGGCCGUGCUAAGCGGUAGUACCGCUCCUCCAAGCGGUAGUACCGCUUGUGCACGACCUGAGCACAUAACGGUUGGAUUCGGGAGGUCCUAUAAAAGGGGGUCUUCUUCCCCAAUGAACCUAAUCCUUUGAGCUCGUGUUCUUCCCCCAUUGUUGACCUUCUUCGAGCUUGCUAACUCUCAAUCCCUCCAUGGAUUCUUACUAGUUUUUGAGGGAAAAGAGAGAGGAGAUCUAGAUCCACAUUUCCACCAAUCACUUUCUCCUCUAUGUGAGGGGAACCCCUUGGAUCUAGUUCUUGGAGUUCUUGGUGUUCUCCUUCUUGUUCUUCCUCUCAUUUUCCUCCCUAGCAUUAGUUGCUUCGGUGGGAUUUGAGAGAGAAGGACUUGGGCACUCCGUGUGCCCUUGCCAUUGCAUUUGGUGCAUCGGUUUGAGUUCUCCACGGUGAUACGUGGAAGUUACAAGUUGAGAAGCUUAUUACUCUUGGGUGCUUGGUACCCUUGAGCUUGUUCCUCUUGGGUGCUUGGGCGCCCUAGACGGUUGGUGGUGUUCGGAGCUCAAUCAUUGUGGUGUAAAGCUCCGGGCAAGCGUCGGGGUCUCCAAUUACGUUGUGGAGAUCGCCCCGAGCAAUUUGACGGGUACCGGUGACCGCCCCCAAGGGUUGCCAAAGUGUACGGGUUCGGUGACCGCCCCUAAGGGUUGCCAUUUGUAUGGGUUCGGUGACCGCCCUCAAGGGUCCCUUAGUGGAAUCAUGUCAUCUUGCAUUGUGCGAGGCCGUGAGGAGAUUACGGUGGCCCUAGUGGCUUCUUGGGGAGCAUUGUGCCUCCACACCGCUCCAAAGGGAGAUUAGCAUCCGCAAGGGUGUGAACUUCGGGAUACAUCAUCGUCUCCGCGUGCCUCGGUUAUCUCUUACCCGAGCCCCUUUACUUAUGCACUUUACUUUGUGAUAGCCAUAUUGUUCUUUGUCAUAUAUCUUGCUAUCACAUAGUUGCUUAUCUUGCUUAGCAUAAGUUGUUGGUGCACAUAGGUGAGCCUAGUUGUUGUAGGUUUUGUGUUUGACAAAUUAACCGUUAGGUUUAUUCCGCAUUUGUUCAAGCCUAAACUGUAAUUAUUUUAAAGCGCCUAUUCACCCCCACCCCUCUCUAGGCGACAUCCUCGAUCUUUCAGAGUAGAAAAUUAGAAAAUGUUCAGUAAAUGUAGGUCGUUUGAACCAAAUACCUUUAAGUAUUUUAGGUAUCAGAUAAAAUAUAAAAAUGUUGUUGCCAAUUAUAUUGCGAAAAGCAAUGAGAACCAAGUUUGAACAUUUCUAUAUAAAUGCUCAUCUGUGAAUGUUCAUGUGUGGCGCAGGGUAGAUCACGGACGAGCCGGUUAACGACGCCCAAAAGUUCACCAACGACACCCGCGCAUUGUCAACAGCCAUCGUCUAUAGUGAUUAAAUAUGGUCUAUGUGGUUGCUUAAAUACGAAAAUGAAGGAUAUGUGCUUGCCCUAGUGGCCUAUAUUUGCACGGAAGACCUCCGAGUGGGCCAUGUUUUGCCAGAGUUUUGAUUCAUUUUCACUCUAGCAAAUUCAUGCGCUCGAUAUGUCUUAUUUUAGCAAAGGUCAUGCCGGAAUUUUCCGUGAAUUUUAGCAUAACUUGUGCUAUAAUGUAGAAAAUAUUGAGUAUCCUGAAUUUGCUGGAAAGAGAACUAAAUGACAUUUCGGGUUGUCUUUAAGUAUGUCGGGGUUCCAUACAGGACGAACAAAAGAUCAAUGAGGCAGUGUCCAUCAUAUACUAUCGAAAUAUCAGAGAGGAAGAAUCCCGGCAGUUGUCGUAGGGGUUGUUCCUCUCCUUCUUCUCGUGAUAUACCUUGGUAAUGCAUGAGAGAAGGAGGGGAAGCGACCUUCGCCGACGGUUGAAAUAACUGUGUGGGAGUGUCCACCAUAUGCUGUCGAAAUAUCAGAGAGGAAGAAUCUAGAAUGUUAGCAUGGGGGUCGCUUCUCCUUCGUUCCCGUGUGCACAUUUUGGUGUAAUGCACUCGCGGAACGAAGGGAGGAGCGGCCAUCACCGAUGGUCGAAUAUACUAGAGAGGUAGUGCCCACCAUAUGCACCAUGUGAGAUGAGAGUUUUCAAGGAAGACUCAACAGACGAAAAGUCAACCCGUGUUGAAUACUGAUCAAUGUGUUGAGUUUCUGGUAAUAGAUGACAAUUUAUAAUCUCUGAAUCAUGAACACAGGAAAUGUUUGACAAUGAUAGGAUCCCCGAGUGCGAAUAUUUAGCGAAGACCGGGGUAUGUGCAACACGCAUCACUUGGAAAAUGGUAGAUUCUUCACCAUCAAGCUGGACGAGACCUUCGAUGUUUUUAAGGUACGUAACGAUGACAAGUGUGUUUUUUCAUAAUUAAGCAUGACCUGUUCUUAUUUGCUUCAACAUGUAAUUUCUGUUUUUUUUAAUUCAACUAGUCCAUCCCGUGCCAUGCAAGACUGUUUGUCUUGGAUAAGCUUGAUUUCCAAGAUAGUGAUAAUAUGGAGACGAAGAUAGCUCAUCUUAGGACUCAACAUGGUUACACUUUUGUGGUUAAGGUCUACAAUACAGUUAAUCACACACAUUUUCGUUGUUCAAAUUGGAGAGCUCUAUGCAAGGCCUAUGAAUUUCAGGAGGACAUGCAAAUAACCUUCUAUAUUCGUCCUGAAGAUGAUGUUGAUAAUAAUAUCGACAUUUGGGUGAAUGUAGAUAUGCUUCCAGUUAUACAUAUAUGUGAAUUUUCCAAAUAAAUUUAUUAUGUAAUUUAUAUUAUUUAUUUAAAAAUAGUUAAUGGCUUAUUUCCAUUCUUUAAGAAAUGUAUGGAAGGUAGUAGAAAAAACCUACUACACUGAUGGCUCUGAACUAACUUGCGAGGAGAAAAAUCAUCUUGUCUCAUUUAUUACUAAUGUUGAGACUUUCAAUAACAAUUAUGAAACUCCCCCACAUUAUGGUUAAUACGUGCCACUAGUCCACGUGUUCAACUAUGGUAACAUCCAUGGAAAUAGCAUGGUAAGAUUUUUUACUAUGAUGACACCAGUGCAUCUUUUGCAUACAUUCUUCUAAAGCUAAAGUACAUUGCUAACUAUGUUAUUAAAAUUCUUCUCAACAGAAACUCCCAAAGGAUUAUGUGCCACAUCUGAUGCAUAUGAAAGGUGACAUGGAUAUUAUUAGCUUACGGCCAAGUCUACCUAUGGCUCUCCAUGGUGCAUACACGAUUUCUCGAAGAGAUGAAGACCUUGCAAUCAAAGGAUGUGGAAAAGGUAUGAAUGAUCGCAGGGAGCUACUUGGAGGCAACAUGGUGCGAAGCCCACAAAUUAGAGACAGGUGGAUCUUGCCCACAAAUUAGAGACAGGUGGAUCUUCAUUCUCCAUAAUGAAGAGUUAGGGGCUAUCCUGUUUUAUACUAUUUUACCUUAGAGAGAGUAGCAGGUCCUGGCUAGUACUCAUCAUGUGCUAGAAUGACGAGUUGUUAGAUGACUAUGAUGAUAAUGAGUAGGACUUGUUAUCAUGAUGAUGAUGAUGGUUAUUAUUAUUAUUGUUGUUAUGACUUAUUAUUAUUAUGAUGAUGGUGAGUUGUUAUUAUGAUCAUGAUGAGUUAUCAUAUCAGCGGGUGAAAGAAACAUGGAUUAGAUUCAAGUGGAGGCAACAUGGUUCACAUUCAAAUUACUACUAGUCCAAACUUGGUCACUUUGGAUCCAUCCACUUGAAUCUAAUCGACGUUUCUUUCAUCCACUGAUAUAAUAAUUCAUCAUAAUCAUAAUGAUAUAAAAAUCUCUAAAUUGAGACUAUCAAAACUUGUAUAACGCUGUGUAAAUACACUAUAAAACAAAAGAGAAAUGGAAUAUAGAUGAAUAUUAGUAGUGCGGGGCUGGAGCGCGCUGCUAGUAAUUAUCAGUAGUGAUGGUUGUAACAAACGCUACUGCCAUCUAAGUUAGCAGUAGCGGGGGUCAAACCUGCGCCACUACUAAAAUUUAGCUGUAGCGCCCUAGCAGUAGUGCGGGUACCCGCGCUACUGCUAGAAUUUUCCCUAGUAGUGCUUCCUCAAUCUCAAAAUGUUGUGCUGGCUCAGUAUCUCAAAGAUGCUCAUAGGGGUAGGUUGUGCGUGGGUGCAUUCAUAGGGAUGAGUGUAUGUGAGCUUCUGCGAUUCUAUUGUGUAAAAGAAAACUUCAAGAACAUCCAUUGAAUAUCUGCCCAACCAAACAUGAAUUGUCUUCAAAUUGGACUUCUAUCAAACUGAUUUUGUUGUGUCAUUUUCCUCUCUUUUUCCGACUAUGCCCAUUGCAGAUUCCUUUCUAUGUCUUUUGUGGGUUGCAUGCGCCGCAAUGUAUAGGCUGAUUGUGAACCUUUUCACUUGUAUUGCUCUUAUGUGUUUUUUGUCAUAAAAACUUCCUUUAUCAAAAAAAUGUGGUCAUAAAUAUACAUUGCAGUUCUCACAUUAUAAUCAUCUGGGGAGAAUGGGAUAUGCUUCCUCAUCAAGAUCAUAAACUUAUUGCACUUGCACUUAAGCUUGGGUCAGUGUAUCUUUGCUAAGCCAAUGAAACGAUAUAACUUUGUCAUAAAUUGUGCUCUCAGGAAACCUAUUUCCCAUCGUGUUACAGAACUGAUGUCCACGGUAGCUUCCAAGCAAGAACAUUCUGGAUAAUUUCAUACAUGGAAUUUUUUGCCUUCUUUCAAUCUAUUUUGAGGUAUCUGGAUGUGAAAUGCAUUAUUUGAGGCAUGACCGGUCAGUGUUUGCUUUUAGUGGUCAGAUUUACCAAGUCCGGCUGUAGAUGCUCUUAGCGCAAUGAUGUUUCAUUGACGACCAAACCUUUGUGGGUUUUCAAAGUUGCAGGUGCACAGCUGCAAAAGCCAGUACAAAUUGGAGUUUUAGGAACUGACAUCAACAAUCAUCUCGUGAUGUAGAAAGCGAUCUUGAUGGAUUACCCAUGAAUGUUUGGACUGGACAGUAUGUGUAGCCGCAUCUCCAUCAAAGACAUUGAUAGUGCAAGCUUGUUGUUGUAGGAGAAGGCGCUCUCGUUGGCAUCACAUGGCACGAAGAUUGUAUGUAUUCCCCGUACCUCCUAAUCCGAUUAUGCUCAUCGGCUGGUUGUUGUGUGAUCAAUGGUUGUUCUACCAACAAAUCAUCCUCGUUUUUAGAGGAUUUGAGUGGGGACGACGAGUCCAAGUGCUCGACGGUGCAUCAUAUAUAUAGUCUUGGUAGUCUAUACAUGUACUGUUGCCACAGUGAACGUGCACAUGCUUCAAUCUCCCCUUAGGUACGGACAUUCAUGUUUGGGAAGCAUGAAUCAUUUUGGGCAUGUUUGGUUGCCCGCAUCGAGCCCAACCAGGCCCGCGCGGGAAUGAAGAGGCCUGUUUGGUUGCCUGGUUUCACUGUUGGGCCUGCACCGCACGCUUCUUAAAGCAGCCCACAGCAUGGCUCGCUGGAAAUGCUCGGAUCGGUAGUUUCUCACGAGCCAGGCUGAGUGCGGCCUGAGGUCACACGGGCGCGUGCGAGGCGAGGGCGAGGGGGGGGGUGGCGGGAGAUGGAAAUCUGGCGUGCAGGUCCCGACGCCAAAUCUAGCCUCACCCCCCUUUCACUCGCUCACCCACCAUAGCCACUACCCGCCUUUCUUCCCUACUGCCUCACCACCGGUGGCGGCUGCGAUUUCAGAUCUGCGCUAGAGGGGUUGGCGAAAGAGGCGGCUGCGUUUGCGGCGGAUCUGGUGCUUCCCUUGCUGUUGGCCACCGUCUGGUCGACCUUGUCUGUGCCAUGGCUCCCCCUAAGUCGUCCUCGUCUCCGAUGCCGGUAAGCAGCACCCUCCCCCCUUUGUUAGGUUGGUGGUAUUAGGUCGUUAGGCUAGGUGUAGGAUCGAUUACCCACUGGACGAAUCGUCGAUGUCUACUAGGUUAUGGACGCACGAAUGACGCUGAUAAUUCAGGCAGUAGCACUGAUUAGUGUGAUUCAGGCAUGGGUCAUGUUCAUGCACCAGAGAGUUGUUCGUCGUGCUGGGAGACCUUUGAUCCGCUAUGGUCCAUUGUUUAUCCGGGAACAGGAGAGGAUCCAAAAUCUGCAACGACGUCGAGGCUUUGUGGAUGCUUCGAAUGAAAAGAGCGUCAUUUGCCAGGCUUGUCGAGACCUUUAGGAGCAGGGGGCUGCUACAAGAUAACAUCAACACCGGUGUGGAAGAGCAAGUGGUCAUGUUUCUCCAUGUUGUUGGCCAUAACCAAAGGUUCAGGGUCAUUCACAACAUGUUCAGGAGAUCAAUGGAGACCAUCUCUAGGUACUUCAAGCAGGUGCUUUUUGCUAUGGGGAGCUUAGAGGCGACAUGAUCAGGAGACCAUCUGGACAGACUCCACCCAAGAUUCGCAGAACCCCAAGAUGGUAUCCAUACUUCAAGGUGAACAUUGACAAUAUACACUUUUCAUGGCUUGAUAUACUUGUAUUGUUCAAGUUGAGCACUAACACAGGCUUGUGAUGCCAUUUCAGGAUUGCAUUGGGGCAAUAGAUGGUACUCAUGUCACUGCCAGAGUUCCUAGGUCACAGUCUGCAGCAUACAGGGGGAGGAAGCACUACACAAGCCAGAACGUGCUUGCUACUAUUGACUUUGAUAUGAAGUUCACAUAUGUGCUGGCUGGCUGGGAGGGGUCAGCGCAUGAUGCUAACAUUCUUAGUGGCAGCAUGAGUCGACCUGAUGGGAUCAACAUCCCCGACGGCAAGUUCUACCUUGGAGAUGUUGGCUAUGCAUGUCAGUCGGGUAUUCUUCCACCCUUCAGGAAAACCAGGUACCAUCUCAAUGAGUUCUCUAGUAGGAACUAUCCUAGGACUACACUGGAGUUGUAUAAUCUCAGACACUUCAGCCUUAGAGUAACUGUUGAGAGGGCAUUUGGAGCUCUGGAGAAUAGGUUUAAGAUCCUGGAUCAGAAGCCAUUCCACCCAUACCCCACUCAGGUUAGGCUUGUUCUUGCUUAUUGCAUUAUGCAUAACUGGAUCCUCCAGUGGGGCUUUUAUGAACACGUGCCUGAGGAGGAAGAGGUCGAGCCUGACGAUGUUGUUAGCUCCGGCCAUGGUGUGGAGGCAUUUGACAAUGACACUUGGAAAGAACAAAAGGUUGGAGUGGGCAGAGGCAAUGUGGCUUAACAGAGGUCAGUGCAGGAUUUGAAGAUGAGGAAGAAGAAGAAGCAGCAGCAGCAGCAGAAGAGGAAGAGAAAGAGGAAGAGGAAGAUCUGGUAGUGGCAACACCGACGAACUAUCCCCUAUUUAGUCAAUGGCUCUUAAUAAUUUGAACUGUCAUUUGAUAGUAGUUAGGAUGAACUCUCAUUUAACUAGUUGGCACUAUGUUCAGAUUGUGUGUGUAAGGUCACCACUAGUUAGAAGUGGUGAUAACACCUUAUGCAAGUUGCAACCAAACACCAUGUCAUAUGUGCGCCUAAUGCAAUGCGGGCAACCAAACGCCGGGUCAAAAAUGAUUGUCUCAUGCAACUAGGUACAUGCAUGCAACCAAAUUAUGUGCAUCUGGGUUUUUUUGCCUGCAUCCCUUCAAACCGGCUCAUUACAGCCAGGCUCGAUUGGCAAUGUAACCAAACACGCCCUUUCCUCUUUACCACUCCGACCGAGGUAUGGGGGCAGAAGGGAUUUGCACUCUAAUGUACUCUUCGUCCUACAAUAUAAAAGCAUUUUUUACACUAUUAGAUCAGUUUGUUUGUGCGUAGGUUCACCUGGAAUAAAAAUAACCGGGACCUUGCAAAACCAGCAUACUAGGCUGACAACAACGACAAAUGUAUUCUCAGCACAUAGCAGAAGAUAAAUACGUUUCAUAACAUCCACAUACAGUCAGAUUCUUCCAAACAUGCAUCAUGGUUCCGAAAUAUCAAAACUGCAUCCACCAUCCACUUCCUAAUUUAAAGUGGGCUUAACAAACCAAACAUCUUCCGAACACAAAGGAUCAUCGAUCAAUCAACCUAGUUCAUCCUCCUGACGAGCUGGUUGAUGUAGUUCUCACGUUGCCGGCAUCACCACCCUCGACGUUUUUUGUUUGGAAAAGGAGGUUAAGACCCCUGGCCUCUGCAUCAGUCGAUGCAUAUGGCCAUUUUUAUUUAUUAUUCAACAUAGGUCUAACAAGAAUAUACAUCAAGCCACACGAAAUCAUCACUCACCUACAAAACUCAAUAAUGUGGAGUGCUCUCACUCCCCAUAUCAAAAACCGGUGUAGUCGCCGAUCCAUCCACAUAACGUAUCGGAACCCAGAGCCGGUGCAGCAGACCUAAAGCGUACACCACAUGCACACAUUUGAGACGCCGCCAUCAUCAUCGAACUGCUGACCCAUCUUCAAGAGAGAGAUUUGCAUCAUCCUUGCCAGUCCGUCCAUCCAUCGACGCCAUCACGGUGCCCAACAGCGCCACCGCCCCACGCUCGUUCGUCCAGACGCGAAGAUUCUGGAAAAUCUGUUGUGCGUAGCACCUGCCGACCAGGCAUGACACGGCGUAGCACCUGUCGGCCAGGCAUGACUUGACAUUUCCACCGAAAGCUCCAUGCAAGAUGAAGUCGCUCCACCUCCUGCCUUUGUCUUCCAGCUCUGCUCCACAAAUGAUGCUCCCAAGAGAGAAAACGACACCGCGUAGCGCCAUCGUCCGAUCUGGAACACCAGAUCCUAGGGUUUUCCCCGGAGCAACACGAGUGGUUCGGCAGUAGUUACAUGAUGAUGCCUUCAUCAAUGUAACGAUUCAGAGCGCCGCCAUCGCCUGCCAUCAACUCGGUUUUCACCGGCAACUAUGUCUUCCAGACUCGUAGACGGAACUAGAUGGCGGAUCUCGAGAUCUGACCAUCCAACCUCAGGCCAACCACCCCGACGGAGGAGAUGGACACCAUAGGCAGCGACACCGGCCAGAUCAGAUCUGACCGGAGGCGCCGCCGACCAGUCAACCAUGGCCACAUCCCCUCCUGAUCCGCCCUUCCCACAAAGACGCCGAAGCAGCGCCGAACCACCGGGAAAGACGAAGACCUAAGGGCGACCUCGCGCUACCGGUCUCUCUAGACCGCGGGGCUGUAGGCUAGAUCCCUGCCGUCCCCAUCACCGGUGGCAUCUUGGCUUAGCCGACGCACAUCUCUGGGGACGACGAGGUGGAGGAGAGGGGGAGGGGUCGGCGGCUGGGGCACUUUGGUUGGCCCCGCUGAUCGCCCUGGAAGGAGCGAUACGAGGGAGCCCUGGGAGCUAUAUGAGUCCUCCAAAAAUGCGGGGUAUAGUACCGUUGUAAUAUUCAGUAGAUGUUGUGCUGAUGGGGCCUCUUCUUCUUGAAGCCUCCCAGCGCCGCCUUCAGCUUGAAUAGUCACAGGAAGUUGUUGGCCUCCUUGAAGUGAGGGCCAACCAUCAAGAUCUCGUGGACAAGGUCCUUAAGGCCCUUCCCAGUGCUCCAUGGUGGACAGGUGCUAAGCAUGCCACAUGAGAGAAAAAAUGACAUGGCACAACAUUUAAGGAGGAAGGGAGCACUUUGGUGACCCCAGGAAGAACCAAUUGCAAGCACGAGAAUCUAGAAUACCCACUUAAAUGAAACAACUUGACCAACACAUGAAAGACUUUAGGUGCUAACUCAUUAAAUAAAGUAUGCUUAGCAACAAGUUAAGCACCUAUGCAUUGAGAAGUUGAGUUGCUAAGGUAUUUAAUGCACUUAGCACCUCAUCUAAGCAUCUUUGCAUUGGAAGAGGUCUAAUGCAGAUGAUGAUGUGCUUUCCAAGAUCCUGAUAAUUAUUAGACAAACGAAAUGGUCGGAAUCACACCAAAGUUGCAUUUGGAGAUGCAAAGAGCCAUAUGUUGGGCAAUCGACUGAUCACCUCCUCGGUGGCCUUGUUAUUGGUUAGAGGAAUCCUUUGUUUGUUGAGCUUUCCAUAGCCUAUCUUGUAUAUCAAAUCCCUCACGAUCUUCAAGUUCGGGUACCUAUUAUAUCCAUUUAGCUCCAAUGCCCAGGCCACCCGGUCCUCAACUGGUGUAUCCCUGCUGUGUUUGUCAUCCAUGAACCCAAAGACUCUCCGAUGGAGGCACCUUCCUCGAGGAAUAACGGGUUUAGCCGAGAAGCAAGGAGGGAUCCAUGUAUUGCACCAAAUCCGGAAUUGAUGACCAGCCAAUAUGAAAAAUCGGCCCUUACUGAAGAAGAUCGAAUCCUCGAUGAGCUUGUGUGUGCCUCUUAAAAAAAGGUGUGACCGCACAGCCUGUUCUCCACCCACAUUGCCUAUAUCAAAUGUUUAAGGCCUUCAGCAAUGUUUGUGGUCUUGAAUAUAUUUCAAAUGAAAUUUUGGGAGGAUUGUUUCAUAGUGUUUGUAGAAAACACAACACUGUUGAACAAAUCCUAAGUACCUCACCUCCUUGAAGGCUAUGACUUAAUCAGGCAUAGGCUACAUUCAACAAUGACAUAGUUCUGAUGAGUUCCGGUGGAACCUUCACAAGAACCGGAAGUUGUCAUUCAGAUCUAUAUACCGGAUGUUCCUCCACUAUGAUGCCCCAAUUAAUUGAAAAACUAGGAAGCUUAAAACCCUUGUCCUCGUGGGGGCAUUAACACUAUAUUAGUGCCUUUGACUAUUUAAAAAUUAUCGGCCUUUUUGAAAGAAAGAAAAAAAUCUCCAUUGCGGAUUGCCUUUUCAUGUAGUGCCGACUCUGUUUUUAGUGUACUCUACACCGACCGGAGCACUGGCAGUUCCCUAUGCGAAAUGUAUGCAUAUGCAGCGUGCGUCCAAGAGAUAUUUAUCAAACAUGGAUCAUCUUCAUAUCCGACUUCCGUCACAUUGAAUUGGUGUGUUAUUUUCCUUUUUGUUGUAGACUAGCCAGUCUUGCCUGGUUUGUGUACGUUCUAGCGAUAUAGAGGCUAAUUGUGAACUUUUUCACUUGUAUUGCUCUGGUGUGUGUUUUGUGUCAUGAAAACUACCUUUAUGAAAAAAGCAUUGUCAUGCAUAUACAUUGCAGUCCUCGUAUUGUUGUCGUCUGGGGAUAAUGGGAUAUGCUUCCUCACGAAGCUCCUAAACGCAUCGCACUCGUGCACUUAAUCUUGGGUCAUUGUUGUUUAAGCAAAUGAAACGAUGUACUUUGUUAUUAAAGGUGCUCUCAGCUAACCUAUCUCACAUUCUUGUGUCAUACUACGAAACUGAUGUCCAUGGCGGCUUCCAAGCCAGAACAUACUAUAAAUUUUUUUUGAACGGACCAGCUGAUGGCUGACAUACUAGAAAAUUUCAUACUAGGACUUUUUUUGCCUUCUUUCGUUGUGCCAUGCUUGGCUUAAGGUCAAAACAUUAAUUUGCUGGCUACUAUAAUAUAGCUAUUGACUGGCUAGUGUUUCUAACUCUAGUUCCACGUAUUAAUCUCCACUGCAGAUAAACAAAAUGUAUGGUCAUUAAAAAAUUAGCGUAGACCAAAGGUAGGACCAGAUCAUGCGAAGAGCUCUUCACCCUAUUGAUUAGGAAUCUCGAUCAGAAACCACCAGGCCAUGUCUCCCAAUAAAAGAUGAUCCCCACAAUUUGUUUCUCUUGCAAAUAAUGCGGACAUAAAUCUCUACGAAAUCACAAGACCAUAGAUUAUUGAAGACUUUUACAGGCAAGAGCUAACCUUUCAAAAAAAUGAAGGAAAUAAAUAUAUAGAUUAGUUUGAAGGAAGUUAUUAUUCAUGUUACUAAAUCGGGCUUCAUUGUAUGUCUAAGUUAUUUACAAUAUUUUUUAAAUAGAAUAAAUUGCAUAGUAGCGAUUCACCGCCAAAAUUCAGUUUUCUUAGCCCAUUGACAUUUCAUUGAAAACCAAACGUCUAUACUAUUUCAAAGUUGCCACUGGACAGUUGCAAAAGUCGGUACAACUGGGAGUGGAUCUAGGAGCAGAUAUCAACAAUGAUCUUGUCAUGGCACAGGGGUUAGAGACACAAUGGCUCAACAAGGCGAUAUUGGUCAAACCACCUUCGGCACGAGCAAGUUGAUGCCAUCCCUGCAUGAUGCAGGAGGUGACCCAGUUGGCACCUCGUCAAACCAAAGUUGGAUGUGUUUCCUCAUACCUCCUAAUCCAAUUCUGCUCAUCGACCAGUUGUCGUAUUGCCUCUAGCUGUUCCAAUACUAGAGGACGAACCUUCCUCGUAAGAGGAUUUGAGUGGGGAUGAGGAGUUUGACCACUCGACGGUGUAUAAAUAUAUAUUCUCCAUGACCUUUACAUGUACCGUUGCCAGGGCACAACGUACUUCAUCAUCAAUCUCUCAUUGCUUAUUCCAAAUGCAUUCAGCGUAUGGUUGGUCAGCCAUUGUUAAUGUGUGACAGAUGUUUGGUUGUUUUAGUUCGAAUGGGAAUGAUUUGAGUGGGAAUGUGCUGCUCCCAUUUUCCUUUCUCAAGUCCGUCUGCGUCGGCUCAUCCAAACCGGGAUGUUGUUUGUUUGUUUUAGUCAGAAUUUCCAGCCCAACAACAGAAAAUUUUACGCAGAACUAAUAAGUUUGAAGAAAAAAUUACAAAGCCCAACAUGAAGUACUAGGCUGACAGCAACGAGAAACGUAUUCGUGGCACAUAGCAGGAGGCAUUAAACACGGUCUCAAAACCUCCACAUACAUAGUCAGAUUCUUCCAAACAUGCAUCAUGGUUCCGAAAUAUCAAAACUGCAUUCACCAUCCACUUCCUAAUGUAAAGCAGGAUUAAAAAACAAAACAUCUUCCGAAUACAAGGGAUCAUGGAUGAUCAAACUAGUUCAUCCUCCUGACGAGCUAGUUGAUGUAGUUCUCACGGUUGCCGGCGUCACCGCCCUCGACGUAGUGGUUCCUCUUCUUCUUGAGGCCUCCCAGCGGCCCCUUCAGCUUGAAUAGCCAAAGGAAGUUGUUGGCCUCCUUGAAGUGAGGGCCAACGGUCAGGAUCUCGUGGACAAGGUCCUCAAUGCAGAUGAUGUUGUGCUUUCCAAGACCCUAUUAGUAAGAUAGCAAGAUAGUGGUUAGACUCGGCCCAGACUUGCAUUUGGAGAUGCAAAAUAAAGGCCACAUGUUGGGCAAACCGACUGCUCGCCUCCUCAAUGACCUUGUUGUUGGUCAGAGGAAUCCUUUGCUUGUUGAGCUUUCCAUAACCUCUCUUCUAGAUCAACUCCCUCACGCUCUUCAGGUUCAGGUACCUACAAAUAUAAUGAUUCGGUCCAUUUAGAUACAAAUGGAACAUCAAACUCUUGAAGCACUGCCCAUAUCUUUCAUGAGUUAACCCAAGGAUGGACAAACAUUCAUCGCACAUCCUCUCUCUGUAUCAAAAUAUAAGGCGUUUUUUGGUCUAAAUCUAGACAAAAGAAUGUCUUAUAUUUUGAUACAGCAGGAGUAAGGUAUUGUAGGCAUAUGUUGAAGUUCCAGGAAUAGAUAAAAACAUAUCUAGUCAAAGUUCUAAGAAAAUGGUAUUGUAGCCAUUGUAACUUUGCUUAAGCAAGACAAUUGGGAUAAUGAUUACAACAAUUCAAUCAUUGGAAGGCAUGUAUCAUCUACCAACACAGUAAAAAAUGUACACUUGUAACAUACCCACUCUGAUAUAUUCGACCGUCACUCCCGCUCUGAUAUAUUCGACCGUCGGUGAUGGUCGCUCCUCCCUUCAUCCUCGAGUGCAUUACACCAAAUUGUCUAGAACACGGGAACGAAGGAGAAGCGACUCCCACGAUAACAAUCGGGAUUCUUCAUCUCUGACAUUUGCGACCGUCGGUGAUGGUCGUUCUUCUCUUCAUUCUCGUGCAUUACCAAAAGGUCUAUCACGAGAAAGAAUAGGAAGAACGACCCCCACGACAACAGUCGACAUUCUUCUUCUCUCAUAUAUGGUGGACACUCCCUCACAGUUUUUUGACUGUCAUGUAUGGAGUCCCAAUAAACUUAAAGUCACCCCAAAAUGCCGUUUAAUGCUCUUUCUGGCAAAUCCAAGGCACUCCAUAUUUCCUACAUUCUAGCACAAGCCAUCCUAAAAUUCAUGGAAAAAUCCAGCAUGACCUUUGCUAAAAAGGACGAGUGCCUGAAAUUUGCCAGAACGAAAAUUAGUCAACACUCCGGCAAAACAUAGGCCACUCGGAGGUGUACCCUACAAACAUAGGCCACUUGGGAAAGCACAUAUCCUAUUUGGCUACAUCAUCAUCAUCAACAUCAAUGACAUGGGGAUUUGGCUGCUCUCACUUCAAGGUCGAAGGGGGUCGGUGACGGGGACGACGACGGGGAUGAUGCAGGGGCUCCUUCAUUUUUGCAAAACAAAAGAUAAACCCUAUAAGCCAUCAACUAAACAUUAUUAUGUUGAUUCAAAAGACCUACAUUUACUAAAAAUUCAAUAUAUCUUAUAACCCGAACAAUUCAUUUGGUUAAGAAUCAUAACUAAUGUUUCUUACUAAAAAUUUCCAUACUUAAAUUUUCUUACUAAAAAUUUCUGUUACUAAAUUUCUCAUAUGGCAUUCUUAUACAUUUCUAUAUUGAAAACUUUGUACACCUAAACAAUUUAUAUUACUAAAAUUUCUAUUCAAUAGACCUAAAAUUUCGGUUACUAAAUUUGUAUACGUACAUUCUACAAGAACAGAAAGAGAAGGGGUNNNNNNNNNNNNNNNNNNNNNNNNNNNNNNNNNNNNNNNNNNNNNNNNNNNNNNNNNNNNNNNNNNNNNNNNNNNNNNNNNNNNNNNNNNNNNNNNNNNNNNNNNNNNNNNNNNNNNNNNNNNNNNNNNNNNNNNNNNNNNNNNNNNNNNNNNNNNNNNNNNNNNNNNNNNNNNNNNNNNNNNNNNNNNNNNNNNNNNNNNNNNNNNNNNNNNNNNNNNNNNNNNNNNNNNNNNNNNNNNNNNNNNNNNNNNNNNNNNNNNNNNNNNNNNNNNNNNNNNNNNNNNNNNNNNNNNNNNNNNNNNNNNNNNNNNNNNNNNNNNNNNNNNNNNNNNNNNNNNNNNNNNNNNNNNNNNNNNNNNNNNNNNNNNNNNNNNNNNNNNNNNNNNNNNNNNNNNNNNNNNNNNNNNNNNNNNNNNNNNNNNNNNNNNNNNNNNNNNNNNNNNNNNNNNNNNNNNNNNNGUGGAGGGAGGGAGGGAGAGGAGGGUGGAGGGAGGAGGGAGGGAGGGAGGAGGGGGGAGGCAGAGGUGCCUCACUGCCGGUGGCGUGCCGGCGACGGGCGACGGCGGCGGGCGAUGGUGACGGUCAGGUGGCGCAGCGCCGGUGAUGAUGGGGGGUGGUGGCACGCGAGCGGCGGGCGACGGUGAUGGGGACGGUGACCAGAUAGUGAGAUGGAGUGAGAGUGAGAGUGUGGUGAGGGAGAGGAAACGGGUGGGACGGUGUAUAGGAUAAGGUGGUUUUAGCAGUAGCGCGGGAAGCCAAACAAGUGCUACAGCUAAAAUUUUAGUUGUAGCGCGUUUAUACAAACCGUGCUGCUACUAAAGCUAGACCCGGGGUGGCCGUGUGGCCCACUUAGCAGUAGCGCCUGGGCCGUGAGAGUGCGCUACUGCUAAAUACUACCUGUAGCGUGCCCAGUUUACCCGCGCUGCUGCUAGUUAGCAGUAGCGCAUCCUUUUAACAAGCGCUACUGAUAACCCUCUAUGUAUAUGGUUUUCUAGUGCUAUUUCGAAGUUGCCAGCGGACAGUUGCAAAAGCCGGUACAACUAGGAGUCGAUCUAGGAGCAGAAAUCAACAAUGAUCCUGUCAUGGCACAGGGGUUAGAGACACAACGGCUGAACAAUGCGAUAUUGAUCAGACCGCCUUCGACAUGAGCAAGUUGAUGAGUUGGAACCUCGUAAAGCCAAGGUUGGAUGUGUUUCCUCAUACCUCCUAAUCCAGUUUUACUCAUCGGCCAGUUGUCGUAUGGCCUCAAGUUCUAAUACUAGGUGACCAGAUAGUGAGAUGGAGUGAGAGUGAGAGUGUGGUGAGGGAGAGGAAACGGGUGGGACGGGGUAUAGGAUAAGGUGGUUUUAGCAGUAGCGCGGGAAGCCAAACAAGCGCUACAACUAAAAAUUUAGUUGUAGCGCGUUUAUACAAACAGCGCUGCUACUAAAGCUAGACCCGGGGUGGCCGUGUGGCCCACUGCUAUGUCUUGAGCUUGCGUCGGUUUUCCUUGAAGAGGAAAGGGUGAUGCAGCAAAGUAGCAUAAAUAUUUCCCUCAGUUUUUGAGAACCAAGGUAUCAAUCCAGUAGGAGGCUCCUCAAAAGUUUCACGCACCUACACAAACAAAUAAAGAACUCGCAACCAACGUAAUAAAGGGGUUGUCAAUCCCUUCACGGCCACUUGCGAAAGUGAGAUCUGGUAGAGAUAGUAUGAUAAGAUAAAUAUAUUUUUGGUAUUUUAUAAUAUAGAUGCAAAAAGUAAAUAUGCAAAUAAAAGUAGAUUGAAAGCUUAUAUGAUAAAAGAUAGACCUGGGGGCCAUAGGUUUGACUAGUGGCUUCUCUCAAGAUAGCAUAAGUAUUACGGUGGGUGAACAAAUUACUGUCGAGCAAUUGAUAGAAAAGCGAAUAAUUAUGAGAUUAUCUAGGCAUGAUCAUGUAUAUAGGCACCACAUCCGCGACAAGUAGGCCGACUCCUGCCUGCAUCUACUACUAUUACUCCACACAUCGACCGCUCACUACAAGAAAUAUGUCAACUUGUGACCUUGACUAUUGGUCACUGAAAGGUCAUUGUUUUCCAUUUGCAACCUUUUUGUGACCAAAAACAGAAGGUCAAAAGCUGGCCGUCGUAAACUGAUAUUCACGACCUUCUCUGUGAGAAGGUCGUAGACGUUUAUGACCAAAAUAUGCCUACUGUUUUGUUUUGGUCACUAGUAGCCUCCCCAGGCCACGUAGGCAUCCGAAAUGGCAAUCUGAUGUGGCACAAGAAUCAGCCCGGUCCAAUUCGAUUUUCUACAUGGGCCUAGCCCAUUUAGUAUAUUUUUUUCCUCGUUAAUUCUGGUCGGCUUCAUGGGCCACGCCCUACAAUUCGGACUUUCAAUUUUCUGGGCCAUGGCCCUUUUGCAAACCAUUUCAUUAGGCCUUUUUGUUCAGGCUUUCUAGAAAUGCACAAUGUUCCAAUCCACUAUUAUUUGGGUUGUAGCCUUUUUAGAGCCCAUAUACUAUUUGGUCCAAUAAAACAUUUGGUCUUUUUAUUCACUAAUUUCCACUUUACACAUUUGAACAACAAACACUCAAUAAUUCUCUCAAUUAAGUGAUUAAAUUCAGAAAUCAUUCAUCCAAAUACACACAACAGCACAUACAAGUCUGCACGUCCAACAUCAACUAAAACAAGCAAAAACAGAUACACAAGCACAUACAAGUGUGCUUACAAGCAAAAAACAUAUACACAAGCACCAAAACAUGGUGCAACAUCAACUAAAGCUAUGGUGCGCAUCUCCAUGCAUCUUUUGAUCUUCCAUCACAGCAACAACAACCUGAACGACAUUAGAUCACCAAAAAGAAACAUUAUUAAAUGUUUAGAAACAAGGCCAUCAACAUGAGGCGGUAAUCCAACUUAACACUUUGUCAACAUAUUUUACAGAUGCAAAUAACUAAGCUUAUACUGUAUAAGUUUAUGAUCCACAUGCAAUCUGAAAUUGAAUUGCCAAAUAUACUGUUUGAGCAGUCACGGGCUCGCAGAGAAGGUAUAGCUACAGAAGUAGAAUAUGACGAGUUAAUAUAUUGCAGAGAAGGUUUUUGUGCAUCAACACUGAAUCAAAGAACAUAUUCUCAAUAAUUUAGACAUGUCAUUUCAAGUUGUUGCAACAUCAGCUUGAGGCUGCUUGUCUAUCCUCAUUCUGCUGGUUGAUGAUCAUUUAUAAAUUUGUAGUGAACAGAUCCUAGGCCUAAGACAUACAAGAUACAUCCUUCGCACAGAAAAAAGAUAUACGAGAUAUAGCAUGUUCCUAUUUGCAAAGCCUACCAAAAACAGAUCCUAGGCCUAAGACACACUAGUUCUUACAUGACUUUGCUCCUAACAGUAGCAACAAAAUUCUUAGCAAUUGAACGGCAGUAAGCACCACAUAUUCACUUCAUCAAGAGAUAAGCACCAAAAAUCAUCCUCAACAAAGAACUAAUUUGCUGGAAAACACAUGUCUUACUUACUGAACAUCCAUAUGCACCACAUCAACAUGGUCCUCCAAAUGUCCGGCUCGCUGGAGGGAAAGACGAGGUUGAAGGAAAGGGCGCUGCCGGCAAGCAUGGAGGCGUACGCCUGGACCCCAAAGAUCGUGUACAGAUGGACCAAACUACAGUUUCAGUAAAACUAUAAGAACACAAAGUAAAACUCAAAAACUACAGUUUCAGUAACUAUAAAUUAGUUUAGAUUGUGAGAGCAUACAUGAAAAGUCAGCACCAUCAGCGGUAACUAUUAACAAAAGAAAAUGAAUUAUGUCGAUGCUGGAAAGAACAUCUCUGGAGUAGUUUUAAUUGAAAAAAUCUACAGAAUACUCCAGUAAUUAGAGUACACAGCUAAGAUGCUGGAAAGAACAUCACACAGGCAGGACAAACUACUCCAUCUCGGCACUACAGGCAGGAAAAACUACAGGGGUAUACAGCUACUCCUAUAGGAGUACUAUGGGCAAGACAACUACAGGAGUAAGAUGUUGAUCAUGCUGGAAAGAACAUAACUACUCCAGGUACUACAUGAGUACAGGAAAGAACACUACAGGCACCAAAAAUUGCAUCCAUCUCGCUUACAGUAUUACAGGAAAGAACACUAAAGCGAGCUCACAAGCCUCACAUACAGUAAGUCUUGCCUGUCACAACCAAAUUACAGGAAAAUGCAUCCAUCUCACUUACAUCUCACAUACAGUUAGUCUUGGUUGGCACCGCAAGCACCACCGUCGGCGUCGACUUGCAAGCACAACAUAGGAUUGGAACUCUGAAUUGAACAACAACUAAAGCAAACCAAUCGAUCAUCGAUAGUAAAACUCUAAAGAAAUGUUGACCCUUUUUUCUACUGUUGCUGCUUGGUUGAUUACUGAAUAAAUGUUGACAACUAAAGAGCUUCGACGGGGCACAGAACCUUGAGGCCCUGUUAUGGGGUUGUGUGUGAUGAAGGUUGCCCUUUGGAGCGGCAGCGGCAGCUCCGCCAGAUGCAGCAGCAGUGUUAUCAGCGCAGUUCACAGUGGCUGCCACAGGCAGACCCAGAGACAUCCUGAACUUGUUUCCAGCAUAACCUCCGCGGCCUGCAGUUUAAGAACAAGCACAUACAAGCUAGUUAGAUAAAAGGAUCACAUAUCUACAGUACACUAAACCAAUAAUCCAGAGAUGCAUGGCAGCCACACACCAGUGCUAUGAUUCAUGAAAGUCCCUUCAUAGCUAAGUAUGGAUUAUAUUGAUUUACUGAGCCAAGAUACAUACAAGCAUCUGAGAAACACUUGACCCAAGAGAUGCAACUACCCAGAUGCUUCAUUCAAGAUUUAACACAUUAACUCUACACGCACAACAUCUCUUUGCAUAGAAAGUAAAUUGAAGGCAAUCACCAUGCACAACAUCUCUUUGCAUAGAAAAGAACCUUUAAUAGACUAAAACUCAAAACAAACACCAAUUUACACAACACCUCUUUGUUAGAAAGCCUAUGAGGUCACCUCACCCCGGGCCGCCAGCUAUCGAACUAUUAGGGGUGGCCCUUGCUAAUAGUUGGCAUGACAUGUGGCCCUUGCUAUUACGGGUGGAGGUACGAUUGGGCCAGGACUCAGAAUAGUUUCACUAUGUUUAAGCAAAUGACAGAAAUAUGUGGACUACUACUAAAAUGGUACGGCAAAUGUGCUAUAUAUGUGGACUAGUUUCACUAUGUUUAAGCAAAGGUUGAAAGCUUUAACACAGAACGCUAAAUAAUUCGUUGCCCAAAAGGUGCUAUAUAUACACCAGGUGAUGAGAAACCAUAUAUAGAAUUUAUAGAAGUAAGGAGCAGAAUUUCUAAAAGAAGUACACCAUUACAUAGUGCUACAGCAAAUGUGAAAUGCUUGAUGAUGUACAUGAAUUCACAUUUAGAAGGAAAGAAAUGUAAUGUAAAAGUUUCCAUAUCUGAAAGAUAUUCACUCAAUGAAAAGAAGGUCGAGUUUUACUUGCAAAUGAAAACAUGCUAGAACCUUUUACAGUAGAACCGCUAUGCCACCUGGUUUUUCUUUAAAUAAAAAAAUGAGCUGCAACGCAGGCUAACAGAAAAGCUAUGAGCAUCUUUGGGCAGACCAUCUAGGAUGAUGUACAAAUCAGAAUGAAAGCAUGAUUAUAUAUGGAUUAUAUAUGAGCAUCUUUGGGCAAUCCAGGAUGAUGUAUAAAAAAUGAGCAUCUUUGGGCAAUCCAGGAUGAUGUAUAAAAAAUGAGCAUCUUUGGGCAUCUUUCAACUGAUCAAGAAAGACCUUGCAGAAAUGGCCUUGUCCACGCCUUUUCUUGGCCCCAAACUGAGGCCUUCCAUCAUCCUCUCAAAUUCGCCGUUGAUGUUCAACGUACGAAAGAUGUCUGCCAGGAGGGCAAAACCAAAUGAAUAAGAACCCCACAUAAACAAAGAGUCUGAACAAUGAUUCUACAAAGUAUUACCUCCGGUCAUAAAUAAGUGAACUAAAACCACAUCACUUAUUUAUGAACAGAGGGAGUGAUAUUCAGCUUCCGCAGUCAAAGGAGCCUCGUAAACUCAUUGCACACAUUUGCAAAAGCACAUUAUACAACAGCAAUGCGGCAUCAAUGUGUGUGUGUGUGUGCGCGCCGCGGUUACCUACAGAUCCUACAUAGUAUUAACCGUCUACAUGAGAUCAGUAUAAACUAAUUGCACACAGUUGCAACAGCGCCCCCAACAUAGUAUUAUAGAAACUUAAAACAGUAAGAUCCCCUACAUAGUAGUAACCAGGGAAUUAAUUGACAGUUGGUAGAGCAAAACAAAAUCACAAGCACUACUGGUAGUAGCACGCGCAGCAGUUUUUGACUGAACAGAAGAGUACUUAUAUUGAAAUUACACAGACUAAGAACUGGAAAUUGCUUGCUACGUGUGUGAGCAUUAGGCAGGAUAUCUCAAAACAAAUUCUCCUCAGAAAAUACUUUGGAACACAUAUGGACAACAUACGAAAUUGAUCUGCAAUCUACAAUAAGAGGUGCCUUCAACUUUGCCCUUGCUGUCCAGGUUCUUGAUAUUCUGGAUACACAGAAAUCUCAGCUCAAAACUUGUAAUUCACAUUGAUGCUUGUCUAAGCAAAUAAACUACCUAGUCUAGCAAGCAUAUUAAUGUUUGAACAAUUACUAUGCAAUUGAGUCAUUAAUAAGGUUUUUACAACAAACAUGUUGGCAUCAUGAGGCUGGCACAGGCCGGGUCUGCUUAUAUGUGAUCCAGACAUAGACAAGCAACAAGACCCCCACCCAUUGCUAAGAAGUAGAGUAUCUAACAGAAUUGUAAGAGAUGAAGCAAGCAAGCGGAGGCCGGCAAUUCAGUUGGUCAGGAGAAGUAACAGGUUGGAUAAGAAUUGGGAGGCGCGACGACAACCUCAGACCUUUCUUUCCCUGCCUGGCUAAAGAGAUCAGGGGGCGAGGAAUCCAUCUAUCUACCCGCAGGGACUAGCCAGCAGGAUACGGGAUCAGGGGGUGGGAGAUCCCGAGGAAAAGGAAAAAUAGGCGAAGAGACCCACAGCGGUGGUCGGAUCUCGAGGAACGGAAUAGAGGGGGAAUGGAGGAGGGGGAAACCUUGCCGCUGAUGACUAGCUAGCAGUCAUCCUUGGAGCUGUGCUUGGCGACCUCCUCGAGGAUGAAGAGCUUGUCGGACGACCUCCUCCGCGGCGCCUUUCUAGCCACCGGCGGUGCGACCAUCGCAGCGAAAGAGCUGAGGGCUGAAUCCUCUGCGGUCGCCUCGCCUGCUCGAGCUUGACGGAGCCGUAGACGAUGCCGACACCGACGGUGGAGACCCUAGCCACCUGCAGAGAAACAUCCAUCACGAGGACGGUCAUAUUUGAUCCGCGGGGCGAGGUCGGUCAGGACGGAUCAUGAAUGGGAGGAGAGGGGCGCGUGGGUUGCUUACGAGGGCGAUGGGGGUGAGAGGAGGAUUCCCGCCAGAGGUCGCCAGGAUCGGGCGCUGGAGGUGGCGGCGGCAAGGGAGGAGUGCAGUGCUAGGGUUAGCGCAAGAGAGAGGAGGGCUUGCUGCCGUGGGUGGGGUUCGCGCGAGAGAGAGGGGGUUGGGUGGGGUUCACGAGAGAGAGGGGGUUUGCUGCCGUGGGAUGGGAUGGAUGGAUGGACGGAUGGACGGAUGGAUGCCAGGUCAUCGAUCCAAGCCACAAGUGAUUCCACCAAUCAGAAUUAAGCUUAGAUAGUUUUGUUUUUCUUCUUCUUUUAUUUCUCUUAUAAUUUUCACCCUCUAAUUCAGGGUAAACAUUCAACAUAUUAACCACUUAUAGUUUGCUAAAAUGAACAAAUAGUGUGCACAUGUGUGUAUCUUGGGAUGACAAACAAUUUUGAUUUGGGGGUUUUUCACUUUCAUUGCACAAAAGAGCCAUUUUCCAUUUUUCGAGUGCCCAAAAUGAGUUUUUUUGUGAAGAAUCUACCAUAUAUUUGUUGCAAAAUUGGAUCAAAUCAGUUUUUCUAAAAUACUAGGCGUGUUUAAUGCAAAAUUAACACAAUGGUUGGGUGUCAAAAGCCUUGAUCCACCUCUGGUGAAAAAGACAAAAUUCCGUCGAUUCAGCAAGAAGCGGGUCAAAUUUGAACUGUAGCUGCCUCGUAGUUUGCUCUUUAUUUUUUCCAAAAAUCAUUUCUAGGUACAUAACUAUCUAUUUAAUCAGAGAAACAUAAAAAAAAAAUCCAAGAUUCAACCACUAGCUAGGAACGGCCAUUCCCGCCGUUUUGACCGCAUUUUGAAACGGGCAUAAAAAAUUAAAAAAAAAUAAAAUUGGAAAACCUUCGCAUUGUGUCAUCAUAUGUGACCAAGUUACCAGGAAAAAUAAUAAACUUGUAAUACGGCAAUUAUUUUAAAAAAAGUGUUCUCAGAAAUGAGCUAUCAUGCGUGAAUAUUCAUGGCUUUCAAGCCAAAUGAUCAAUCUUAUGGCCACAUUCAUGGCAUAGUUUCUUCAAAUGAUCUCAUAUUGUGCACAAUGGUGCAUCUUAGAAUUUCAAACAAUGUUGCCUAAGGGAGUUUUCAUUUUCUUUGCACAGAAAAUUCAUUUUCCAUUUUUCGAGUGCCCGAAAUGAGAUUUUUUUUGUGAAGGAAAUACCAAAUAAUUGUUGCAAAAAUGGACCAAAUCAAUUUAAUAAAAUACUAGGCCAUGUUUAAUUCACAAUUGACAAAAUGGUUGGGUGUAAAAAGUUUUGAUCCACCUCUGGUGAAAAAGACAAAUUCCCACCGAUUCAGUAGGAAGUGAGUCAAAUUUGAACUGCAGCUGCCUCAUAGUUUGCUAUUUAUUUUUUCCAAAAAUCAUUUAUAGGUACAUAAGUAUCUAUUUUAUCAUAGAAACACCAAAAUUUUUCCAAGAUUCAACCACUAGCUAGGAACGUUCAAGCCCGUCGUUUUGACCGCAUUUUGAAACGGGCAUAAAAAAUUCAAAAAAAAAUCAAAAAAUUGGAAAACCUUCGGAUUGUGUCAUUAUAUGUGACCAAGUUUCCAGGAAAAUAAUAAACUUUUAAUACAGAAAUUAUUUUAAAAAGUGUUCUCAAAAAUGAGCUAUCAUGCAUGAAGAUUCAUGGCUUUCAAGCCAAAUGAUCAAUCUUAUGGCCACAUUCAUGGCAUAGUUUGUUCAAAUAAUCUCAUAUUGUGCACAAGGGUGCAUCUUGGAAUGGCAAACAAUGUUGCCUAAGGAAGUUUUCAUUUUCUUUGCAUGGAAAAUUCAUUUUCCAUUUUCCGAGUGCGUGAAAUGAGUUUUUUUGUGAAGGACCUACCAUAUAUUUGUUGCAAAAUUGGACCAAAUAAAUUUUAUAAAAUACUAGGCCAUAUUUAAUGCACAAUUGACAAAAUGGUUUGGUCUCAAAAGUUUUGAUCCACCUCUGGUGAAAAAGACAAAUUCUCGCCGAUUCAGUAGGAAGAGGGUCAAAUUUGAACUGCAGCUGCCUCAUAGUCUGCCAUUUAUUUUUUCCAAAAAUCAUUUCUAGGUACAUAAGUACCUAUUUAAUCAUAAAUACAUGGUUUGGUGGUCAUACGUCGCGGUUUGGACGGUGGGCGAGGGCCCCAACUCUAGAGCGCGUAAACUCGCAUGCCCGCCGCGUGCUCAUGGCGUGACCGUGGCGUUGCCAUGUGUUCCGGGCGGCCUAGGCAUCUCUACUGGGUUGGGCACUCCCUAGGUAGGUGCUAGGAAGAAAAUCACAACAUAAGAUUCUCACGAGGAGACCGAUCGAUGCUCAAACAUGAAUAAGCAGCCAAGUGUUUGAUUAGCGGUACAGGAAAUGCACAUGGUUAAUGGGCGUGAGUUUUGGAUGGGGAUGAUCAGUUACUAAGAAGACCGUCUUCACAAAUUUCAAGCUCAAAAGGAGGAGCCUAGGUGGUACUUGCUUUGCAAAGUACAUGAAAGUGCAACUAUCCCUAGGUGGUUUUGGUAAUUCAUAACAACAUAUAGCUCAUUCAGCUAAUGCUAUUCCAAGACUAUUAUUUCAGAAAGCUCAAUGAAUGGCAUGGCAUGGAUGAUGAAAGUGGAUCCCUCAAAAUAUCAAGGACAAAGGAUUGGCUCAAGCUCAAAGCUCAAGACUCUUCAUUUUAUAUUUCAGUGAUCCAAGAUCACAUUGAGUCUAUAGGAAAAGCCAAUACUAUCAAGGAGGGAUGAGGUGUUGCUUAAUGAGCCUCUUGCUUCAUGUGCUUAGUGAUAUGCUCCAAAACCCUCAACUACUUUCUCACAUCCACAUAUGACCUAAACCUAAAGCCAAAAUCGGUCACACCGAUUCUUUCUAUCCGGCGCCACCGAGUUCAAAUGUCAUAGCCACUGCCACAAACCUUAGGCAAAUCGGUCUCACCGAUAGGGAUCUCGGUCUCACCGAGAUGGGAUUGUAAUCUCUCUAUUUCCCUUCGUAACGUUUUGGUCUAACCAAAGUGAGCGAUCGGUCCCACCAAGAUUGCAAUGUAAACUCUCUGUUUCCCUUCUGUAACAUUUCGGUCUCACCGAAAAGAGCAAAUCGGUCCCACCAAGUUUACCUGACCAACUCUCUAGUUAGCUAAUUACCAAAAUCGGUCUUACCGAGUUUGUGUAAUCCGUCUCACCGAGAUUAAGUUAUGCCCUAACCCUAACCAUAUCGGUCCUACCGAGUUGCAUUCCGGUCCCACCGAAAAUCCUAACGGUCACUAGGUUUACUAAAUCGGUCUGACCGAGUUUGUUGAUUCGGUCCCACCGAGAUUGGUAAAUUGUGUGUAACGGUUAGAUUUUGUGUGGAGGCUAUAUAUACCCCUCCACCUCCUCUUCAUUCAUGGAGAGAGCCAUCAGAACAAACCUACACUUCCAACUUACUAGUUCUGAGAGAGAACCACCUACUCAUGUGUUGAGGCCAAGAUAUUCCAUUCCUACCAUAUGAAUCUUGAUCUCUAGGCUUCCCCAAGUUGCUUUCCACUCAAAUCUUCUUUCCACCAGAUCCAAAUCCUAUGAGAGAGAGUUGAGUGUUGGGGAGACUAUCAUUUGAAGCACAAGAGCAAGGAGUUCAUCAUCAACGCGCCAUUUGUUACUUCUUGGAGAGUGGUGUCUCCUAGAUUGGCUAGGUGUCACUUGGGAGCCUCCGACAAAGAUUGUGGAGUUGAACCAAGGAGUUUGUAAGGGCAAGGAGAUCGCCUACUUCGUGAAGAUCUACCGCUAGUGAGGCAAGUCCUUCGUGGGCGACGGCCAUGGUGGGAUAGACAAGGUUGCUUCUUCGUGGACCCUUCUUGGGUGGAGCCCUCCGUGGACUCGCGCAACCGUUACCCUUCGUGGGUUGAAGUCUCCAUCAACGUGGAUGUACGAUAGCACCACCUAUCGGAACCACGCCAAAAACAUCCGUGUCUCCAACUGCGUUUGAAUCCUCCAAACCCUUCCCCUUACUUUCUUGGAAGUUGCAUGCUUUAGUUCACGCUGCCUAUAUACUCUUUGCAUGCUUGGUUGAUUUGUGUGAUGAUUGCUUGACGUGUCCAAAGAUUGUUAAAAUCUGCCAAACUCUAAAGCUGGGAAAAGCUUAAGUUUUUAAUUGGUCAAGUAGUCUAAUCACCCCCCCCCCUCUAGACAUACUUCAAGGUCCUACAAGUGGUAUCAGAGCCUUGGUCUCCAUUUGCUUUGAUUUCCAUAGCUUUUGGUGGUCAUAGCCUUGGUUUCACAACCUAGGAGAGUAUGGCGUCUAGCGAGGGAAAUUAUCACCGUAGAGGUCCUUACUUUGAUGGAACUAAUUUUGCUAGUUGGAAUCAUAAGAUGAAAAUGCAUAUUCUCGGACAUAACCCCGCCGUUUGGGCUAUUAUUUGUAUUGGCUUGCAAGGUGAAUUCUUUGAUGGGAGAGAGCCGAACCGUGAAGCUAAUGCGGAAGAAUUGAAGAUGCUGCAAUACAACACUCAAGCUUGUGAUAUCAUCUUCAACGGAUUGUGGCCCGAAGAAUUCAACAAAAUCAGCCAUCUUGAGAAUGCAAAGGAAAUUUGGGACACUUGAUUGAUAUGCAUGAAGGUACCGACUCCGUCAAGGAAUCCAAGUUGGAUGUGCUCCAAAGUCAGCUUGACAAGUUCAAAAUGAAGGAUGGUGAAGGUGUCGCUGAAAUGUACUCUAGGCUUGCUCUUAUCACAAAUGAGAUUGCCAGCUUAGGAAGUGAAGAGAUGACCGACAGAUUCAUCAUCAAGAAGAUCCUAAGAGCAUUGGAUGUAAAAUAUGAUACCGUGUGCAAAUUGAUUCAAAUGAUGCCCAAUUACAAGAAUCUCAAGCCAACGGAGGUCAUCGGUAGAAUUGUUGCUCAUGAGAUGUCACUCAAGGAUAAGGAGGAACUUCACAACAAGUCAAGUGGUGCUUACAAAGCCUCAUGUGAAGCCCCCACAUCAUCAAGUGAGGAACAAACCUUCAAUGAAGAAUUGAGCUUAAUGGUGAAGAAUUUCAACAAAUUCUUCAAGAGUAGAAGCAAAGAAAGAAGCUCUAAGUCAAGGUCCUACAAUGAUAAAAGAUCUUCCAGUCGAGAGCGCAAUUGCUACAAUUGUGGGAGACCCGGACACUAUUCCAAUGAGUGUACGGCACCCUACAAAAGAAGAGAAGAUUCUCCAAAAAGAAGAAGUAGAAGAGAAGAAUCACCGCCAAGAGAGAGAGAAGGAGUAGAGAUGAUCGUUAUGAAUGAAGACCCUCACGGAGAAGCAAAGAUUCGGAAAGGAAGGAAAAGUCAUCAAAGAGCUACACAAAAUGAAGACAUCAAGCUCAUGUUGGUGAAUGGGUAUCCGGUUCCGACUCUGAACAUCACUCCGAGAGAAGCUAUCACUCCAACUCCGAACAUACUCAAGAUGAAGGUGUUGCCGGUCUAGCACUUGUGUCAACCAACUCCUAUGACAUAUUUGACUCACCAAAUGAAGGAAUUGGAAGAUGCUUCAUGGCCAAAGGUCAAAAGGUAACACAUCCGAGUAUGUUGAUUUAAAUAGUGAUGAAGAUGACUUGCUAGGUGAUGAUGAUUUACUUGUUGACAACUCUAGUGAUGAAUACUAUGAUGGAACGUCAAUUAAUCAUGCUAAACAAGAUAAAACGAAUGACAAUGAUAAGGAGAAGAUUGAGCUUCUAACUAAAGAACUAAACACUCUUAAGUUAGCUCAUGAAACUAUGUUCGAAAAUCAUCAAGAACUUUUAAGAGCUCAUGAGAAGUUACGCUUUGAAAAGCUCAAUCUUGAGCAAGAGCAUGAGUUCUUAAAGGCAAUCAAUGAUGAUCUUCGCAAGAAAAGUUCUUCAUACAUUGCCAAGCGUUUACUCUUAUCUACUGACAUGCCUCAAGUCAAGUCUAGUAACAAGAACAAGAAAGAUUCAUCCUCUAGUAGUAGCAAUAACAAUGCUAAAUCCAAUAUUGUUGCUUCUAGUAGUUCUCUUGAUUCCACUAAUGAUUCUCUUAGCCAAGUUACACUUGAGCGAGAAAAUAGCCUAUUGAAGGGAAUUAUAGAGAAAGGUGUAUACAAGAGCCUUGCCGGGAGUAAGCAAUUCGAGGAAAUUGUACGCAAGCAAGGAAGGCACCGGAAGAAUCAAGGUGUUGGUUUUGAACGAAAGUUCAAUGCCAAUGGAGUUGAGUGGGAAUAAGAUCAAUACCCCAAGACGAAGUUUGUUCCUCAACAAGAGAAGUAUGAUCCUACUUCUUUCAAGGGAACACAAGCUCAAGAUGAUCUUCCACCACAAGACCAUAAAGGCAAGGACAAGCUUCAAGAGGAGAUUGAUGCAUUUGAAGAAGCACCUAAGGCCUUGGUCAAGUGGGUUCCCAAGACUACGUCAAGUUCUACUUCAUCAAGUACAACCACAACUCCAAGGAUUCCCAUCAAGAUGAUGUGGAUCCAGAAGAAGAAGAACUAGAGAGUUCUUGAGGGUGACUCCGCCAACAUUCUUCACUCAUAUCAUUACGGCAAGAGCAAGUGCAAUCAACUUCCACAUCUUGCACUAGUUCAAGGAGUCACAAACCCUCAUGUUGGUAAGGCAAGGGACAAGGUAACCAAAUGAUUUCAUGGACAUCAUCUUGUGUGUGCAUCACUCUAUGUCUAUGGAUAUUCUUGUUUUGUUCCUUGUGGGACUAACCCAUGUAGGUAUGUUGAAAGUGCAACUCACUCCAAAAGAUUGCUCCAAAUGAUCUACAUCAACUUUGAGCAUUCACAUCUUCAACACCUACAUGAAGUCAUCAUCGACAAAACCCAAGGUUAGUUCAUUCCUCUAAAAGGGGAUCUCACAUCUAGGGGGAGCUUAACUCUAAGAAUUGAGUCAAAGCAACUCUAAUGGUGUGAACACAUCAAUGCAUUAUGUAAAAGUGGUAACCCCACUUGAGCUUAAACGAUGAGUAUGACCUAUGAUCAAAUGUUCUCAUUUGACUCCUAAGUCAAUAUACUCAUAUAUAGAUGACCUAGUCAUUGCCAAUUGUUUGAUAGAUGCUAGAAUUGGUUGUGCAUGCUUUGCCACAUAUUUCAUUUGUCACUUUAUUGUGUGAGCAUGCUGGUUGCAUAUUUUACUCAUUCGAGGACAUCCAUUUGUUGUUUUGAUUGAUUGGUUUCCUUUUCUUUGGCCAAGUGGAUGGAUAAGAAUGCCUAAGAACCUUCUCUAGCUAUCUAUGCUUAUCUCGUCUCAAACUCUAUUCAUGCAACAUCACAAAAUUUGAUCAAGUCAGAUUCGAACCACUCUGUGUGAGGAGCACUCGGAGUCCCCGACUUGUCAGAGACUUAAACUUCCAAAACUUCUUUGUGAUUCUCGGUCUGACCGAUUCCUCCAUUUCGGUCCCACCGAGAUCACUAAGUCGAUCUAGGUUUUCAAUCUCGGUGAAACCGAUAUGAACUUUUCGGUCACACUGAGUUGCUGUAACUGUUAACAGUUAUGCAUCUCGGUGCCACCGAGUUGUUCAACUCGGUCACACCGACAGUGUCGGGCUAUAUAUAGUCACGGGCAAAAGUUUGGAAAUUCCUCCAAACCCCUUCGCCCGCGUGUAGCUCGCUCUGCCUACUAGGUCUACGGAUCGUCGACUUCGUCGCCAGCCGCCUCCUGUCGCUGGUCUCCGCCGUCGUCAAUGGAUUUCUUCUCCGUCGUUGCCACCGUAGCAAGCUCACCGCCGAACUAGGGUAUGAACUCGAUCAUAGUGCUUUCCUCAUCUGAUUCUCAGCACAUUGUGUUCGUAAUGCAUCUUGCCACGAUUAAGACACUCCUAUCCACUCAAUGUGAUCCUUAGAAUAGAUGUGAUUCGAAAAUUUAGGGUUAGGUUUCCGCCGAAACCAUCUCGGACCCACCGGGUUGAAAAACUCGGUCCCACCGAUUUGGCUAACGCCAUUGCACUAGUAAGUCUUGGUCUGACCGAGAAUUACAAAUCGGUGUGACCGAUUUUAGAACUUUGUGAAACCCUAGCAGACUCAGUGCCACCAAACUGUCACUCGGUCUGAUCGAGUUCACUAGUUUAGGUUCCAAAACUGCUUCGGUAUCACCGAGUUUGAAAAUCGGUAGAUCCGAAAUGCUUUCUGUGGAAACUAAAACUAAGUUUUUGAAUCAUUCUUUUGCAAAAAUCUCUGCAUUUUGUGAUGCUCAUCCACUCUGUCUCAUCUAUAACUAUUCACAAGGUCAACAGUCAGUGAUUUGCAGCAUGUCAGACCAAAGUGAUAGUCAGAACAAGUCAGCAGAGCAGAUUCACAUGAGUGAGGGCACUAGUCCCUCAAGUACUUCAGAUGAAGGGAGCAGAAGCACUCCAAGCAAUUUGCCCAAAGCAGCCACAAGAGCUAGAAGGAAGAGAACCCCAGACUCAGAGGAUGAGGACUAUGUGGCAGCAGAAGAUGAGGCUACUUCCAAGAAGGUAUUGCUCAAGAAGGUGCUCAGCUCAACUGCAGUAAAGCCAGGCAUGAAGAUCAAAAGGCCAGCAGGAAGACAGCCAAUGUCCAGAGCCAGAGGAUCAACUCAAGUAUCUGGAAUGCCUGAUCCCAAAGAGCCAGCUGCAGAAGGAAAGAAAAUGAAGGAAAGGGUCAAGAAGACCAUGGCCAGAGUUGUUGGUCAACCUUCCAUGAUGGAAGAGGAAGAAGAGAUUGCUGAACCAACACCCAAGGCACAAAAUCUGAUGGGUGAUGCUAUAAAGUCAGGGGCUGCAACAUCAAAGCCCAAAGAAGCACCCAAAGCUGCCUCCAAGCCUAAGAUUGCACCAAAGAGGAAUACCAGGAGUAUACCAGCAGCUGAGAAGAACAAGGCCCCAAUGCCUGAGGUUGCUGCUGAGGAGGAUGAAGAAGGGCAGAUCUUAAGGAAGCUCAAACCCAAGAUUCCAGACCACAAUGAUGCUCAUCCUGUGGCUGAGAACAUGAAGAUCAGGAAAGACUCAGGGUUGAGGCUAUGGAGAGAGUCAGAUCCAUAUGCCAACAGGAGAAGGACUGCUGUAGAUUACAGGUUCCACACGAAGGAGCAGCAGGACUUCUAUGAGACAAUCUUGUUGGACAAGAAGCCCAUAGUGUGUGAUAUGAGGUGGGUCGACUGGACCUACAUGAAGGAAAAUGAAGAACACUAUCCUGGAGUGCAAGACAGUUUCAUUGCUUGUGGAGUUGCAGAUUUUGUUGGGCAGAAGCUCACCAACUGGAAUGAUGAACUCAUUAUGCAAUUCUACUCCACAGCACACUUCUAUCCAGAUGGCAGGAUAGUUUGGAUGUCUGAAGGAACAAGAUACCAGUCAACCAUUAAGGAAUAGGCAAGUCUGAUCAAAGCCCCAAAGGAUAGUGAAGAUGACUUGGAUGUAUAUGCCAAGAAGAAGAUAGGACACAAUACUAUGUCACAUAUGUACAAAGAGAUCCCAGACAAAGCCCUUGAGACUUUCUCGUUUGGGUCAGUUCAUUUUCUUCUGUCAGGGCUGCCUACGAUCAACUGGAUCUUAAGGCACACUCUUUUGCCCAAAUCAGGUGACCACAACAUGAUAAGAGGGCAUACAAUUAACUUGAUUCACAUUUUUGAUGUGCCCCAGAAAUUUAAGGUCAUGAGCCUUAUGGUUGAAACCAUUAAGAGGACUGCAGCAGAUCAGAAGAGAAGUUGUGGAUAUGCCCCACAGAUUCAGGAGUUGAUUAACUCAAAGAUGGGCACAAGAAAGUAUCAGUUGGAUAAGGAACAUUUUGCUCUCUAUCCAGACUUUAAGGACAAUCAAGUUGUCAUGAAUGAGAAUGAACCAUCAUCAGUGCAAGCUCAAGAGAAGAAGGAAAAGGCAAGGAAAGAGAAGGCUGCCAAGAUGCCAACUCAAGAGGAGGCAUCUGAGUAUUUCUUGAAGAGCAAGCAGGAGCAGCUUGGUUACUUGAUAGCAUCAACACUGAGGAUUGACAAGGGGUUGGCCACCCUAACUCAAAAACAGGAGAGCCUGGAAAGGAUCAUGGAACAAAAAUUCUAUGAUCUUGAUGUCAAAGUAACUGAGAUUCAGUCGAUUGUGGAACAGCUUCAGGAUGACAUGCAAGAGAGGAAGGGCAAGACAAUCACAGAUGCAUUUGCCAGAGUGCCUAGAGCUCAGAGGUCAGCUGCAGUGCCUAUGACAGACACAAGAUCCACAUCAUCUGCACCAGCUACAGCUCCAGUGCAACCAGCUCCAGCACCAACUCCUCCAGCUCCCUCUACAUCGACUGAAGUCUUCGUCCAAGGAGCCAUCUCUACACCUCCACCACCUGAAGACCAAGCCUGAGACACGAUCUAGCACUAUGCAUUUUUUAUGAACUUUUUGGUAACUUGUUGCCAAAGGGGGACAAAAAUGUAUAGAUCAUAGGCUUCGAGAGAGAGAUUUGCUGUUUUUUGUUCUCUCUUGUCUUCUUGGUUAAACUUGUUUGCCUUUUUGAUUGCUUAAGAUACAAUGCAUUACCUGUGAGACAUUGAUGAUCAUGUGUUUGAUCAUAAGCUACACUUAUGCUUGAUUAUAUGUUAUUAUCUUACCUAUCCUUAUAUGAUCAUUCACUUUGCUUGGUGAUGAGUGCAUGCAUUUAAUCUUUAUUAUUUUGAGCGCUCCACCAAGAUGUAUGUGACAUGGAAGAGUAAACCAUGAGCCUAAUUCCUUGUGCAUUUGCAGUCCAAAGCAAAUCUUAAACUAUGCACAAAUUUAGGGGGAGCUCUUGCUUAUCACAUACUUCUCAAAGCGACGAUGUUUUUCAAUCUUAUUAUCAUGUGUCGAAGCUUUGAUCUAUAUGUUGUCAUAAAUUACCAAAAAGGGGGAGAUUGAAAGUGCAACUAUCCCUAGGUGGUUUUGUUAAUUCAUAACAACAUAUAGCUCAUUGAGCUAAUGCUAUUCCAAGACUAUUAUUUCAGGAAAGCUCAAUGAAUGGCAUGGCAUGGAUGAUGAAAGUGGAUCCCUCAAAAUAUCAAGGACAAAGGAUUGGCUCAAGCUCAAAAGCUCAAGACUCUUCAUUUUAUAUUUCAGUGAUCCAAGAUCACAUUGAGUCUAUAGGAAAAGCCAAUACUAUCAAGGAGGGAUGAGGUGUUGCUUAAUGAGCCUCUUGCUUCAUGUGCUUAGUGAUAUGCUCCAAAACCCUCAACUACUUUCUCACAUCCACAUAUGACCUAAACCUAAAGCCAAAAUCAGUCACACCGAUUCUUUCUAUCUAGUGCCACCGAGUUGAAAUGUCAUAGCCACUGCCACAAACCCUAGGCAAAUCGGUCUCACCGAUAGGGAUCUCGGUCUCACCGAGAUGGGAUUGUAAUCUCUUGUUUCCCUUUGUAACGUUUCGGUCUAACCGAAGUGAGCGAUCGGUCCCACCGAGAUUGCAAUGUAAACUCUCUAUUUCCCUUUUGUAACAUUUCAGUCUCACCGAAAAGACCAAAUCGGUCCCACCGAGUUUACCUGACCAACUCUCUGGUUAGCUAAUUACCAAAAUCGGCCUUACCGAGUUUGUGUAAUAGGUCUCACCGAGAUUACGUUAUGCCCUAACCCUAACCAUAUCGGUCCUACCGAGUUGCAUUUCGGUCCCACCGAAAAUCCUAACGGUCACUAGGUUUACUAAAUCGGUCUGACCGAGUUUGUUGAUUCGGUCCCACCGAGAUUGGUAAAUUGUGUGUAACGGUUAGAUUUUGUGUGGAGGCUAUAUAUACCCCUCCACCUCCUCUUCAUUUGUGGAGAGAGCCAUCAGAACAAACCUACACUUCCAACUUACCAGUUCUGAGAAAGAACCACCUACUCAUGUGUUGAGGCCAAGAUAUUCCAUUCCUACCAUAUGAAUCUUGAUCUCUAGCCUUCCCCAAGUUGCUUUCCACUCAAAUAUUCUUUCCACCAGAUCCAAAUCCUAUGAGAGAGAGUUGAGUGUUGGGGAGACUAUCAUUUGAAGCACAAGAGCAAGGAGUUCAUCAUCAAUGCACCAUUUGUUACUUCUUGGAGAGUGGUGUCUCCUAGAUUGGCUAGGUGUCACUUGGGAGCCUCCGACAAAGAUUGUGGAGUUGAACCAAGGAGUUUGUAAGGGCAAGGAGAUCGCCUACUUCGUGAAGAUCUACCGCUAGUGAGGCAAGUCAUUCGUGGGCGACGGCCAUGGUGGGAUAGACAAGGUUGCUUCUUCGUGGACCCUUCUUGGGUGGAGCCCUCCGUGGACUCGUGCAACCGUUACCCUUCAUGGGUUGAAGUCUCCAUCAACGUGGAUGUACGAUAGCACCACCUAUCGGAACCACGCCAAAAACAUAUGUGUCUCCAACUGCGUUUGAAUCCUCCAAACCCUUCCCCUUACUUUCUUGCAAGUUGCAUGCUUUAAUUUCCGCUGCCUAUAUACUCUUUGCAUGCUUGCUUGACUUGUGUGAUGAUUGCUUGACAUGUCCAAAGANNNNNNNNNNNNNNNNNNNNNNNNNNNNNNNNNNNNNNNNNNNNNNNNNNNNNNNNNNNNNNNNNNNNNNNNNNNNNNNNNNNNNNNNNNNNNNNNNNNNNNNNNNNNNNNNNNNNNNNNNNNNNNNNNNNNNNNNNNNNNNNNNNNNNNNNNNNNNNNNNNNNNNNNNNNNNNNNNNNNNNNNNNNNNNNNNNNNNNNNNNNNNNNNNNNNNNNNNNNNNNNNNNNNNNNNNNNNNNNNNNNNNNNNNNNNNNNNNNNNNNNNNNNNNNNNNNNNNNNNNNNNNNNNNNNNNNNNNNNNNNNNNNNNNNNNNNNNNNNNNNNNNNNNNNNNNNNNNNNNNNNNNNNNNNNNNNNNNNNNNNNNNNNGAAUGUUGAAGCUGGGCUCAAAAUAAUGAAUGGAUUGAGCUGGCAUUUGGUGGAGGAUGGUUAUUUGGCUAGAGGAAAGCACUGUAGAAAAUGGAUACCAUUUGGACAUGCCAAAAUGGUACUUCCUUCACAAAGUGUUGCUCUGAACAUAAUAGGAAAAUGAAUAUUGUUGAGAUAUUUUUGAACUAGGCAUGGAAGGUUUUUGACAUAUUUGAUGAAGAUAUGAUCCAAACAAUUUAUGAGAAUUUUUUGGGAAUUUUUGGAAUAACAGAAAUAUAGGUUGCUUCACAACAUAAGGCAAAAAUUGACACAUGGACAUUACACAUAGGCAAAACUGAUGAGAUGGCGCCUAGUCAUCACAACCCACCACAAUCUACAAGCCUAUGACCAUCUAUAUUGGUCGUUAACAACUAGAAAUAAGGCAGUGGACCAGCACUGUUUGCUUUAUGACCAUUUCGUGUAAGGAAAUUAUGACCUUUCUGACCAAAAUGGUCGCAAUGGUUUAGGGUUUGGAGCCCCCCGAACAGUUUUUGACCAAAUGGUCUCAAAUGGUCAUAGAUCUAUGACCAAUUCUUCCAGGGUCACUGACAGAAGGUCACUAGUUGACAUAUUUCUUGUAGUGGCUAUCCAGCAUGCAUCUAGAGUAUUAAGUUCAUAAGAACAGAGUAACGCAUUAAGAAAGAUGACAUGAUGUAGAGGGAUAAACUCAAGCAAUAUGAUAUAAACCCCAUCUUUUUAUCCUCGAUGGCAACAAUACAAUACAUGCCUUGCAACCCUUUCUGUCACUGGGUAAGGACACCACAAGAUUGAAGCCAAAGCUAAGCACUUCUCCCAUGGCAAGAAAGAUCAAUCUAGUAGGCCAAACCAAACUGAUAAUUCGAAGAAACUUGCAAAGAUAACUCAAUCAUACAUAAAAGAAUUCAGAGAUGAUUCAAAUAUUUCUCAUAGAUAAACUUAAUCAUAAACCCACAAUUCAUCGGAUUUCGACAAACACACCACAAAAAGAGUUUACAUCGAAUAGAUCUCCACAAGAGAGGGGGAGAACAUUGUAUUGAGAUCCAAAGAGAGAGAGGAAGCCAUCUAGCUAAUAACUAUGGACCCAAAGGUCUGUGGUAAACUACUCACAACUCGUCGGAGGGGCUAUGGUGUUGAUGUAGAAGCCCUCCAUGGUCGAUUCCCCCUCCAGCGGAGCGCCGGCAAAGGCUCCAAGAUGGGAUCUCACGGAUACAGAAGGUUACGGCAGUGGAAAUUGUUUUUCGUUGGCUCCCUGGAUGUUUUCGGGGUACGUAGGUAUAUAUAGGAGGAAGAAGUACGUCGGUGGCCGCUCGAGGGGCCUAGGAGACAGGGGGGCGCGCCCAGGAGCCCUAGGAGCAUGCACGUAAUACUUUAUUUUUGAUGACUUGUAGAAUUUUGCAAUAAGUAUAUGAGUUCUUUUGACUAAUGUUGAGUCCAUGGAUUAUACGUACUCUCACCCUUCCACCAUUGCUAGCCUCUCUUGUACCGUGCAACUUUCGUCGGUACCAUACACCCACCAUAUACCUUCCUCAAAACAGCCACCAUACCUACCUAUUAUGGCAUUUCCAUAGCCAUUCCGAGAUAUAUUGCCAUGCAACUUUCCAUUGUUCCGUUUAUAUGACACGCAACAUCAUUGUCAUAUUGCUCUUUGCAUGAUCAUGUAGUUGACAUCGUAUUUGUGGCAGGGCCACCUUCAUAAUUUUCAUACAUGUCGCUCUUGAUUCAUUGCAUAUCCCGGUACACCGCCGGAGGCAUUCAUAUAGAGUCAUAUCUUGUUCUAAGUUUUGAGUUGUAAUUUUUGAGUUAUAAGUAAAUAAAAGUGUGAUGAUCUUCAUUAUUAGAGCAUUGUCCCGGUGAGGAAAGGAUGAUGGAGAUUAUGAUUCCCCCACAAGUCGGGAUGAGACUUCGGACUUUAAAAAAAAAGAGAAAGGCAAAAAAAAGAGAUAGGCCAAAAAAAGGCCAAAGAAAAAAAAGAAAAAAAGAGAAAAAAAGGAAAAAGGAAAAGGAAAAAAAUGAAAGAAAAAGAGAGAAGGGACAAUGCUACUAUCCUUUUACCACACUUGUGCUUCAAAGUAGCACCAUGAUCUUCAUGAUAGAGAGUCUCCUAUGAUUGUCACUUUCAUAUACUAGUGGGAAUUUUUCAUUAUUGAACUUGGCUUGUAUAUUCCAAUGAUGGGCUUCCUCAAAAUGCCCUAGGUCUUCGUGAGAAAGCGAGUUGGAUGCACACCCACUUAGUUUCUUUUGUUGAGCUUUCAUACAUUUAUAGCUCUAGUGCAUCCGUUGCAUGGCAAUCCCUACUCACUCACAUUGAUAUAUAUUAAUGGGAAUCUCCAUAGCCCGUUGAUACGCCUAGUUGAUGUGAGGCUAUCUUCUCCUUUUUGUCUUCUCCACAACCACCAUUCUAUUCCACAUAUAGUGCUAUGUCCAUCGCUCACGCUCAUGUAUUGCGUGAAAGUUGAAAAAGUUUGAGAUUACUAAAGUAUGAAACAAUUGCUUGGCUUGUUAUCGGGGUUGUGCAUUAUUAAAUACUUUGUGUGAUGAAGAUAGAGCAACAGCCAGACUAUAUGACUUUGUAAGGAUAACUUUCUUUAGCCAUAUUAUUUUGAGAAGACAUGAUUGCUUUGAUUAGUAUGCUUGAAGUAUUACUAUUUCUUAUGUCAAUAUGAACUUUUAUUUUGAAUCAUUUGGAUCUGAACAUUCAUGCCACAAUAAAGAAAAUUACAUUGAGAAUUAUGCUAGGUAGCAUUCCACAUCAAAAAUUCUGUUUUUACCAUUUACCUACUCGAGGACAAGCAGGAAUUAAGCUUGGGGAUGCUUGAUACGUCUCCAACGUAUCGAGGUGGCCAGGAGAUAGGACGCGCCCCCCUAUCUCCUGGCCGCCGUGAUUGCUUCUUGACUUGCACUCCAAGUCCUCUGGAUCACGUUCGUUCCAAAAAUCACGCUCCCGAAGGUUUCAUUCCGUUUGGACUCCGUUUGAUAUUCCUUUUCUUCGAAAUACUGAAAUAGGCAAAAAAAAUAGCAAUACGGGUUGGGUCUCCGGUUAGUAGGUUAGUCCCAAAAAUGAUAUAAAUAUGUAAAAUAAAGCCCAUAAACAUCCAAAAGGGGUAAUAUAAUAGCAUGGAACAAUCAAAAAUUAUAGAUACGUUGGAGACGUAUCACCCACUUAGCAGUAUCGCCUGGGCCGUGAGAGUGCGCUACUGCUAAAUAUUACCUGUAGUGCGCCCAGUUUACCCGCGCUGCUGCUAGUUAGCAAUAGCACAUCCUUUUAACAAGCGCUACUGAUAAUCCUCUAUGUAUAUUGUUUUCUAGUGCUAUUUCAGAGUUGCCAGUGGACAGUUGCAAAAGCCGGUACAACUAGGAGUCGAUCUAGGAGCAGAAAUCAACAAUGAUCCUGUCAUGGCACAGGGGUUAGAGACACAAUGGCUGAACAAUGCGAUAUUGAUCAGACCGCCUUCGACAUGAGCAAGUUGAUGAGUUGGAACCUCGUAAAGCCAAGGUUGGAUGUGUUUCCUCAUACCUCCUAAUCCAGUUUUACUCAUCGCCAGUUGUCGUAUGGCCUCUAGUUCUAAUACUAGAGGAAGAAGCAUCAUCGCUCUGAGGAUUUGAGUGGGGAUGAGGAGUUCGACCACUCGACAGUAUAUCUAUACCCCUAUAUAGUGUGUGAAUAAAUUUGAAAGUUGGUCAUUGGAUGAAGCCAAUCCGACGCUACAAAGAUGGCAAAUCCAAGCACUACUGGACGUUGAAUAUGAUCUACAUUCCACCAGAUUUUGCCACAUGUAGAAUCUAGAAAACUCCACAUGUAGAAGCAUAAUGCACAAACCACCAGAAUCUCAUGCGUGCAAUGCACGUGUACCUUACUAGUAAUAUAUAUUCUCCAUGACCUACACAGUUUACAUGUACUGUUACGAAGCCAGCACAUGCUUCAUCAAUCUCUUCUUAGAGAUUCUAUUCAACGGAUGGUUGAUGGAGGCUGCUCUCAUUUUCAUUUCUGAUGUUCUAUCUUGCAUUUCUGAUUUCCGGGGUGAUUGUUUGCUAGUCUGAAUGGUUGAUGGGAAUUUCCUGCCAAAUCAGAAAGUAUAUAGGCAUAAACAGAAGAAAUUAUGUAGAACUACAACUUAGAAGAAAAAAUUACAAAGCCCACAUAACGUAUCUGCGGCACAUUGUAGGAUGCAAUAAACUUGGUCUCAAAACCUCCACAUACUGACAUACAUAGUCAGAUUCUUCCAAACAUGCAUCAUGGUUCCGAAAUAUCAGAACUGCAUCCACCAUCCACUUCCUAAUGUAAAGCAGGCUUAACAAACAAGACAUCUUCCAAAUAUAAGGGAUCAUCGAUGAUCAACCUAGUUCAUCCUCCUGACGAGCUGGUUGAUGUAGUUCUCGCAAUUGCCAGCGGCACCACCCUCGACAUAGUGGUUCCUCUUCUUCUUGAGGCCUCCUAGCGAUGCCUUCAGUUUGAUUGACCAGAGGAAGUUAUUGGCCUCCUCGAAGUGAGGGCCCAUGGUUAAGAUCUCGUGGACAAGGUCCCCAGUGCAGAUGAUGUUGUGCUUUCUAAGACCCUGACAAUUAUACAAACAAAAUGGUUGGAGUUACUGAGGGAGUCCUGGAUUAAGAGGUCCUCGGACAGCCGGACUAUGUACUUUGGCCGGACUGUUGGACUAUGAAGAUACAAGAUUGAAGACUUUGUCCUGUGUCCGGAUGAGACUCUCCUUUGCGUGGAAGGCAAGCCUGGCAAUUCGGAUAUGUAGAUAUCCUUCUCUGUAACCGACUCUGUGUAACCCUAGCCCCCUCCAGUGUCUAUAUAAAUCGGAGGGUUUAGUCCAUAGGACAAGAACAAUCAUAAUCAUAGGCUAGCUUCUAGGGUUUAGCCUCUAUGAUCUCAUUGGUAGAUCAGCUCUUGUAAUACUCAUAUCAUCAAGAUCAAUCAAGCAGGAAGUAGGGUAUUACCUCCAUCGAGAGGGCCCGAACUUGGAUAAAACAUCGUGUCCCCUGCCUCCUAUUACCAUUAGACUUAGACGCACAGUUCGGGACCCCCUACCCGAGAUCCUCCGGUUUUGACACCCACAUUGGUGCUUUCAUUGAGAGUUCCACUAUUUCAUCACUGUAAGGCUUGAUGCCUCCUUCAAUCAUCUUCAAUGACACUGUCCAGGGGAGGUUUUCCUUACCGGACAGAUCUCCGUAUUCGGCGGCUUCAUACUGCGGGCCAACUCGCUUGGACAUCUAGAGCAGAUCAAUAGCUAUGCCCCUGGCCAUCAGGUCAGGUUUGGAAGCUUGAACUAUACUGCCGACAUCCGCGAAGACUUGAUCUUCGACGGAUUCGAGCCCAUGCCAGGUGCGCCGAAUGGUCACGACGGGCAUGACUUCGGUCUGCCAUCGGACAGUGUUCGGGAGAUCGCGUCUGCGGCGGUGCCAGGAAUCAAUCCGGAGCAGAUCGUGCCUUCCAAGGAUGGGUAGAUGGACCCCGCCACGGAAGUCAUACACUCAUCAGCGUUGGAGCCGAAAACUGAUCCCACCUCUUGCGAGGAUGGUGUCAUCGGACCCUCGGACUCUUUUCGGCUACAAGAUCCGAGCCGCGUGCGUCCGUGCCUAUCGAAUCUGAUUGGGCACCGGUCAUGGAGUUCACCGCCAUGGAUAUUUUUCAGCACUCUCCCUUGGGUGAUGUGCUAAGUUCAUUAAGAUCUCUUUCCUUGUCGGGAGAUUCUUGGCCGAACUAUGUCUAGCUCGAGUGGGAAGCGGACGACGAAGAAACUCGUUCCCCACCCACCACCCACUUCAUAGCCACUGUCGAUGACUUAACCGACACGCUCGAUUUUGACUCCGAAGACGUCGACGGUAUUUACGAUGACGCAGGAGAAGAACAGGAACCACCGCCCACUAGGCGUUGGACUGCCACCUCAUCAUAUGAUAUAUAUAUAUGGUGGAUACACCAAAAGAAGGCGAUGGUGAUGACGCAACGAAGGAUAAUCCCCUCGAUAAGCCACCAAAGCAACGCCGUAGGUGCCACUCUAAAUCCCGCCAUAGUAAAAAACAGCAACAAUAGCGCAAAAAAGGAAUUAUACCCCGGUUGACUCCAAAGGAAACGAUGACCCCAUGGACCCAGCGAUGGAGCAGGAUGGGCUAGGGGACGGUGAACGUAGUUCGGAGCCGACGCCAGAUGACGCUGAUCCCGAGGGUAAAAUUAAUCAAUCUAUCUCCAGAGAGGAGAACAGUCCGGAUGAUGAUGCGCUCAUCAUCCCAAAAAAACACUUGGAACAAGAGAACCUCCAUAGAAGACUUACUGCCACUGCGAGGAGCCUAAAGAAGCAGAAGCAAAGACUCAAGACCGCGCAGGACAUGCUCAACCACAGAUGGAAUAAAGUACUUGACACUGAAGAGAAAUACGAUGGUGAUCGCCACACAAAGAGCUAUCCAAAGUGCAAGCUGCUACCCGAAUUCGACGACGAGGCCAUAGAGCCCAUUCAGCCGAAAACGGCUGAUAAGCCAGACCGACCACCCAGUGGCCGCGAUAGAAUGGCUAAUGUGUUGGAGAACAUUGCAGAAAAUAAUUUUUUUCUACGCUUCACCAAGAUCAAUCUAUGGAGUCAUCUAGCAACGAGAGAGAGGAGUGCAUCUACAUACCCUUGUAGAUCACGAGCGGAAGCGUUCAAGAGAACGGGGUGAUACGUCUCCAACGUAUCUAUAAUUUUUUAUUGCUCCAUGCUACUUUAUCUACUGUUUUGGACUAUAUUGGGCUUUAUUCUCCAUUUUUAUAUUAUUAUUGGGACUAACCUAUUAACCGGAGGCCCAGCCCAGAAUUGCUGUUUUUUUUCCUAUUUCAGUAUUUCGAAGAAACAGAAUAUCAAACGGAGUCAAAAUGGAAUAAAACCGAAGGCAUUCAUAUAGACUCAUAUUUUGUUCUAGUAUCGAGUUGUAAUUGUUGAGUUUUAAGAAAAAAUAAAAGUGUGAUGAUCAUCAUUAUUAGAGCAUUGUCCCAGUGAGGAAAGGAUGAUGGAGACUAUGAUUCCCCCAUAAGUCGGGAUGAGACUCCGAACUUUAUGAAAAAUAAAAAGAGGCCAAAGAAGCCCAAAUAAAAAAAUAUGAUAGAAAAAGAGAGAAGGGACAAUGCUACUAUCCUUUUUCCACACUUGUGCUUCAAUGUAGCACCAUGAUCUUCAUGAUAGAGAGUCUCAUAUGUUGUCACUUUCAUAUACUAGUGGGAAUUUUUUAUUAUAGAACUUGGCUUGUAUAUUCCAAUGAUGGGCUUCCUCAAAAGUGCCCUAGGUCUUCGUGAGCAAGCAAGUUGGAUGCACACCCACUUAGUUUCUUUUGUUGAGCUUUCAUAUACUUAUAGCUCUAGUGCAUCCGUUGCAUGGCAAUCCCUACUCCCUCACAUUGAUAUCUAUUGAUGGGCAUCUCCAUAGCCCAUUCAUAUGCCUAGUUGAUGUGAGACUAUCUUCUCCUUUUUGUCUUCUCCACAACCACCAUUCUAUUCCACCUAUAGUGCUAUGUCCAUGGCUCACGCUCAUGUAUUGCAUGAAAGUUGAAAAAGUUUGAGAUUUCUAAAGUAUGAAACAAUUGCUUGGCUCGUCAUCGGGGUUGUGCAUGAUUAAAUACUUUGUGUGAUGAAGAUAGAGCAUAGCCAUACUAUAUGAUUUUGUAGGGAUAACUUUCUUUAACCAUGCUAUUUUGAGAAGACAUGAUUGCUUUAAUUUGUAUGCUCAAAAUAUUAUUACCUUUAUGUUAAUAUGAACUUUUGUCUUGAAUCUUUUGGAUCUGAAUAUUCAUGCCACAAUUAAGAAGAUUCACAUUGAAAUUAUGCCAAAGUAUCACUCCGCAUCAAAAAUUCUUUUUUAUCAUUUACCUACUCGAGGACGAGCAGGAAUUAAGCUUGGGGAUGCUUGAUACGUCUCCAACGUAUCUAUAAUUUUUGAUUGCUCCAUGCUACUUUAUCUACUGUUUUGGACUAUAUUGGGCUUUAUUUUCCACUUUUAUAUUAUUAUUGGGACUAACCUAUUAACCGGAGGCCCAGCACAGAAUUGCUGUUUUUUGCCUAUUUCAGUAUUUCGAAGAAACAGAAUAUCAAACGGAGUCCAAACGGAAUAAAACCUUCGGGGACGUGAUUUUCUCACCGAACGUGAUCCAGGAGACUUGGACCCUACUCCAAGAAGUGCCAGAGGCGGUCACGAGGGUGGAGGGCGCCGCACCCCCCCNNNNNNNNNNNNNNNNNNNNNNNNNNNNNNNNNNNNNNNNNNNNNNNNNNNNNNNNNNNNNNNNNNNNNNNNNNNNNNNNNNNNNNNNNNNNNNNNNNNNNNNNNNNNNNNNNNNNNNNNNNNNNNNNNNNNNNNNNNNNNNNNNNNNNNNNNNNNNNNNNNNNNNNNNNNNNNNNNNNNNNNNNNNNNNNNNNNNNNNNNNNNNNNNNNNNNNNNNNNNNNNNNNNNNNNNNNNNNNNNNNNNNNNNNNNNNNNNNNNNNNNNNNNNNNNNNNNNNNCCUGUUGCUCCACCGACAUACUCCUUCCUCCUAUAUAUACCUACGUACCCCCGUCAGAUCAGAUACGGAGCCAAAAACCUAAUUCCACCGCUGCAAACUUUUGUAUCCGCGAGAUCCCAUCUUGGGGCCUGUUCCGGAGCUCCGUCGGAGAGGGCAUCUACCACGGAGGGCUUCUACAUCAACACCAUAGCCUCUCCGAUGAAGUGUGAGUAGUUUACUUCAGACCUUCGGGUCCAUAGCUAGUAGCUAGAUGGCUUCUUCUCUCUUUCUGGAUCUCAAUACAAUGUUCUCCCCCUCUCUUGUGGAGAUCUAUUCGAUGUAAUCUUCUUUUUGCGGUGUGUUUGCUGAGACCGAUGAAUUGUGGGUUUAUGAUCUAGCUUAUCUAUGAAUAAUAUUUGAUUCUUCUCUGAAUUCUUUUAUGUAUGAUUGAGUUAUCUUUGCAAGUAUCUUCUAAUUAUCCGUUUGGUUUGGCCAACUAGAUUGGUAGUUCUUGCAAUGGGAGAAGUGUUUAGCUUUGGGUUCAAUGUUGCGGUGUCCUUACCAAGUGACAGAAAGGGUUGCAAGGCACGUAUUGUAUUGUUUCCAUCGAGGAUAACAAGAUGGGGUUUUUAUCAUAUUGCAUGAAUUUAUCCCUCUACAUCAUGUCAUCUUGCUUAAGGUGUUACUCUGUUUUUAACUUAAUACUCUAGAUGCAUGCUGGAUAAUGGUCGAUGAGUGGAGUAAUAGUAGUAGAUGCAGAAUCAUUUCGAUCUACUUGUCUUGGACGUGAUGCCUAUAUACAUGAUCAUACCUAGAUAAUCUCAUAAUUAUUUGCUUUUCUAUCAAUUGCUCAACAGUAAUUUGUUCACCCACCGUAGAAUACUCAUGCUCUUGAGAGAAGCCAUUAGUGAAACCUAUGGCCCCGGGGUCUAUUCUCAUCAUAUCAAUCUCCAUUACUUUAUUACUUGCUUUGUUUUUACUUUGCCUUUUACUUUUUACUUUGCAUCUCUAUAUCAAAUAUACCAAAAAUAUUAUUUAUCAUCUCUAUCAGAUCUCACCCUCGUAAGUGACCGUGAAGGGGUUGACAACCCCUAAUCGCGUUGGUUGCGAGUAGCUAUCGUUUUGUGUAGGUACGAGGGACUCGUGUGUGAUCUCCUACUGGAUUGAUACCUUGGUUCUCAAAAACUGAGGGAAAUACUUACGCUACUUUACUGCAUCAUCCUCUCCUCUUCGGGGAAAUCCAACGCAGUGCUCAAGAGGUAGCAAGAAGAAUUUCUGGCGCCGUUGCCGGGGAGUUUGCGCAAAAGUCAACCAUACCAAGUACCGAUCACAAUCCCUAUCUCUUGCAUUACAUUAUUUGCCUCUCGUUUUCCUCUCCCCCACUUCACCCUUGCCGUUUUAUUCGCCCUCUCUUUCGCAAUCUCCUCCUCUCUUUCCCUUUCGCCUUUUUCCAUUGCCCGUGUGUUUGCUCGUUUGCCUUGUCACUAUGACUAGUCUCUUACCUUCUCCGCUAUCUCUCGAGAAUGAAGUUUUAAAUUUUAAGCAAAGGGAGGGAGAAAAUCUAAAAGACGCUUGGUAUAGAAUUUGCAAUGCUCAAAAUAGAUCUACCAUGAAGCAAUCUACCUCAGUUCUUCUUUGUAAUUUUUAUGUAGGUGCUAAUCCUUGGUUUAGUCAUAUCCUUGAUACCAUUACCAGAGGGAAUUUCUUGGGUAGCCAUACUUUUGAUUCUUACAAUGCUUUAAUAGAUUUAUUUGGCUCACCACCUCCUUUGAUUAAUGGAACUAUGUUAGCUUUGGAGCAUGUUAUGCAAAGACUUGAAAUUAUUGAGAAUAAAGUUGCUACCAUUGAAUCAAUUGAAAAUCUUGAUAAGAAGAUCCACAAUCAAAUUACUCAAUAUGGAUCUAAGGUAGGAACGACUUUGAAAAAUAUUAAAGAAAAAGAACCCAUAGUUAACGAGAAAAUAAAUCUAGAUUCCACAAGAAUCGAUAAACUUGAGGGUAUCAUUACCAACUUGGGGACCGCUUUUUCUUCCGUGCAAAACACUCCAAGUUCGUCUACUAAAAAACCUAAGCUUACUUAUGUUCCCAAGAGUAAUGGUGAAUCAUCUAGUAAGGAAACCGCGGAUCUUAAAUCUAUAAGUGGUCAUCCCAAUCUUUUUGCCAUCAUUAAGGAACCAUUUGCUAUGAAUGAAUUUUUUGAUCUUGUGCCUAAGAAUUUGAUAAUUACUAGAAAGAAAGAAAUUUCUAAGAAAGAUAGAUGCCUCAUUGAAGAAUUGCCUACCAAAGAUGGCAAAACCUAGAUCUAUCCUUGCUUUUAUGCCUAGCUAAGGGCGUUAAACGAUAGCGCUUGUUGGGAGGCAACCCAAUUUUAUUUUGUGUUUUUUUGUUUUUUCUUCUGUUUAGGAAUAAAUAAUCCAUCUACUUUCUGUUUAGAUGUGAUUUUAUCUUUUAAUUAGUGUUUGUGCCAAGUAGAACCUAUAGGAUAAGCUAUGAUGAUAGUUGAUUUGAUUCUGCUGAAAAACAGAAACUUUGCGCUCACGAGAAAAAAUUCAAUAAAUCACAGAAACGUUCUUUUGCAUUGAUUCUUUUUGCUGAUGAUCAAUAAAAAACAAUUACAGUACGUCCUAUUUUGGUAUAAUUUUUAGAGUUGUAGAAGUUUGCGUUAGUUACAGAUUGCUACAGACUGUUCUAUUUUUGACAGAUUCUGUUUUUCGUGUGUUGUUUGCUUAUUUCAAUGCAUCUAUGGCUAAUAAAUUAGUUUAUAAAUCAUAAGGAAGUUGGAAUACAGUAGGUUUAACACCAAUAUAAAUAAAUAAUGAGUUCAUUACAUUACCUUAAAGUAGUCUUUUGUUUUCUUUCACUAACGGAGCUCACGAGAUUUCUAUUGAGUUUUGUGUUGUGAAGUUUUCAAGUUUUGGGUGAAUUCUUUUGAUGGGUUAUGGAACAAAGAGUGGCAAGAGCCUAAGCUUGGGGAUGACCAUGGAACCCCCGAGAAAAUCCAAGGACACCAAAAAUUCAAAGCUUGGGGAUGCCCUGUAAGGCAUCCCCUCUUUCGUCUAGUUCCACCGGUAAUUUAUUUGGAGCUAUAUUUUUAUUCACCACAUGUCAUGUGUUUUGCUUGGAGCGUCUUGUAUUAUUUGCAUCUUUGCUUGUUAGUUUACCACAAUCAUCCUUGCUGUACACACCUUUUGAUAGAGCCAUACAUGAUUUAUAAUUUGCUAGAAUACUCUAUGUGCUUCACUUAUAUCUUUUGAGCUUGAUAGUUUUGCUCAUAGUGCUUCACUUAUAUCUUUUGAGCGUAAUAAUUUUUGCUCUAGUGCUUCACUUAGAUCUUUUAGAGCACGGUGGUGGAUUUGUUUUAAAGAAACUAUUGAUAUCUCAUGCUUCACUUAGAUUAUUUUGAGAGUUGUUAAUAGCAUGUUAAUUUGCUUAAUGUUAAUAUACUUGGUAUUCAAGAUUUGUGAAACUUUCUUUUGAGUGUGUUGAAUACUAAGAUAAGUUUGAUGCUUGAUAAUUGUUUUGAGAUAUGGAGGUGAUAAUAUCAAAGCAAUGCUAGUUGGGGUGAUUAUGAAUUUAAAGAAUGCUUGUGUUGAAGUUUGUGAUUCCCGUAGCAUGCACGUAUGGUGAACCGCUUUGUGAUGAAGUCAGAGCACAAUUUUAUUUAUUGAUUGUCUUCGUUAUGAGUGGCAGUCGGGGAUGAGCGAUGGUCUUUUCCUACCAAUCUAUCCCCAUAGGAGUAUGCUUUAGUGAUUUGGUUUUUGAUGACUUCUAAAUGUUUGCAACAAGUGCAUGAGUUCUUUUGAUCAAUGUUCAGUCCAUGGAUUAUACGCACUCUCACCCUUCCACCAUUGCUAGCCUCUCUAGUACCGUGCACUUCUCGCCGGUAUCAUACACCUACCAUAUACCUUCCUCCAAACAGCCACCAUACCUACCUAUCAUGGCAUUUCCAUAGCCAUUCCGAGAUAUAUUGCCAUGCAACUUUUCCACCGUUUUGUUCAUAUGACACACAUUACUUUUGUCAUAUUGAUUUUUGCAUGAACAUGUAGUUGACAUUGUAUUUGUGGCAAAGCCAUCAUUCGUAAUUCUUUCAUACAUGUCACUCUUGAUUCAUUGCAUAUCCCGGUACACCACUGGAGGCAUUCAUAUAGAGUCAUAUUUUGUUCUAGUAUCGAGUUCUAAUUGUUGAGUUGUAAGAAAAAAUAAAAGUGUGAUCAUCAUCAUUAUUAGAGCAUUGUCCCAGUGAGGAAAGGAUGAUGGAGAUUAUGAUUCCCCCAUAAGUUGGGAUGAGACUCUGGACUUUAUGAACAAUAAAAGAGGCCAAAGAAGCCAAAAAAAGAGGCCAAAGAAGCCCAAAUAAAAAAAUAUGAGAGAAAAAGAGAGAAGGGACAAUGCUACUAUCCUUUUUCCACACUUGUGCUUCAAUGUAGCACCAUGAUCUUCAUGAUAGAGAGUCUCAUAUGUUGUCACUUUCAUAUACUAGUGGGAAUUUUUCAUUAUAGAACUUGGCUUGUAUAUUCCAAUGAUGGGCUUCCUCAAAAGUGCCCUAGGUCUUCGUGAGCAAGCAAGUUGGAUGCACACCCACUUAGUUUCUUUUGUUGAGCUUUCAUAUACUUAUAGCUCUAGUGCAUCCGUUGCAUGGCAAUCCCUACGCCCUCACAUUGAUAUCUAUUGAUGGGAAUCUCCAUAGACCAUUGAUACGCCUAGUUGAUGUGAGACUAUCUUCUCCUUUUUGCCUUCUCCACAAUCACCAUACUAUUCCACCUAUAGUGCUAUGUCCAUGGCUCACGCUCAUGUAUUGCGUGAAAGUUGAAAAGGUUUGAGAUUUCUAAAGUAUGAAACAAUUGCUUGGCUCGUCAUCGGGGUUGUGCAUGAUUAAAUACUUUGUGUGAUGAAGAUAGAGCAUAACCGGACUAUAUGAUUUGUUAGGGAUAACUUUCUUUAACUGUGCUAUUUUGAGAAGACAUGAUUGCUUUAAUUUGUAUGCUCGAAAUAUUAUUACCUUUAUGUUAAUAUGAUCUUUUGUCUUGAAUCUUUCGGAUCUGAAUAUUCAUGCCACAAUUAAGAAGAUCACAUUGAAAUUAUGCCAAAGUAUCACUCCGCAUCAAAAAUUCUUUUUUAUCAUUUACCUACUCGAGGACGAGCAGGAAUUAAGCUUGGGGAUUCUUGAUAUCUCUCCAACGUAUCUAUAAAUUUUGAUUGCUCCAUGCUACUUUAUCUACUAUUUUGGACUAUAUUUGGAUUUAUUUUCCACUUUUAUAUUAUUAUUGGGACUAACCUAUUAACCGGAGGCCCAGCACAGAAUUGCUGUUUUUUGCCUAUUUUAGUAUUUCGAAGAAACAGAAUAUCAAAGGGAGUCCAAAUGGAAUAAAACCUUCGGGAACGUGAUUUUCUCACCGAACGUGAUCCAAGAGACUUGGACACUACUCCAAGAAGUACCAGAGGCGGUCACGAGGGUGGAGGGCGCCCCCCCUGGGCGCGCCCCAUUGCCUCGUGGGCCCCCUGUUCAUCCACCGAUGUACUCCUUCCUCCUAUAUAUACCUACGUACCCCCAUCAGAUCAGAUACGGAGCCAAAAACCUAAUUCCACCGCCGCAACCUUCUGUAUCCGCGAGAUCCCAUCUUGGGGCCUAUUCCGGAGCUCCGCCGGAGAGGGCAUCUACCACGGAGGGCUUCUACAUCAACACCAUAGCCUCUCCGAUCAAGUGUGAGUAGUUUACUUCAGACCUUUGGGUCCAUAGCUAGUAGCUAGAUGGCUUCUUCUCUCUUUUUGGAUCUCAAUACAAUGUUCUCCCCCUCUCUUGUGGAGAUCUAUUCGAUGUAAUCUUCUUUUUGCGGUGUGUUUGUUGAGACCGAUGAAUUGUGGGUUUAUGAUCCAGCUUAUCUAUGAAUAAUAUUUGAUUCUUCUCUGAAUUCUUUUAUGUAUGAUUGAGUUAUCUUUGCAAGUCUCUUCGAAUUAUCCGUUUGGUUUGGCCAACUAGAUUGGUAGUUCUUGCAAUGGGAGAAGUAUUUAGCUUUGGGUUCAAUCUUGCGGUGUCCUUACCCAGUGACAGAAAGGGUUGCAAGGCACGUAUUGUAUUGUUGUAAUCGAGGAUAAGAAGAUGGGGUUUUUAUCAUAUUGCAUGAAUUUAUCCCUCUACAUCAUGUCAUCUUGCUUAAUGCAUUACUCUGUUUUUAACUUAAUACUCUAGAUGCAUGCUGGAUAGCGGUCGAUGAGUGGAGUAAUAGUAGUUGAUGCAGAAUCGUUUCGAUCUACUUGUCUUGGACGUGAUGCCUAUAUACAUGAUCAUACCUAGAUAAUCUCAUAAUUAUUCGCUUUUCUAUCAAUAGCUCAAUAGUAAUUUGUUCACUCACCGUAGAAUACUCAUGCUCUUGAGAGAAGCCAUUAGUGAAUCCUAUGGCCCCGGGGUCUAUUCUCAUCAUAUCAAUCUCCAUUACUUUAUUACUUGCUUUGUUUUUACUUUGCCUUUUACUUUUUUACUUUGCAUCUCUAUAUCAAAAAUACCAAAAAUAUUAUUUAUCAUCUCUAUCAGAUCUCACCCUCGUAAGUGACUAUGAAGGGAUUGACAACCCCUAAUCGCGUUGGUUGCGAGUAGCUAUCGUUUCGUGUAGGUACGAGGGACUCGUGCGUGAUCUCCUACUGGAUUGAUACCUCGGUUCUCAAAAACUGAUGGAAAUACUUACGCUACUUUACUGCAUCAUCCUCUCCUCUUCGAGGAAAUCCAACGCAGUGCUCAAGAGGUAGCACGGGGUUGAGGGAGUCGUACUCGCCGUGAUCCGAAUCACCGAAGAUCCUAGUGCUGAACAGACAGCACCUCCGCGUUCAACACACGUACGGUUGGGAAGACAUCUCCUCCUUCUUGAUCCAGCAAGGGGGAAGGAGAGGUUGAUGGAGAUCCAGCAGCACAACGGCGUGGUGGUGGAAGUAGCGGUGAUCUCGGCAGGGCUUCGCCAAGCUCAGCGAGAGGGAGAGGUGGUACGGGGGGAGAGGGAGGCGCCAGGGACUAGGGUGCGGCUGCCCUCCCUACCCCCCUCUUUAUAUAGGGGCCCUAGGGGGUGCGCCGGCCCCCUAGAGAUCCCAUCUCAAGGGGGGGCGGCGGCCAAGGGGGGAACUUGCCCCCCAAGCCAAGUGGGGCGCCCCCCACCCCUAGGGUUUCCAACCCUAGGCGUAGGGGGAGGCCCAAGGGGGGGCGCACCAUCCCACCAGAGGCUGGUUCCCUUCCCUCUUCAGCCCACGGGGCCCUCCGGGAUAGGUGGCCCCAUCCGGUGGACCCCCGGGACCCUUCCGGUGGUCCCGGUACAAUACCGGUGACCCUCGAAACAUUCCCGGUGGCCGAAACUGGACUUCCUAUAUACAAUUCUUCACCUCCGGACCAUUCCGGAACUCCUCGUGACGUACGAGAUCUCAUCCGGGACUCCAAACAACUUUCGGGUUACUGCAUACUAAUAUCUCUAUAACCCUAGCGUCACCGAACCUUAAGUGUGUAGACCCUACAGGUUCGGGAAUCACGUAGACAUGACCGAGACAGCUCUCCGGCCAAUAACCAACAGCAGGAUCUAGAUACCCAUGUUGGCUCCCACAUGUUCCAUAAUGAUCUCAUUGAAUGAACCACGAUGUUGAGGAUUCAAGUAAUCCCGUAUACAAUUCCUUUUGCCAAUCGGUAUGUUACUUGCCCGACAUUCGAUCGUCGGUAUCCCAAUACCUCGUUCAACCUCGUUACCGGCAAGUCACUUUACUCGUACCAUAAUGCAUGAUCCCGUGACCAACCACUUGGUCACAUUGAGCUCAUUAUGAUGAUGCAUUAUCGAGUGGGCCCAGAGAUACCUCUCCGUCAUACGGAUUGACAAAUCCCAGUCUCGAUCCGUGUCAACCCAACAGACACUUUCGGGGAUACCUGUAGUAUACCUUUAUAGUCACCCAGUUACAUUGUGAAGUUUGGUAAACCCAAAGCACUCCUACGGUAUCCGGGAGUUACACGAUCUCAUGGUCUAAGGAAAUGAUACUUGACAUUGGAAAAGCUCUAGCAAACGAACUACACGAUCUUGUGCUAUGCUUAGGAUUGGGUCUUGUCCAUCACAUCAUUCUCCUAAUGAUGUGAUCUCGUUAUCAAUGACAUCCAAUGUCCAUAGUCAGGAAACCAUGACUAUCUGUUGAUCAACGAGCUAGUCAACUAGAGGCUUACUAGGGACAUGUUGUGGUCUAUGUAUUCACACAUGUAUUACGAUUUUCGGAUAACACAAUUAUAGCAUGAAUAAUAGACAAUUAUCAUGAACAAGGAAAUAUAAUAAUAAUCAUUUUAUUAUUGCCUCUAGGGCAUAUUUCCAACAGUCUCCCACUUGCACUAGAGUCAAUAAUCUAGUUACAUUGUGAUGAAUCGAACACCCAUAGAGUUCUGGUGUUGAUCAUGUUUUGCUCGCGGAAGAGGUUUAGUCAACGGAUCUGCGACAUUCAGAUCCGUAUGCACUUUGCAAAUAUCUAUGUCUCCAUCUUGAACAUUUUCACGAAUGGAGUUGAAGCGAAGCUUGAUGUGCCUGGUCUUCUUGUGAAACCUGGGCUCCUUGGCAAGGGCAAUAGCUCCAGUGUUGUCACAGAAGAGAGUGAUCGGCCCCGACGCAUUGGGUAUGACUCCUAGGUCGGUGAUGAACUCCUUCAUCCAGAUCGCUGCCUCCGAGGCUACCAUGUACUCCGCUUCACAUGUAGAUCCCGCCACGACACUUUGCUUGCAACUGCACCAGCUUACUGCCCCUCCAUUCAAAAUAUACACGUAUCCGGUUUGUGACUUAGAGUCAUCCAGAUCUGUGUCGAAGCUAGCGUCGACGUAACCCUUUACGACGAGCUCAUCGUCACCUCCAUAAACAAAAACAUAUCCUUAGUCCUUUUCAGGUAUUUCAGGAUAUUCUUGACCGCUGUCCGGUGUUCCAUGCCGGGAUUACUUUGGUACCUUCCUACCAAACUUACGGCAAGGUUUACAUCAGGUCUGGUACACAGCAUGGCAUACAUAAUAGACCCUAUAGCCGAGGCAUAGGGGAUGACACUCAUCUUUUCUCUAUAUUCUGUCGUGGUCGGGCAUUGAGCCGAGCUCAAUUUCACACCUUGUAACACAGGCAAGAACCCCUUCUUGGACUGAUCCAUAUUGAACUUCUUCAAUAUCUUAUCAAGGUAUGUGCUUUGUGAAAGACCUAUGAGGCGUCUCGAUCUAUCCCUAUAGAUCUUGAUACCUAAUAUGUAAGCAGCUUCUGCAAGGUCCUUCAUUGAAAAACACUUAUUCAAGUAGGCCUUAAUGUUGUCCAAUAGUUCUAUAUCAUUUCCCAUCAAAAGUAUGUCAUCUACAUAUAAUAUGAGAAAUGCUACAGAGCUCCCACUCACUUUCUUGUAAACGCAGGCUUCUCCAUAAGUCUGCAUAAACCCAAACGCUUUGAUCAUCUCAUCAAAGCGAAUGUUCCAACUCCGAGAUGCUUGCACCAGCCCAUAAAUGGAUCACUGGAAUUUGCAUACCUUGUUAGCAUUCUCAGGAUCGACAAAACCUUCCGGCUUCAUCAUAUACAGUUCUUCCUUAAGAUAGCCGUUAAGGAAUGCCAUUUUGACGUCCAUUUGCCAUAUCUCAUAAUCAUAGUAUGCGGCAAUUGCUAACAUGAUUCGGACGGACUUCAGCUUCGCUAUGGGAGAGAAAGUCUCAUCGUAGUCAACCCCUUGAACUUGUCGAUAACCCUUAGCGACGAGUCGAGCUUUAUAGAUGGUAACAUUACCAUCCACGUCCGUCUUCUUCUUAUAUAUCCAUUUGUUUUCUAUCGCUCACCGAUCAUUGGGCAAGUCUGUCAAAGUCCACACUUUGUUUUCAUACAUGGAUCCUAUCUCGGAUUGCAUGGCUUCAAGCCAUUUGCUGGAAUCUAGGCCCGCCAUUGCUUCUUCAUAGUUCGAAGGUUCACCGUUGUCUAACAACAUGAUUUCCAGGACAGGGUUCCCAUACCAUUCUGGUGUGGAACGUGUCCUUGUGGACCUACGAAGUUCAGUAGAAAUUUGAUCCUAAGUACCUUGAUCAUCAUCAUUAACUUCCUCUCCAGUCGGUGCAGGCACCACAGGAACAUUUUCCUAAGCUGUGCUACUUUCCGGUUCAAGAGGCAGUACUUCAUGGAGUUCUACUUUCCUCCCACUUAUUUCUUUCGAGAGAAACUCUUUCUCUAGAAAGGACCCAUUCUUGGCAACAAAGAUCUUGCCUUCGUUUCUAAGGAAGAAGGUAUACCCAAUGGUUUCCUUAGGGUAUCCUAUGAAGACGCAUUUUUCCGACUAGGGUUCGAGCUUUUCAGGUUGAAGUUUCUUGACAUAAGCAUCGCAUCCCCAAACUUUUAGAAACGACAGCUUAGGUGUCUUCCCAAACCAUAAUUCAUACGGUGUCGUCUCAACGGAUUUAGAUGGUGCCCUAUUUAAAGUGAAUGUAGCUGUCUCUAGAGCGUAUCCCCAAAGUGAUAGCGGUAAAUCGGUGAGCGACAUCAUAGAUCGCACCAUAUCCAAUAGAGUGCAAUUACGACGUUCGGACACACCAUUACGCUGAGGUGUUCCAGGCGGCGUGAGUUGUGAAACGAUUCCACAUUUCCUUAAGUGCGUACCAAAUUCGUGACUUAAAUAUUCUCCUCCAUGAUCUGAUCGUAAGAACUUUAUUUUUCGGUCACGUUGAUUCUCUACCUCGUUCUGAAAUUCCUUGAACUUUUCAAAGGUCUCAGACUUGUGUUUCAUCAAGUAGACAUACCCAUAUCUACUUAAGUCAUCAGUGAGAGUGAGAACAUAACGAUAGCCACCGCGAGCCUCAACGCUCAUUGGACCGCACACAUCAGUAUGUAUAAUUUCCAAUAAGUUGGUUGCUCGCUCCAUUGUUCCGGAGAACGGAGUCUUGGUCAUUUACCCCAUGAGGCAUGGUUCACACGUGUCAAAUGAUUCGAAAUCAAGAGACUCCAAAAGUCCAUCUAUAUGGAGCUUCUUCAUGCGUUUGAUACCAAUGUGACCAAGGCGGCAGUGCCACAGAUAUGUGGGACUAUCAUUAUCAAUCUUACAUCUUUUGGUAUUCACACUAUGAAUAUGUGUAACAUCACGUUCGAGAUUCAUUAAGAAUAAACCAUUGACCAGCGGGGCAUGACCAUAAAACAUAUCUCUCAUAUAAAUAGAACAACCAUUAUUCUCGGAUUUAAAUGAGUAGCCAUCUCGUAUUAAACGAGAUCCAGAUACAAUGUUCAUGCUCAAAGCUGGCACUAAAUAACAAUUAUUGAGGUUUAAAACUAAUCUCGUAGGUAAAUGUAGAGGUAGCGUGCCGACGGUGAUCACAUCGACCUUGGAACCAUUCCCGACGCGCAUCGUCACCUCGUCCUUCGCCAGUCUCCGCUUAUUCCGCAGCUCCUGUUUUGAGUUACAAAUAUGAGCAACUGCAACGGUAUCAAAUACCUAGGAGAUACUACGAGUACUGGUAAGGUACACAUCAAUUACAUGUAUAUCACAUAUACCUUUAGUGUUGCCGACCUUCUUGUCCGCUAAGUAUUUGGGGCAGUUCUGCUUCCAGUGUCCACUUCCCUUGCAAUAAAAGCACUCAGUCUCAGGUUUGGGUCCAUUCUUUGGCUUCUUCCCGGCAACUGGCUUACCGGGCGCGGCAAAUCCCUUGUCUUCCUUCUUGAAUUUCUACUUACCCUUGCCUUUCUUGAAACUAGUGGUUUUAUUGACCAUCAACACUUGAUGUUCCUUUUUGAUUUCCACCUCCGCUGAUUUCAGCAUUGAAAAUACUUCAGGAAUAGUUUUCACCAUCCCCUGCAUAUUGUAGUUCAUCACAAAGCUCUUGUAGCUAGGUGGGAGCGACUGAAGGAUUCUGCCAAUGACCGCCUCGUCCGGGAGGUUAAUGUCCAGCUGGGACAAGCAGUUGUGCAACCCAGACAUUUUGAGUAUGUGCUCACUGACAGAACUAUUUUCCUCCAUCUUACAACUAUAGAACUUGUCGGAUACUUCAUAUCUCUCGACCCAGGCAUGAGCUUGGAAAACCAUUUUCAGCUCUUCGAACAUCUCAUAUGCUCCGUGUUUCUCAAAACGCUUUUGGAGCCCCGGUUCUAAGCUGUAAAGCAUGCCGCACUGAACGAGGGAGUAAUCAUCAGCACGCGACUGCCAAGCAUUCAUAACGUCUUGGUUCUCUAGGAUGGGUGCUUCACCUAGCGGUGCUUCUAGGACAUAUGCUUUCUUGGCAGCUAUGAGGAUGAUCCUCAGGUUCCAGACCCAGUCCGUAUAGUUGCUGCCAUCAUCUUUCAGCUUGGUUUUCUCUAGGAACGCGUUGAAGUUGAGGUUGACAUGAGCGUGGGCCAUUUGUUCUACAAGACAUUUUUGCAAAGGUUUUUAGACUAAGUUCAUGAUAAUUAAGUUCAUCUAAUCAAAUUAUUUAAUGAACUCCCACUCAGAUUAGACAUCCCUCUAGUCAUCUAAGUGAUACAUGAUCCGACUCAACUAGACCGUGUCCGAUCAUCACGUGAGACGGACUAGUCAUCAUCGGUGAACAUCUCCAUGUUGACCAUAUCUUCCAUACGACUCAUGUUUGACCUUUCGGUCUCUUGUGUUCCGAGGCCAUGUCUGUACAUGCUAGGCUCGUCAAGUCAACCUAAGUGUUUUUGCAUGUGUAAAUUUGUCUUACACCCAUUGUAUGUGGACGUUGGAAUCUAUCACACCCGAUCAUCACGUGGUGCUUCGAAACAACGAACUUUCACAACGGCGCACAGUUAGGGGGACACUUUCUUGAAAUUAUUAUGAGGGAUCAUCUUAUUUACUACCGUCGUUCUAAGAAAAUAAGAUGCAAAAACAUGAUAAACAUCACAUGCAAUCAAAUAGUGACAUGAUAUGUGUCACGCCCAAUAUGCGACACUAUCCUAAAGAGACUCGAAGGUCCCACCAAGGAUAGAACCGCAUAUUGAAAUGCUUUUGCAAGGUGGAUAUCAUUACAUCAACAUUACAUAAUAGAUGGGGAUACAUACAAGAGGCAUACAAUGCCACACGAAUACAACAUCACAAUACAUUAGAGCAUCAUCCGACUACGGAUGAAACACAAACCGAAACUCAAACGACAUCCACCCUGCUAGCCCAGGCUGCCGACCUGGAACCUAUCCCUUGAUCGAAGAAGAAGCAGAAGAAGAACUCCAAAACAAGCAAGCAUCACUCUCGCGUCAAGAUCAUCGCAUAAACCUGUACCUGCAACUGUUGUUGUAGUAAUCUGUGAGCCACGAGGACUCGGCAAUCCCAUUACCAUAGGUAUCAAGACUAGCAAAGCUUAAUGGGAAGGCAGGGGUAAAGUGGUGAGGUUGCAGCAGCGACUAAGCAUAAAAUGGUGGCUAACAUACGCAAAUAAGAGCAAGAAGAGAGCAAGCGGAACGGUCGUGAAGCUAGCAAUGAUCAAGAAGUGAUCCUGAACUCCUACUUAUGUCAAACAUAACCCAAAACCGUGUUCACUUCCCGGACUCUGCCGAAAAGAGACCAUCACGGCUACACACGCGGUUGAUGCGUUUUAAUUCGUAUCUGGUGUCAAGUUAUCUACAACCGGACAUUAACAAAUUCCCAUCUGCCCAUAACCGCGGGCACGGCUUUCGAAAGUUUAUACCCUGCAGGGGUGUCCCAACUUAGCCCAUGAUAAGCUCUCGCGAUCAACGAAGGAUAUACCUUCUCCCAGGAAGACCCGGUCAGACUCGGAAUCCCGGUUUACAAGACUUUUCGACAAUGGUAAAACAAGACCAGCAAAGCCGCCCGAUGCGCCGACAAUCCCGAUAGGAGCUGCACAUAUCUCGUUCUCAGGGCAACACCAGAUAGGUCAGCCUACGAGUAAAACCAUCCCUCGAGUUGCCCCGAGGUGGCCCCGUAGUCUGCCCAGUUCAGACCAGCACUUAGAGAAGCACUGGCCCGGGGGGCUAAAAUAAAGAUGACCCUCGGGUUGGCCGAACCAAGGAAAGGUAUAGGUGGUGGUGAAGCAAAUGGUAAAACCAAGGUUGGGCCUUGCUGAAGGAGUUUUAUUCAAAGCGAACUGUCAAGGGGGUCCCAUAAAUCACCCAACCGCGUAAGGAACAAAAUCCGGGAACAUAACACCGGUAUGACAGAAACUAGGGCGGCAAGAGUGGAACAAAACACCAGGCAUAAGGCCGAGUCUUCCACCCUUUACCAAGUAUAUAGAUGCAUUAAUUAAAUAAGAGAUAUUGUGAUAUCCCAACAUAAUCCUGUCCAUCAUGGGGCAAUCUUCAACUUCACCUGCAACUAACAACGCUAUAAGAGGGGCUGAGCAAAGCGGUAACAUAGCCAAGUAAUGGUUUGCCAGGAAGGGUGAAAAGGUUAGAGGCUGACAUGGCAAAUUGGGAGGCUUGAUCAAAAAGAGAUAGGUAGCGCAGCAUAGCGAUAGAACGAAGCAACUAGCAUAGCAAUGAUAGUAGUGAGAUCCAAGGUGAUGGUCAUCUUGCCUGAAAUCCCGCUAGGAAGAAGAACGAGUCCAUGAAUAAGAUGAAGCCACGAAGACGAACCAAGCGUAGGCGAACGAAUCCUCACGAUCGCAACGAAAUGGGAACUAUCGAGAAGAAGCACACAACAUAGUAAACACACACCACAUGAACAAGGCAAGAUGCACAACCAAGCAUGACGCAAGACAAGACUACAUGAAUGUAGCGACCCGACCUCAGACGGUCAAGCCUCUGUGUAUCUGUGCCAUCCCUGGAUCAGUAUGCUGGCACACACAGUACAUCAAUGUAUAUAUCAAAGUGCAAUCACAUGGAUAAAUAACGUAAAAUGAUAUAUACCUCAUAAUACUCAGCAGAAACAAUCAAACGGGUGUGGAGUCCCAUCAACACCAUCGGCAGGUUGAGUGUAGACCGUAACCCUGUACCGUAAUCUUACUCGUCGGAAGAAAGUAUCUGCAACAUGAUACGUUGCAGCCGUGUAGGUCAGUACAUUGAAUGUACCGGCAAGAUCACAAUAAGAGUAAACAGAUGAUAAACUAUACUAUAUGCAAUAUGGCUUUAUGGCUCUGUAUCUGAGUUUUUGUUUGCGUAAAAGCUGAUUUUAUUUUACCUACAACAAAGGAAUAGAAUGAAGUCUGUACUAAGGAGUUUUCUAUCAUGACAUGGUUCCGCCAACCGAUGUCUCAUAGCCCAAAAUCAUCAUAAGUUGCCCACAAUUAAGUUAUCAAUCCGGUGUUGAGAGUUCCGAGAUAGAUCCAAGUCCAGAGGCUCAAGUUGUCCGUAACCGGGGACACGGCUAAUCGAUUAGGUUAUAACCCUCUGCAGAGGUUUGUACACUUUACCCGCAAGAUUCGAUCCCUCUCUUUACGUUCUCGCACUUCAGGGUGUUUGAGAACAAGAUGACCGAAACAUGGUCUUCCAAAGAGUUCCUCUGACCACUGUCCGGUACCCAUCCGUCCUACCGUAGUUCUACAUCUGCUAGUACCGUCCCAGCCAGAGUCACAACUAAGGUCAACCAAGCCAGAGCCCAUAAUGACUUGCGGUUGCACAGGUAAGCUUCCGGGCGUGAAGUAUUCUUCCAUCUCUUUGAGUCUGGGUGAAGCUUUCCGCAAGAUGUCAUGGCGCUUCUCCAUGCAUCCCGGCCAACCACUGGGUUCUCCAGGGUGCCCGUCAACCGUCCUUCACCCAGUAGUGUGUAUUGAAAUCCUGUCUCGAGUCUUGAAGUCUUGAGGUCUUGAAGAGGUAGUCCUUGCAGAUUCCAUCAUGGAGUUGUCGUCAUUGACGUAGAAUCCUCCCUUCUCACAUCACUCCCGAGCACUCAUACCAAACCCCGUCUACUAUAGCGUAGCAUUAAAAUAAAUAACGUCCCGGGCUUGGUAACAGGGUGAUGGGUUCCUACCUCAUGCAUACUACUCAACUACAAGAAUUUCAAUAACACUACUGAGGGGUGGUUGCAAUGGUGCCACUAAAUGCAAUAAAACAUAGGUAAGAAAAGCAUGGUCAAAGUGAACUUGCCUGGUUGACGAUCUUCGAAAAAAACUAGGGUUUCGUAGUAGCAAUCUUCGCACUCCGGAAAUUCUACCGAGGCAAACAAUAACUAUAAUAAGCACAUAGCAAUAGGAUCACAUAACACAACAUAACAAAAGUAACAUAACACAACAAACAACCAAAACUCAAAUCCAAAAGAAAAACUCAAAUAAAGGCCACUCAAAGUUUUCCCUACUUCAAACAAUAACAAAAANNNNNNNNNNNNNNNNNNNNNNNNNNNNNNNNNNNNNNNNNNNNNNNNNNNNNNNNNNNNNNNNNNNNNNNNNNNNNNNNNNNNNNNNNNNNNNNNNNNNNNNNNNNNNNNNNNNNNNNNNNNNNNNNNNNNNNNNNNNNNNNNNNNNNNNNNNNNNNNNNNNNNNNNNNNNNNNNNNNNNNNNNNNNNNNNNNNNNNNNNNNNNNNNNNNNNNNNNNNNNNNNNNNNNNNNNNNNNNNNNNNNNNNNNNNNNNNNNNNNNNNNNNNNNNNNNNNNNNNNNNNNNNNNNNNNNNNNNNNNNNNNNNNNNNNNNNNNNNNNNNNNNNNNNNNNNNNNNNNNNNNNNNNNNNNNNNNNNNNNNNNNNNNNNNNNNNNNNNNNNNNNNNNNNNNNNNNNNNNNNNNNNNNNNNNNNNNNNNNNNNNNNNNNNNNNNNNNNNNNNNNNNNNNNNNNNNNNNNNNNNNNNNNNNNNNNNNNNNNNNNNNNNNNNNNNNNNNNNNNNNNNNNNNNNNNNNNNNNNNNNNNNNNNNNNNNNNNNNNNNNNNNNNNNNNNNNNNNNNNNNNNNNNNNNNNNNNNNNNNNNNNNNNNNNNNNNNNNNNNNNNNNNNNNNNNNNNNNNNNNNNNNNNNNNNNNNNNNNNNNNNNNNNNNNNNNNNNNNNNNNNNNNNNNNNNNNNNNNNNNNNNNNNNNNNNNNNNNNNNNNNNNNNNNNNNNNNNNNNNNNNNNNNNNNNNNNNNNNNNNNNNNNNNNNNNNNNNNNNNNNNNNNNNNNNNNNNNNNNNNNNNNNNNNNNNNNNNNNNNNNNNNNNNNNNNNNNNNNNNNNNNNNNNNNNNNNNNNNNNNNNNNNNNNNNNNNNNNNNNNNNNNNNNNNNNNNNNNNNNNNNNNNNNNNNNNNNNNNNNNNNNNNNNNNNNNNNNNNNNNNNNNNNNNNNNNNNNNNNNNNNNNNNNNNNNNNNNNNNNNNNNNNNNNNNNNNNNNNNNNNNNNNNNNNNNNNNNNNNNNNNNNNNNNNNNNNNNNNNNNNNNNNNNNNNNNNNNNNNNNNNNNNNNNNNNNNNNNNNNNNNNNNNNNNNNNNNNNNNNNNNNNNNNNNNNNNNNNNNNNNNNNNNNNNNNNNNNNNNNNNNNNNNNNNNNNNNNNNNNNNNNNNNNNNNNNNNNNNNNNNNNNNNNNNNNNNNNNNNNNNNNNNNNNNNNNNNNNNNNNNNNNNNNNNNNNNNNNNNNNNNNNNNNNNNNNNNNNNNNNNNNNNNNNNNNNNNNNNNNNNNNNNNNNNNNNNNNNNNNNNNNNNNNNNNNNNNNNNNNNNNNNNNNNNNNNNNNNNNNNNNNNNNNNNNNNNNNNNNNNNNNNNNNNNNNNNNNNNNNNNNNNNNNNNNNNNNNNNNNNNNNNNNNNNNNNNNNNNNNNNNNNNNNNNNNNNNNNNNNNNNNNNNNNNNNNNNNNNNNNNNNNNNNNNNGUCGAUCUCCGGCGAGGUCGGUGGCGUGGGCGAGGGGGGAAGGAGAGGGGCGGGGCCCACGGGUCAGCGAGAGGGAGAGAGGGGCGAGGGGGUCGGGUGGCCGAUGCCAACGGGUUUCGGCGAGCGGGCGAGGGGGAAAGGCAAGCUGGGCUGGCUCGGCUGGCGCUGGGCUGGCCAGUUGGGCCGGCUCGGCUGGGCCUGGCGCGGGGCUGAGGAGGGGGCGGCGCGGGCUGGGCCUGGGGUGGCCUGGCUGGCGCCCCUGGGGGUUUUCUUUUAUUUAUUUAUUUUUUAUAUAUAUAACUAAAACAAAAAUAACACCAAACCUAUAAAUAUUUUAUAUAGGGUAUAUAUAUACCCAAAUGAUCAGGGGAAUAUUCCCUCUCAUUUGAACAUUUUUCCAAAGGCAAAAUCCAAACUUCAUAAAAAUCUAUUUUUUUUUUCAAAUUCAAAUAAAUUUCAGAUUUGAAUCCAAAUCUUUUGGCAUUGUUUCCUCUGAUAUUUUUGGAGUGUCAUGUUUGCUCCUCUCAUACUUUUGAUCAAGUAUUUAUCAGGCAUAGUUUUUUUUGAAAUGUUUCCCACAUGCCAAAGUUUGAAAUUCAAAUUCAAAACUCAAAAUUUGAAAGAGGGUUUCAAAGCACUUUCAAAUGAUUUUCAACUUGAUUCAUGAUAACUUCCAACUCCUAUUUCACAUAAUUGAAGAAGUCAUCUUAUCUUCCCUCAUGAAUAUCAUUGAGUUGCAUAAAGCUUUGAAUUUGAAAUCUUCCCAAAUGAAAUUCAAAUCUUUUUCCAAAACCCUAUUCAUUUAAAAAUGAAGGAAGUCAUGUCAUCCUCACUCUAGGCUUUGGUGUUGGUAUGAAUUUGAAUCCAUUGGGAUCAAAAGGCAAAAGGGGAAAGUUUUGGGAAAGUCAUUUCAUUCCCUCUCAUUCAACUUUCAAAAGUUUCAAAUUUCACUCAGUUUCACUCAAUCCAUCAAACCAACAAUCAGACAAUCAAGCAUAGUUAUUUAUUUAAUAUAACAUUCCAAAAUUUAGAAUUUUGGGAUGUUACAAACCUACCACACUUAAAAUGAAUCUCGUCCUCGAGAUUCGAAGAGGCUAGCAAGAAAAGGGUAGGGGUUGGGGGUCUUCUAGCAAGAGUUUUGGUCAGAAAGGUCAGGGGUGCUACCACACUUAAAAACAAGGUCAUGGUUCCAAUAAACUCAGAUAUUUCCUCUGGAGGGCUGACAAUGUAUGUCUCUUCACAUAUCUUACAAUAGCUCCUUCAUUAAAGCUCUUCUGUCAGAAGCAUAGAGUUUUCCUCAAAAGCUUGGGUCGGUUCGUCAAAGUUGAAGUUCGUCCGAGACUGGAUCUUCUUAGCUGAUAGGUCUGUGUCCACCCUAAACAACUAUCGAAACACUCAUGGUGGUAUUCCAUUAAUGGUUUCUCCUGCAGAAAACGGGUCUGGGUUGAACUUCACCGUUUAUCCUACGAUUUGCAACGGUUGCCUGUAAAGGGUUCCAUCGUCCUACCAUUUUAUGGUUUAAGCAAGACUUCAACGAGCGUCGUCACUUUACUAUGGGUAAGUCACUCAUAUUUUACCAUCCCAUAUAGCAAAGCGAACAAUAAGGGUAAGUCGGUAUGGUGAUCAAUCCAUCCCGCACCCAAAUCAUUACCUUGUACAUGGUUUAGCGAAUCUCGCAUUCUAACACUCGGUCAUCCUCACAAGCAUUGCAGAAUUUCUCUUGUCGACGAACCAAGUUCGAAAAAAAAAUCCAUUGAUUCUGCAGGCCAAAACAAACAUAUAUUGUUCCUUAUCAACUCUCAGGUUUUGCGUAAACUCCUACGAAACGUAUGCUGAUUGGAUCACUGAUUCUUCCAAAUGUACUCCUUUAUCAAGGGUACAUCUGUUCCUUCUCAAAAUCCUGGGCCUGUGGUUUAUGGCCCACUUCAGCACUAGUGCAGCUUUAACUCAUCCUUGGAGUAACUCUCAUGUUACACCUCCUUUGAAUCCAGUAGUAUUCUGUUUUCUUCAUACCAUCAUAUCAAAACAAAUCUCCAACUCAUUUUGUUCAGCUUCCUUCUAUGGACCGUCAUGAAUAACACAUUUCUUUCUUCAUUGAUCUUGUGGCUUUACAGAGUACUAUGACCAAAAUAAAGUGCACAUAAAAUCUCAUUAAUCUCAUAUCAAAUUUUCGUAAAUCCAAAUUCCAAAAAGUACUUGUUACAAAUGCUGCCACCCACAUGAUUUGGUAUGGUCAGACAUUACUUCCACUUUAUUUAUUUAUCCUCCUCGAGGAUUCUUCAGUCCCACUGGAAUUGUGCGACAUGAGCCUUGAAAUCUUCAAUCUUAUGUUUCAUCAUGGUGGCCUUGAGCUUCACCUCCAUCAUCUCCGUAUGCACUUCGCUUAGGUAUUCCUGAGUAUGACGGAGUCUUGCUUCUAGUAUUUCUCCGAUCUGACGUAUGGCUUCCAUGGCUGCUUCACGAACAGCAUCGAAGAAAGUUGCUUGUGGCACACGUGAAAUGAAGAAGUAAUGCCCCAUCCUCUUUGGGCAAACUCCUUUCAAACGGUGGAGGUGUACCUCCACAUACCAAAGUUCCACUCCCUUUUGCAGGAAGGGGUAGCCUUUGUAGACUGCAUCUCCUUCAAGGUGAAUAUGCUUCAUCAUGUCCUUCAAGAUCUUCGGGUAAUCAUGAUCACUUGUCAGGGUCAUGAUCGUUUCAGGACCCUUAAGGAAAGACUCGUAAAGUGUCGUCAUCUGCAGUUUGUGAAACAAAAAUGAUGCUCAGAGUAAGGUACUUAUCUCCUGGGCACUCAUUCAUAUCAUCCAAACAAAACAUCAAUCUUAAUUCCAAUUUCCUGUUUAUGCAUCACAACUCACUUUCUUCCAUGUUCAUCUCGAAUAUUAAUUUCCAAGAUAAAAUAUGACAACUCCUUGAAGUUUUUCAGCAUGUGACAUUACAACUUUAUUGAGUCAUGAACUAUUACAAUCUCAGGGUAAUCUAUUACAUAACUCAACUUAUUGAGCUCAUGAAAAUGAAAUUGCUUUCUACUACUCUUAUUAUCCAUAAUCAAAAUUCCAACUACUCAACUCCAGCUUUCGUCUUGUCGGAACAUUUAGUAGCAUAAUGUCCUGCUGCCUUGCAGCGAAAACAAAUGACUUUCGAUAAGUCUUUGGGCAUCUUGGAGGUGGUGCCUGCUCCUUGAGUUCCUUGCUUCCUUUCGGGACAAUGAUUGGCAUAAUGCCCUACGUCCUUACAUUCAAAACAGGUGAUAUGGCUCUUGUCCCUAUUUGCAGAAAUUGGGUUGUUCUGAGGGUGUCUUUGUUUUCUCUUCCUGGUUUUCUUCGUUCUGAUCAAACCUUCUAUUCCUUGUGGGUCAAACUCUAUUGCUUCUGUCGGGAAGUAUCCCGGAUACUCUUUUCUUUCCUUGGUGCAAUACUGUGAAAAAUGUCCUUCUUCUCCACAUGAAUAGCAGGCAUUGGAGUAAAAUCUGUUGAGAACUUCUCCAUCCAGGUCUUCAACACUUUCAUUCAUUACUAGUUCUUCUAGGUCUUCCUUGAGGGCUUCUUUCAUUCCUUCUUCCUGUUCCUGAAUAGUUUGUUGCACCAUGGGGUAAAUGUGACACUGGGUCGGGUAGUGGGUGGUUCCUUCACACAAGAAACAAGUCACCUGACUAGUUGGGCAUUCCUCAGCUGGGUGUUUCUCCUCACAAUGAGGGCAUCCAUCCUUGUGUUCCUCCUGGGUGUGUCCUAUUUCUCCGCAAAUCUUGCAGGCACAAGGUUUAUUUCUUGGUGUAUCAUGGUGCUUCCGGGUAAGACGUGAUCUCAACAGGGUCUUCUUGAAAUCCUCCCAAGUUCUUGCUCCAUUAAAUCCCUGUAUGGCUUGAUGCAUGUUCCACCAGGUUGCAGCACUUUCUGUAAAGUACUGAAGAGCAUAUUGAACCUCAUACUUCCUUGAAACCAAAUUGCUCCCGAAGUGAUUUUCCAUGUUCUGCAUCCAUAGCUCUGCCUCGGGCUGAGUCUUCGGUCCAGAGAAUAUCAGUCCAACUUCAUUCAUCAUCUAUGGGGUUCAAGGGUUUUAGGGUGAGAUGAGAGAGAGGUGGGGAGGGAUAUACACACAAUACAAACAAUAAUUUUUGAAGAAACAAGUUUUAUUUUGGGGCUGUCGGAAAACAUCAAACAAGUGACAGCUCACAAAUCAUCGCUUCCAACGUAGGUGUAUAACAGGGGUUUGGUCUUCUAAAGGUCUAAUAAUUCUUCAGAUCCUUUCAAGUCUUCGGAGUCUUCAACUGUUCUAGCUUCUAAUACAUGGUGAAUUACUCUGAAGAGGUCAUCAGUUCUCGGAUAUCAAAUCCUUCUUGGAGCGUCUUCAGUCGAUCUUCCGUGUGGUCAAAAGGGAAAGGUGUAUAUUCUAACUAUCUGAGGUCAGAGGGACUAUUUGAUAAAAUCAGAAAAGACGAGAAGUAAAGGAUCCUUUUGAAAAUAAAGUUUUAGAGAUUUCCUGUCCUAGGGCUUUUCCGGUUUCUAGGGUCACGUCCUACAGUCAACAUGUGCUCUGAUACCAUCUCUGUAGCGACCCGACCUCAGACGGUCAAGCCUCUGUGUAUCUGUGCCAUCCCUGGAUCAGUAUGCUGGCACACACAGUACAUCAAUGUAUAUAUCAAAGUGCAAUCACAUGGAUAAAUAACGUAAAAUGAUAUAUACCUCAUAAUACUCAGCGGAAACAAUCAAACGGGUGUGGAGUCCCAUCAACGCCAUCGGCAGGUUGAGUGUAGACCGUAACCCUGUACCGUAAUCUUACUCGUCGGAAGAAAGUAUCUGCAACAUGAUACGUUGCAGCCGUGUAGGUCAGUACAUUGAAUGUACCGGCAAGAUCACAAUAAGAGUAAACAGAUGAUAAACUAUACUAUAUGCAAUAUGGCUUUAUGGCUCUGUAUCUGAGUUUUUGUUUGCGUAAAAGCUGAUUUUAUUUUACCUACAACAAAGGAAUAGAAUGAAGUCUGUACUAAGGAGUUUUCUAUCAUGACAUGGUUCCGCCAACCGAUGUCUCAUAGCCCAAAAUCAUCAUAAGUUGCCCACAAUUAAGUUAUCAAUCCGGUGUUGAGAGUUCCGAGAUAGAUCCAAGUCCAGAGGCUCAAGUUGUCCGUAACCGGGGACACGGCUAAUCGAUUAGGUUAUAACCCUCUGCAGAGGUUUGUACACUUUACCCGCAAGAUUCGAUCCCUCUCUUUACGUUCUCGCACUUCAGGGUGUUUGAGAACAAGAUGACCGAAACAUGGUCUUCCAAAGAGUUCCUCUGACCACUGUCCGGUACCCAUCCGUCCUACCGUAGUUCUACAUCUGCUAGUACCGUCCCAGCCAGAGUCACAACUAAGGUCAACCAAGCCAGAGCCCAUAAUGACUUGCGGUUGCACAGGUAAGCUUCCGGGCGUGAAGUAUUCUUCCGUCUCUUUGAGUCUGGGUGAAGCUUUCCGCAAGAUGUCAUGGCGCUCCUCCAUGCAUCCCGGCCAACCACUGGGUUCUCUAGGGUGCCCGUCAACCGUCCUUCACCUAGUAGUGUGUAUUGAAAUCCUGUCUCGAGUCUUGAAGUCUUGAGGUCUUGAAGAGGCAGUCCUUGCAGAUUCCAUCAUGGAGUUGUCGUCAUUGACGUAGAAUCCUCCCUUCUCACAUCACUCCCGAGCACUCAUACCAAACCCCGUCUACUAUAGCGUAGCAUUAAAAUAAAUAACGUCCCGGGCUUGGUAACAGGGUGAUGGGUUCCUACCUCAUGCAUACUACUCAACUACAAGAAUUUCAAUAACACUACUGAGGGGUGGUUGCAAUGGUGCCACUAAAUGCAAUAAAACAUAGGUAAGAAAAGCAUGGUCAAAGUGAACUUGCCUGGUUGACGAUCUUCGAAAAAAACUAGGGUUUCGUAGUAGCAAUCUUCGCACUCCGGAAAUUCUACCGAGGCAAACAAUAACUAUAAUAAGCACAUAGCAAUAGGAUCACAUAACACAACAUAACAAAAGUAACAUAACACAACAAACAACCAAAACUCAAAUCCAAAAGAAAAACUCAAAUAAAGGCCACUCAAAGUUUUCCCUACUUCAAACAAUAACAAAAAUAGUUUUAUAUAAUAAAAAUUUCUUAAUAUAACCUAAUCAUGGUUUUAGGUUAACUUAACAGAAAAGGUUUCACUAAGCAACUAGGAGCAAAAAGAAUUAAUUAAAAAGCUAUUAUAAAACUCAUUUUAGGCCUAAUCCAAUUUCUAUUAAGAAAAAAAUAAUUUAAAACUUUUAUUAGUUAUAAAUAAAAGUUCAUAUACUAGAAUGACAGAAACUAACCUAGAAUAACUAAUCACAAGUUAAAAAUAAAUUAAUUUACUAAUUAAUUAAUUAGGAAAACAGGAACUAGUUAAUUAAUUAGGAUUAAUAGGAUUCUGUCUAAAACUAAUUAUUUAUUAAUCCUAAAAUACCCAAGUUAAUUUCUAGGGUUUGGCAAUGUCAAAAUAAAGUGAUGACAAAAAGAAUCAUGCAAAAAUAAUUUUUUUGUUAACUAAAGUUAUAGCAGAUUUACUAUUCUGACUAAAACUAAAAUAAAGCAAUUUUAAUUAUUUUUGACAUAGCUAAAUAUAUAUUUUACAGAAACUACAUAAAAUUUGCAAUCCAACAAAAAAAGAAUCACUCAAAAAUAUUAAACAGAAUAAAAGAUAUACAUUUUUGAAAACAGAAACUAUUUGGCUAAAACAGAAAAUCAAAAUAAAAAGAAAAAGGCCUAAUGGGCCUAUACUGUGCCCUGUGCGUUAGAUAGCCUAAACGGGCCCUAGCUUUAAACUAAACGAACCGGGCCUAAAAUAAAAACCUAAACUAAAAAAACUAAACCGAUAGGAACCGGCCGGUUUUCUAAAUAAAACCUAACCCUUCGGGGUUCUAAUCCUAGCCCUAGAUCUAGGAUCGGACGAUGGGGGGUGAUGCCGGUGACUUACCGGACUCCGGCGACGGCGGCGGCGGCGGCGAAAGUGCGUCGGGGCGUCUGGGCGUCGCGGAGCUCCGGCGACUNNNNNNNNNNGGGGGCUCGGCUCUUUAUAGCCAGGGCCUCGGCUUCGCUUCGGAAGGGCAUCGGGGGCGGUCGGGGGAUCCCGGAUCCUUCGGGAUCCGGUCGAUCUCCGGCGAGGUCGGUGGCGUGGGCGAGGGGGGAAGGAGAGGGGCGGGGCCCACGGGUCAGCGAGAGGGAGAGAGGGGCGAGGGGGUCGGGUGGCCGAUGCCAACGGGUUUCGGCGAGCGGGCGAGGGGGAAAGGCGAGCUGGGCUGGCUCGGCUGGCGCUGGGCUGGCCAGUUGGGCCGGCUCGGCUGGGCCUGGCGCGGGGCUGAGGAGGGGGCGGCGCGGGCUGGGCCUGGGGUGGCCUGGCUGGCGCCCCUGGGGGUUUUCUUUUAUUUAUUUAUUUUUUUUAUAUAAAACUAAAACAAAAAUAACACCAAACCUAUAAAUAUUUUAUAUAGGGUAUAUAUAUACCCAAAUGAUCAGGGGAAUAUUCCCUUUCAUUUGAACAUUUUUCCAAAGGCAAAAUCCAAACUUCAUAAAAAUCUAUUUUUUUUUCAAAUUCAAAUAAAUUUCAGAUUUGAAUCCAAAUCUUUUGGCAUUGUUUCCUCUGAUAUUUUUGGAGUGUCAUGUUUGCUCCUCUCAUACUUUUGAUCAAGUAUUUAUCAGGCAUAGUUUUUUUUGAAAUGUUUCCCACAUGCCAAAGUUUGAAAUUCAAAUUCAAAACUCAAAAUUUGAAAGAGGGUUUCAAAGCACUUUCAAAUGAUUUUCAACUUGAUUCAUGAUAACUUCCAACUCCUAUUUCACAUAAUUGAAGAAGUCAUCUUAUCUUCCCUCAUGAAUAUCAUUGAGUUGCAUAAAGCUUUGAAUUUGAAAUCUUCCCAAAUGAAAUUCAAAUCUUUUUCCAAAACCCUAUUCAUUUAAAAAUGAAGGAAGUCAUGUCAUCCUCACUCUAGGCUUUGGUGUUGGUAUGAAUUUGAAUCCAUUGGGAUCAAAAGGCAAAAGGGGAAAGUUUUGGGAAAGUCAUUUCAUUCCCUCUCAUUCAACUUUCAAAAGUUUCAAAUUUCACUCAGUUUCACUCAAUCCAUCAAACCAACAAUCAGACAAUCAAGCAUAGUUAUUUAUUUAAUAUAACAUUCCAAAAUUUAGAAUUUUGGGAUGUUACAAUGAAGCUACUCAUGGCAAGAGAUGAUGCAAACUAGAGCAACACAUCAAGGCAAGUUUAAAUGAGGCCAGAAACAACAUAUAACAAUUCUGGUAAGUCCUCAUAUGCAAAUUUUGAAAUUGGUCCAGAUCUGAAUAAACCUUAUGUUCAAGUUGUUAAACAGCAAGUUAAGAUGCCCCAAGAUGAUCUACAUGAGAUUCUAGUCAAGUUACAUAUAAACUAUAAAGUUCAUUUAGUUCGGAGCUACGGCCUAGAAGAUAUGAGCAAAACAAGUUAAACAUGGCAUUGAUGCAAAAUGCAUACAAACAUCAAGCAAACACUCUCAAAACAAGGAUGCACAUGAUAAUAUGAAACUACAUGCAAUUCUAAGUAAGUUUCAUAUAGAGCACACGCAAAACGGAGCAACGGUUCAACACACACACUAUACAAGAUAUGACAACAAUCUGUCCAAAACAGCAACUAGGCAUAUUGCAAGCACCAAAACAACAUGCUACAGUACCACAAUAUGAAAACAAAAGGCAUGGACAUGAUGUACAGGUAAUGCAUUGCAAAGCAUGAACACUGAGCUAUCUCCAGAAAUCACUAGAACAUGCUCCAAAACACAUGGCAAGAUUGCAAAUAAUAACAGUUUCAGACUCAGCAGGAAUAACAUCAGGUUGCAAUGUUUAGCGCUAUCAAACAACAUUGAAAGGAUCGAUAUGGUUGACUAGAGGGGGGGUGAAUAGGCAACUAACAAUUUUAAGCCUUUUUAUUUUACCAAAUUAAACUUUGCAACAAAUAGGUUGUCUAGAUAUGCAACUAAGUGAGCAACCUAUAUGAUGCAAUAACAACUAGCACGCAAGCAAGCAAGAGAUGUAACAAUAAGUAAGCUUGCAAAAGUAAAGGCACGAAAUAACCAAGAGUGGAGACGGUGAAGACGAGGAUGUGUUACCGGAGUUCCUUCCUUUUAAGGGGAAGUACGUCUCCGUUAGAGCGGUGUGGAGGCACAAUGCUCCCCAAGAAGCCACUAGGGCCACCGUAUUCUCCUCACGCCCUCACACGAUGCGAGAUGCCGUGAUUCCACUAUUGGUGCCGUUGAAGGCGGCGACCGAACCUUUACAAGCAAGGUUGGGGCAAUCUCCACAACAAUCGGAGGCUCCCAACAACAACACCACCACGAAGCUUCACCACAAUGGAGUAUGGCUUCGAGGUGACCUCAACCGUCUAGGGUGCUCAACACCCAAGAGUAACAAGAUCCGCAAGGGAUAAGUGGGGGAAUCAAAUAUCCUUUGGUGGAAGUGUAGAUCGGGCCCUUGUCACCCAAUCCCGAGCAAAUCAACAAGUUUGAUUGGCUAGGGAGAGAGAUCGAGCGAAAAUGGAGCUUGGAGCAACAAUGGAGCUUAGAGGUGGAAGAGGUAGUCAACUAGAGGUAGAAGACAUCCCUUAUAUAGUCGGGGAAAAGAUCCAACCGUUAUCCACUAGUUCUGCCCGCGACACACGGUACUACCACUCUAAGGGAGCGGUACUACCGCGACGACGCGCGGUACUACCGUGGGUGAUCACGGUACUACCGUGGCAGCUGCACAGGCCGGAACAAGCCUGAACUAGAAGCAGUACUACCGCUGGUGCGGUACUACCGCUCCCCCUUGCGGUACUACCGCAAGGCAGGAGGGUCACGGCCUGGGAAGGGCGCGGACGAAAUAAAUUUCAUCCGUGUCAACUUCCGCAGAAACUAGGGUGGUGCAAAAACCCGACGCGGUACUACCGCCUGUAAGGCGCGGUACUACCGUGGUAGGCACGGAUGUAAAAAAUUACAUCCGCGCCUACUACCGCGACGCAACGGUACUAGGCAGAAGGGCCACGGUACUACAACUCCAAAGGAGCGGUACUACCGUGAGCGCCCGCGGUACUACCGCGCAGGACGAGCGGUACUACCGUGGGUGGCGCGGAUGUAAAACAUUACAUCCACCCCUACUACCGCACCGGAGCGGCACUAGGCCAGAGUGCGGCGGUACUACCGCACCAGAGGAGCGGUACUACCGUGAGGGGCGCGGAUGUAAAAAAUUACAUCCGCCCCUACUACCGCACUGGAGCGGCACUAGGCCAAGGUACCGCGGUACUACCGCGCCAGAGGGGCGGUACUACCGUGACCUGUCGCGGUACUACCGCGUGUACUUGCGGUACUACCGCAAGUACAGCAGUAGUCGUCAGUUUUUCGCACAACAAUGAUAACGAUGGGUAGCUCCAAAGUGCAAGGAAAGGAGGGGCAAGUGUACGUGUGAUUCCACCCUACCUUUCCGACGCGGACCCCCUCUUAAUAGUACGGCUCUCCUACGACUCAACUCCACCAAAGAGAAACGUAGAACAACGACGGCUUCACUAGUCUUCGAGGGGCACCGAAUCAUCUUGUGCCUAAUGAAGAAGUAUCUGUGGGACUCAAGGCACACGAUUAGUCUGCACGAGUAUUGUCAUCAAUCACCAAAACACUUAGGGAUAAAUAUGCCCUUACAAUCUCCCCCUUUUUGGUGUAUUGAUGACAACACGGGAUUUGCACAUAGAUAAGAUAAGUUUAAAGCAGUGGCAAACCCCACUCCUCUAAAAUAUAGACGAGGCUCCCCCUAGAUGUGUGCACUAUAUAUGAAUGCUUUGGACUCCCCCUAUAUUUUAGAGACCAAGACAUGAUAAUAAGCCUAGCAUAGCAUGAAAGUAGCACAAUAUAACACAAGCUAGCUAGGAUAGAUAGAGUGCAUAUGUCUUACACCAUAUGAGAUAAGAUAACCAAGGUUCAAACGAUAAAAGCAGCAAAGAGCUCAACUGGCAAACACACAAACUCGCAACACCAAAUCCCUACGCUCUCUCCCCCUUUGGCAUCGAGACGCCAAAAAGGCAGAGAGGACACCUAAACACACAAGAGGUGGCUCAAGCAGAGAAACUGUCCCACUCCUCUGCAUCAGACUCCUCCGCAGCUGGAAUGGACUCCUCGGCCUCCUCCUCAGAAUCAGUCCACUUGAAUCCUUGCUUCUCCAUCCACUCGGUCUCAGGAGUGAUGUGCUCCUCAGACCCGGCAGACACAUCCUCGCCAUAGAGCUUCAAGAUCUUGUUGUGCCGGCGACGACUCUCCUUGGACUCCACGUGAGCCCUGUACUGUCCCUUGGCUUGCAUGCAGAAAAGUGACUUCAUCUUAUCCGUCAACCUCUUGGCCCAAGAUGGCCUAGAGUCACUCUGAGUAGGCCUAGCAGAACGGCCCCCAGCAACAUCCUCAGCUCCAGCAGCAUCCUCAUCAACAGCAGCAGCCCUAGCAGCAGACGCCUCAGCACGAGUAGCAGUGUUGGCCCAGUUGGGUUUGACCCUCAGACAAAUGGGCUCAUGGCGAAUCCAGUCUGGAGCCAGGAACUCCUCCGUGGGGUACAUCUUCUCCCAAGUCUUCGAAAUCAGCGGAAACAGGUAGGGUCCAUAAAUAGGCACCUUGCGGUUGAACACAGCAAACCGAAGCUCGCACCACAUGAUGUGAGAGACAUCAAGUGGCUGAGUCUGAGAUGAGCGAGCCUCCUCGCACAGAAGCAUCAUGUCCACCAUGUAGGCAUGAACCUUGUCUUUAUCACCGAUGCGUGGGAACAGAGAGUUGCGGAAGAUGCGGUACAUGAUAUCCAGAAACGGGUUGAGAACCGAGACUAUCUUGCCAGUGGCGAGCUUCUUCUCAACCAUGAACGGAGUGAGCUUGUCCUUGUCAGCAGAGUCAGUAUUGCCGUGAGGGCGAACACCAACAGGAGUGUCAAGUCCAUCAUCAGCAACUUGAAGUAACUCCAUGAACUCCUUCCAGGUAGCAGACAGCUGGCGGCCAUUGGUCAUCCACGUCAUCCUCCUCUCAUCAUUGGUGUGAAAGUACACUGAGGCAAAGAACUGACAAAUGAUCUCAGGGUCAUAGUCCAUGUGGAACGAGAUCACAUGCUCAAUGGCAAACUGCUCCACCAAGUCCAGAGCCUCCCCAAAGUAGUCACGAAACUUGUCCUUCCUCAUGUGGUGCAUCUCAAUCCACUUCACCUCUACAUAGGUAUUCUGCUUGUUCUUGAUGACAUCCAAGUAGAUCUGGGUUUGAGUCUUGUUCCAGAACAGUUCACAUCCUCUGAUAGUGGAGCGUGGGGUCGCAUAUGGGUGAAGCUGCCUGAUACGGACAUACUCUCGAGCGCCUAUCUCAUCCAUGCCCCUGGCGGGCUCCUUGUGCUUGCUGGCGAUGGACUUGACAUUGCGCUUCGACGCAGAUGAUCCCUCGGGAACUUCGCCUGGGUUGCGCAGACGCUUGGAACCAGUGUCACGGACGGGAUUGGCCCGGCGAGAGCCACCACCUAAAACACACACGCAAAGCACCAAAACAAGUCGAAAAGGAUCAAUGCAAAGGCUAAAAAGACUGCACAUGAAACCCAUAGAAGAUAAACGAGAAAGUUAGCAUGCGAUAGAGGUGACCGACGGUAGAACUGCCAUGGGGUGUGAUACUAAGGUCUUACUAGAGCUCCAGACACGGUAGUACCGUGAGGGGUCACGGUAGUACCGUGGCUGGGGCAGUAGUAUGACGUUAGUACCGCACGGCGCGCGGUAGUACCGCGCCAUAGAAGCGGUAGUACCGUGGGAGCGGUAGUACCGCGCCAUACGGGCGGUAGUACCGCGUCGCGUCGGAUCAAGCAGGAUUUGAAUCUGAAAAGACCCGCGAAGCCAUGGCGGUGCUACGGUGACCAGAUCUAGAGCAAGACAACAAUAAAAGUAUAAAUCCUAUGCAAUACUACACUCCUUCAUCCUACUCUUGCAGAGAUCUAGCCGAGAAAUCUCAAGAACAUGCAAGCCUCCCCCAAAACCUAGAAAAACCAAAUACAAUCAUCACGGAGAAGGAUUUGGGGAAAAACCUUGGUCCAUAGCAAGAGCACGUGGUGGGGAACGAUCCCACCGGACGGAAUCACGGGAGGGCAGCCGGUGGAGGAGAUCCGGCGACGAACGCCGGCUCCGUUCGUGAGCACGAGAGAGGAACGGGCUAUGAGGAGAGAAAGGGACGAAUGGGUAUGGGGGAGUUAGAACUCCCCCUCCCCGACCUUAUCCCCGCGAGCCCGAACCGGCACGGUAGUACCGCGGGUCAUCGCGGUAGUACCGCCCGGGCAGAAGUACCGCGCCGUGGCGGUAGUACCGCUCCAUCAGGCGUGAGCUCAUGCCGCUUGGGUGCGUAGUACCGUGCUCCCAUCAGCGGUAGUACCGUGAUUGGCCGCGGUAGUACCGUGGCCGACCGCGGUAGUACCGUGAGCUCAUGCCACCAAGGGUUUCGAACAAGAGAGAAAAACACACCUUUGCAUCGAAAAACAGACACAACCCAAAGCAGCGCAGAAGCAAAGGAACAACAGUAAAACCCUAAGUAACAAGGUCUCUCGAGGAGAGAGAGGGCGGUGGCCGAAGCCACCUAUGUUUGAGUUGGAUGGUAUGGCACCGCGAAGAAUUAUCCUUGGGCCCAUGACCAAAACUUGUCUUUGAAGCACAAGUACCAUCAAAAAUGGCUAAUGUGAAAGAGGUGAUCUAUUUAUGCAUAAUGGGGGGAGGGAGAGUUCAUUGAGAGAACAACACUCCCCCUAUGUCCAUGCCUACAUCUAAACUAGACAACAAGUUGAGUGUGGUGGGGGGUGCACGGGUUCAAGUCACAUUGCUCAAAUCAAUGAUAUUUAGCUCAUGCCUUAACUCGCGAAAUCUUGCUUCAUCCAAUGGCUUCGUGAAAAUAUCUGCAAGGUUAUCAUGAGUGUUGACAUACUUGAGCUCGAUCUCCCCUCGCCGAAUGUGAUCCCGAAUGAAGUGAUACCGAAUCUCAAUGUGCUUCGUCUUGAAGUGUUGCACCGGGUUGAGGGAAAUCUUGAUGGCACUUUCAUUAUCACACCAAAGAGGCACUUUGUCACAAGUGACACCGUACUCCUUUAAAGUUUGCCUCAUCCAUAGGAGUUGAGCACAACAACUACCGGCCGCCACAUACUCCGCUUCGGUGGACGAGAGAGACACACAACUUUGUUUCUUGGAAGACCAACUUACCAAAGAGCAGCCAAGAAAUUGACAACCUCCGGAAGUGGACUUCCUAUCCACUUUGUCUCCCGCCCAAUCGGAAUCCGUGAAACCUUCAAGCUUGAAGUUUGCUCCUCUUGGGUACCAUAAGCCAAAGUUUGGGGUAUGAGCCAAAUAUCGAAAGAUUCGUUUGACCGCCACAAAGUGACUUUCCUUUGGUGCGGCUUGAAAACGUGCACACAUCCCCACACUCAACAUGAUAUCCGGUCUAGAUGCACAAAGGUAAAGCAAGGAUCCAAUCAUGGAGCGAUAUACCUUUUGAUCCACCGCUUUACCAUUGGGAUCGAUGUCAAGUUGGCACUUGGUAGGCAUUGGUGUAGUAGCCGGCUUGACAUCACUUAGCUUGAAUCUUUUAAGCAUGUCUUGAGUAUAUUUGGCUUGGUUGAUGAAGGUUCCUUCUCUUCUUUGCUUGAUGUCGAAACCAAGGAAGAACUUCAACUCUCCCAUCGAAGACAUCUUAAACUUGGAGGUCAUGAGAGCGGCAAAUUCUUCAUUGAAAGCUUUGUGAGGGGAACCAAAGAUAAUAUCAUUAACAUAUAGUUGGCAUACAAACAACUCCCCGUUGACCUUCUUAGUAAAAAGAGUGGGGUCGAUUAGCCCUACUUCAAAACCACGAUCUUGUAGCAACUCGGUAAGGUGGUCAUACCACACACGUGGGGCUUGUUUAAGGCCAUAGAGUGCCUUAUCGAGUUGAUACACGUGAUCCGGAAAGUAGGGAUCCUCGAACCCGGGGGGUUGCUUGACAUAGACCAAUUCAUUAAUGGGACCAUUAAGAAAAGCACUUUUCACAUCCAUUUGUUGCAACUUAAAGUUGUGAUGGGAAGCAUAAGCAAUCAACAAACGAAUGGAUUCAAGACGAGCAACAGGAGCGAAGGUUUCACCGUAGUCGAUACCCUCGACUUGGGAGUAGCCUUGUGCUACCAAUCUUGCCUUGUUACGAAUGAUGUUCCCAUGGGCAUCUUGCUUGUUCUUGAAGAUCCACUUGGUCCCAAUGACAUUGUGGUUCCCGGAUGGUCUUGGCACCAAUCUCCACACCUUGUUGUACUCGAAGUUGUUGAGUUCUUCAUGCAUGGCAUUGAGCCAAUCCGGGUCUUCGAGCGCCUCAUAGACCUUUUGGGGUUCAACACAAGAGACAAACGCGUGAUGUUCACAAUAGUUUGCCAAUUGUCUACGAGUGCUUACCCCUUUACGAAGGCUUCCAACCACAUUUUCCAUGAGAUGGCCUUGGUUUGUGAGCUUGGAAGCAAUCUUCGCGGCACGACGCUCUAAUUCCUCCUCGCGUGUGGAAGGAGGAGGGUUGACUUGAUGAUCUUGAGCGCCGUCUUGAGUUUGUUCUUGAUCUUGAGGUUGAUCUUGAUCUUGAACUAGCUCGAGGGGGAGAACUUGACCUUGGGCAUCAUUUAGUGGUUCAUCACCGUCUUGAGGUAGAUCUUGCCCUUGGUCUUGUUCACGAGGUUGAGGGCCUUCACGUUGUUCUUCGGAAGCGUGUGGGUCUUGAUGAGGUGAUGGCUCUACUUGAGUAGAGCAUUGCCCUUCUCCUUCGGCCACAAGGGGUUCCUCAAUGGGUAGGAUGUGACCAAUACCCAUUCUUCUUAUGGCUUGGGGAGGAAUUUCAUCACCUAUAUCACAAGUACCACUUUGCUCCACUUGGGAGCCGUUAUUUUCGUCAAACUCCACGUUACACGUCUCCUCAAUGAGUCCGGUGGACUUGUUGAGGACACGGUAAGCAUGAGAGUUUGUAGCAUAACCAACAAAUAUGCCCUCAUGAGCUCUAGCUUCAAAUUUAGACAACCGAACACCUUUCUUGAGAAUGAAACACUUACAACCGAACACCCGGAAGUACUUGAGGUUGGGCUUGUUGCCGGUGAGGAUCUCAUAAGGAGUCUUGUUCAAGCCUUUGCGAAGAUAGAGCCGAUUGGAUGCAUGACAUGCUGUGUUGAUGGCUUCGGCCCAAAAGUUGUAUGGAGACUUGAACUCUGCCAUCAUGGUCCUUGCCGCAUCCAUCAACGUCCGGUUCUUCCUCUCCGCAACACCAUUUUGUUGAGGGGUAUAAGGUGCCGCAUAUUGAUGCUUGAUCCCCUCGUCACUAAGAAACUCAUCCAAGGUGUAGUUCUUGAACUCGGUGCCGUUGUCGCUUCUUAUUGUCAAGAUCUUUGCAUCAUGUUGACGUUGAGCUUCAUUUGCAAAGUUGAUGACGGUUUGUUGGGUCUCACUCUUCCUCUUGAAGAAGUAUACCCAAGUAUAUCUUGAGUAAUCAUCCACAAUCACCAAGCAAUACUUUCUUCCUCCAAGACUAUCAAAAGAUGGAGGCCCAAAGAGAUCCAUGUGAAGGAGCUCCAAGGGUCUCUUUGAGUAGAUGAUGGUUGAGGGAGGGUGUGCCUUUUCAUGAAGCUUUCCUUCGAUACAAGCACUGCACGCACGAUCUUUGGCAAAACUCACAUUUUUUAGUCCACGAACAUGGUCCCCCUUGAGGAGACUUUGCAAAGAUCUCAUAUUGACGUGGGCCAAACGGCGAUGCCAAAGCCAUCCCACGUCAACUUUAGCCAUUAGGCAUGUCGCGGUCUUAGUGGGUUGCUCCGAAGAGUUAACCACAUAGAGACCGUUCUCGACAUGCCCAACAAAGGCUACUUUAAGAGUCUUGCUCCACAAGAGGGCCACGGUAUCAAUAUCAAAGAAUGUGGCAAAACCCAUGAGUGCAAGUUGACGAACGGAAAGUAAAUUGAAUGCAAGGGACUCAACAAGCAUGACUUUCUCGAUCGUUAGAUCAUGAGAAAUGACAACCUUGCCGAGGCCCAAUACCUUAGAAUGUGAUGCAUCACCCCACUCGACAUUGGUGGGCAUAGAUGGAGUCUCUUGCACAUCCACCACCAAGUCCUUGCUCCCGGUCAUAUGAUUUGUUGCUCCACUAUCGAGCAACCAUGAUCCCCCACCGGAAGCAAACACCUACACGAGAUCAAUGCUUGGUUUUAGGUACCCAUUUAGUAAUGGGUCCUUUGAUGUUAGUAACAAGGGCCUUGGGAAACCAAAUAGACCAUUCAAUGUACUCAUAAGGAGAACCAACAAAUUUAGCAUAAACAUGUCCAUCACUAGCACGGCACAACACAUAUGAAGGGUUAAAGUCGCCGGCUUUGUUUGAGGAAACGUUCUUGCCCUUUUGAACAUCAACUUCCUUCACUUUCUCCUUCUUCUUCUUGGAAGCUCCGUCUCCCUCUUUCACAAAAGUUUGUUUGAGGGGAGGAGGACGGUUGGCCUUGUUGAUCUUCUUCUUCUGGCUCUUGGACUUGGGUGCAAACCCAAUUCCUUCUUUGCCCACAACUUUCUUUUGAUUGCUCAAAAGGUCGUUGAGGUUUUUCUCACCUUGAAUGCAAGUCACAAGGCCCUUCUCAAGUUGAUCCUUCAACUUAGCAUUUUCCUCCAUAAGAUGCACAUGCUCACAACAAGGGUUAGUGGCACAUGCAUUAUCAAUUAAUACCAUAUGAGGAAAGGUGGCUUUUUCCUUGAUUAGCUUAACUUGGAUUUGAGCAUGAGACUCUUUGAGGGUAGCAUGAGUACCCUUUAAGACCUUGUGGGCCUUGUCAAGUAUCUCAAACUCCUCUUUGAGUCUAGCAUGAUCAACCCCAAGUUUAGCCUUCUCGGAGGUUAGCACACGAGACAUGACAAGAGCAUGAUCAAGAUCUUUCUUUAACUUAGCAUGGGCAUCAUUGUGUGACUCCUCGAGAGUCAAAUGAUGCACACGCUCUUCCUCAAGAGCAUUUGAGAGAUCCGAUAUCUCAUCGGCAUAGUCACGACUAUGACCUUCCAUCUUGUAGAUGGUUUCUUUGUGAGCCUCGAUCAUGUCAUUGGCCUCACCAAGUUGUUCCAAGAGAGCAACAAAGUGCUUCUUGGACUUUCCCUUGAGCUUACUCAUGAAGGACUCUAAUUCAUUCACUUCCUCAUUAGACUCAACAUGUCCAUCAAUGCAAUCCUCCACGGAGGGAUUAGAAAUGAUGGUGGUUGUGAUGUUGGGGGUUACCUUGUUUGAAGCCUUCGCCAUGAGGCAUCUAGCAGUGAUGUUUUCGUUGGGUGAUUCGAAGAGAGACACCCGAGGAGUAGCAAUGGCAAUGGAUGCCAUGGCCGUUGCUUCUUCAUUCUCAUCAUCAUCGUCAUCCUCUUGGUAUUCUUCUUGAACCACCAACCCACGAGUGGGAGUCUUCUUGGCGAAGUUGUUCUUGUUGGGGACGGACUUGGCUUUGUCUUUCCGAAUGAACUUGCCACCAUUGUCUUCCCUCUUCUCGUAAGGACAAUCCGCAACGAAAUGGCUCACAUUGCCAUAGUUGAAGCAAGUUCUAACUCGUUGCUUGCCCUUGACGCCACUUGAGUUAUUCUUGUUGAAGUUGGGUCUUGAGCUCUUCUUGCUCCAAAAUUGUCUUGAAGCAAGGGCCAUGUGCUCAUGGUAGUCGAACUUGGUGUCUUCGGGGUUGCUUUCCUCAUCUUCCACUUCUUCCUCUUCUUCGACAAUGACCUUGGCCUUCAAGGCAAGGUUAGGCUUCUUAGCUCUUUGAGAACGGAGCACCGCAUUUUCGGCGGUCUUGUCCAAGAUGCUCAUUGCAACGAACUCAUCCAACACUUCACUUGAGGUCAUGGUGUGGAAGUCCGGUCGUUGACGAAUGACGGAGGACAUGGCUUUGUUGUAGGGCAUCAUGGCCUUGAGGAACUUUCGCUUGAUCCAAUUGUCAUCCGUGUCCUUGCUUCCAUGAUCUCGAAGUGCCACCGCGAGUUUGGUUACUCUUCGAAAGAGCUCACGAGGUUCUUCAUCUUCUUUCAUUGCAAACUCAUCGGCUUCAUCUUGCACCACUUCAUAGUUGGACCGUUGAAUGCUAGCACUUCCACGAUAGAGGCCCUCAACACAUUUCCAUGCUUCUUUAGCAACGACAUGGGGUCGAAGGUGAGGAAGAUCUUCGGGAAGAAUUGCAUCUUGAAUGAUGAAGAGAGCACUCUCAUUGAAUUGAUUGUCCACGGCUUCUCGAGGGGUGAAGUUGCUUGGGUCAUGAGGAUAAAAACCUUCUUCAAUGACUCUCCAAAGGUUAGUGUUCACAUGUUUCAAAUGACGCUUAAAGCGAUAGACCCAAUUAUCAAAAUCUACACCUUUUUCAUACUUAGGAGGUGGACCGGCAUGAUUCAAAUGAGUGGAGGGGAUAGGCCCUCCAUAGACCGGGGGUUCCACAUGGGCAAAGAUGCCGGUGCCAUUUCUACCACUAGUAGAAGGACUCUUUUCAUUGUUAGCUUCCCCCUUAUCGGAGAAAGCAUCCGUCACCUUGUUAGUGGGAUCACCCACUUUCAUAGGUGCGGUAGAUAGUUUAAGUCCCUCUAAGAAAUCAUUAAACAUGCUUUUAACCUCGGCCGUCAUGGAGGUUUUCAAUGUGUCCAAAGCCACAUUGAACUCCUCACGAGAGACCGAGGUUCCCCCUUCGGCCGAAGAUGAGAUAGGAUUCACACCGGAGUGUUCCUCCACACCAUCGUGGGUGUCAACCAUACUCUUCGGACGGUGAAGUCCUUAAUAAAGAGACGAUGCUCUGAUACCAAUUGAAAGGAUCGAUAUGGUUGACUAGAGGGGGGGGGUGAAUAGGCAACUAACAAUUUUAAGCCUUUUUAUUUUACCAAAUUAAACUUUGCAACAAAUAGGUUGUCUAGAUAUGCAACUAAGUGAGCAACCUAUAUGAUGCAAUAACAACUAGCACGCAAGCAAGCAAGAGAUGUAACAAUAAGUAAGCUUGCAAAAGUAAAGGCACGAAAUAACCAAGAGUGGAGACGGUGAAGACGAGGAUGUGUUACCGGAGUUCCUUCCUUUUAAGGGGAAGUACGUCUCCGUUAGAGCGGUGUGGAGGCACAAUGCUCCCCAAGAAGCCACUAGGGCCACCGUAUUCUCCUCACGCCCUCACACGAUGCGAGAUGCCGUGAUUCCACUAUUGGUGCCGUUGAAGGCGGCGACCGAACCUUUACAAGCAAGGUUGGGGCAAUCUCCACAACAAUCGGAGGCUCCCAACAACAACACCACCACGAAGCUUCACCACAAUGGAGUAUGGCUUCGAGGUGACCUCAACCGUCUAGGGUGCUCAACACCCAAGAGUAACAAGAUCCGCAAGGGAUAAGUGGGGGAAUCAAAUAUCCUUUGGUGGAAGUGUAGAUCGGGCCCUUGUCACCCAAUCCCGAGCAAAUCAACAAGUUUGAUUGGCUAGGGAGAGAGAUCGAGCGAAAAUGGAGCUUGGAGCAACAAUGGAGCUUAGAGGUGGAAGAGGUAGUCAACUAGAGGUAGAAGACAUCCCUUAUAUAGUCGGGGAAAAGAUCCAACCGUUAUCCACUAGUUCUGCCCGCGACACACGGUACUACCGCUCUAAGGGAGCGGUACUACCGCGACGACGCGCGGUACUACCGUGGGUGAUCACGGUACUACCGUGGCAGCUGCACAGGCCGGAACAAGCCUGAACUAGAAGCAGUACUACCGCUGGUGCGGUACUACCGCUCCCCCUUGCGGUACUACCGCAAGGCAGGAGGGUCACGGCCUGGGAAGGGCGCGGACGAAAUAAAUUUCAUCCGUGUCAACUUCCGCAGAAACUAGGGUGGUGCAAAAACCCGACGCGGUACUACCGCCUGUAAGGCGCGGUACUACCGUGGUAGGCACGGAUGUAAAAAAUUACAUCCGCGCCUACUACCGCGACGCAACGGUACUAGGCAGAAGGGCCACGGUACUACAACUCCAAAGGAGCGGUACUACCGUGAGCGCCCGCGGUACUACCGCGCAGGACGAGCGGUACUACCGUGGGUGGCGCGGAUGUAAAACAUUACAUCCACCCCUACUACCGCACCGGAGCGGCACUAGGCCAGAGUGCGGCGGUACUACCGCACCAGAGGAGCGGUACUACCGUGAGGGGCGCGGAUGUAAAAAAUUACAUCCGCCCCUACUACCGCACUGGAGCGGCACUAGGCCAAGGUACCGCGGUACUACCGCGCCAGAGGGGCGGUACUACCGUGACCUGUCGCGGUACUACCGCGUGUACUUGCGGUACUACCGCAAGUACAGCAGUAGUCGUCAGUUUUUCGCACAACAAUGAUAACGAUGGGUAGCUCCAAAGUGCAAGGAAAGGAGGGGCAAGUGUACGUGUGAUUCCACCCUACCUUUCCGACGCGGACCCCCUCUUAAUAGUACGGCUCUCCUACGACUCAACUCCACCAAAGAGAAACGUAGAACAACGACGGCUUCACUAGUCUUCGAGGGGCACCGAAUCAUCUUGUGCCUAAUGAAGAAGUAUCUGUGGGACUCAAGGCACACGAUUAGUCUGCACGAGUAUUGUCAUCAAUCACCAAAACACUUAGGGAUAAAUAUGCCCUUACAAACAUGCUACAGGAACUUAUCAUGGCAAACAAAGGCAUGACAUGAAUAUACUAAUUGCAUAGAACAAAAGUCCUUUACUGACCAUGAGCCAAAAAUGAUCAGAAGAUAUGAUGGCACCCAUGUAAACAUAGCAAGUUUCGUUAACAGAUUCAGCAAACAGAGCAUGGCAUUAACAGAAUUAUGAAGACAUGUUGGUGAGCUUGUAACACUCACCACAAAGCAAUACAUGGCAUGACAAGGUAACCCACAGUAAUAAGACAUAUUUAUGAAGCUAGUCAUGGCAAGGGCAAGUUCAUAGGCUGCAUGGAUCACUAGCAAAACACAUGGCACAAACUGAACUUAAUGUUAACAGGCUGACAUCAACAUUAUUUAGCAACUUUAGAGCAUGAUAACAACAAUCUACAGCAAUCUAUAAAUGCAACCAGGGGCAUGGGUGGAUAGAUCAUGACAUUUAUAACAAAACAUCCUUAGUGAACAUCUCCCGAUUAUGCAUAGAAUGACUUGUAGCAGCAGGAUUACAUAGCAUCACGAAAUAACAGAUUCAGCCUAGCAAAACAGCAACAGCAAGUACCCUAAUUAACAAGCUUGAUGCACUCACUACACAACUCAAAAAAAUACAUGGAUGGCACCCAUGUAAAGAUGGCAUGAUGUAGCACAAAACACAUGUAGACAUCGACCUCAUAGGAUGCACACACAAAAUGCAACGAAAAUGACAAAUCACCAAGUUAUAACAGUUUCAGCAGAUUAACAUCAUAUAGCACUUCUGCAAUGAUGAUUAGGGCAUCAAGAUGAUCUCAAACAAGCAUGGCACAAUGAAAUGAAAUGUAGAGCAUCUCAUGACGAACAUGUUGACAUAUUAUAUGCAUGAAAUGGAGCUACGGGUGCAGAGUUAUGAUGUGAUGAACAGGCGCAUAAAAUGCUGAAAACUUAGGGACUUAGGAUAUUUCCGGGGUCAACCUUCAGAUCUGGAUCCGGGCGCGGGAACCGAGGUGGCGGCGCGAGCUCGCCAGAGACGGGGCGGAGAGGGCGCUGCAGAGGAGGGGGAAGGCGCCGGCAGGGACGACGCAACUCGGCCGCGGCGGCGCGCGACCAGGGCGGCGGAGGCGGCGUGGAGCGGCGCCGACCGGCANNNNNNNNNNNNNNNNNNNNNNNNNNNNNNNNNNNNNNNNNNNNNNNNNNNNNNNNNNNNNNNNNNNNNNNNNNNNNNNNNNNNNNNNNNNNNNNNNNNNNNNNNNNNNNNNNNNNNNNNNNNNNNNNNNNNNNNNNNNNNNNNNNNNNNNNNNNNNNNNNNNNNNNNNNNNNNNNNNNNNNNNNNNNNNNNNNNNNNNNNNNNNNNNNNNNNNNNNNNNNNNNNNNNNNNNNNNNNNNNNNNNNNNNNNNNNNNNNNNNNNNNNNNNNNNNNNNNNNNNNNNNNNNNNNNNNNNNNNNNNNNNNNNNNNNNNNNNNNNNNNNNNNNNNNNNNNNNNNNNNNNNNNNNNNNNNNNNNNNNNNNNNNNNNNNNNNNNNNNNNNNNNNNNNNNNNNNNNNNNNNNNNNNNNNNNNNNNNNNNNNNNNNNNNNNNNNNNNNNNNNNNNNNNNNNNNNNNNNNNNNNNNNNNNNNNNNNNNNNNNNNNNNNNNNNNNNNNNNNNNNNNNNNNNNNNNNNNNNNNNNNNNNNNNNNNNNNNNNNNNNNNNCUCAGAGUGGGCGGCGCGGCGCGGGGCACGGUCGGGCCCGGCGUGGCCCGGGGUGGGCCGGCCGUGGGCCGGGCGGGCCGCGGCGGUGGGAGGAGAGAGAGGAGACCGGCGGGGUGACGUGGCAGCCCCAGAGUGGCUGGGCGCGGCGGCGGGUUUUUGUCCGGCCGGACCGGACGUGUCCAGGGGCGCGGGGUGGAAGAAGGCUAGGGUUUCGCCCGAAUUUUGGAGGGGGUGCACAUAUUUAUAGGUAGAAGGAGCUAGGAGACUCCAAAUGGGGAGAGGUUUUUGGCCACACGAUCAUGAUCGAACGACCGAGAGCAUGGAGGGGUUAGGAUGGGUUUUGGGCCGCUUUGGAGGGGUGUUGGGCUGCAAGACAAAAGAGGCCUUUUACGGUUACUCGAUUAACCGUAGGAGUAUCAAACGGACUCCAAAUGGCACGAAACUUGACAGGCGGUCUACCGGUGGUGUACCAAGGCCGCUUGGCAAACCUCGGUCCAUUCCGAUAAUGUUUAACACCCGCUCACAAUAGGAGACAAAAGGGGGGACGCCGGAGGACAUAGGAGUGCCGGAUUGCAAAACGGACAACAGGGAAAAUGCUCGAAUGCAUGAAACGAACACGUAUGCAAAAUGAGAUGCACAUGAUGACAUGAUAAAAUACAACACGCAAACAAAUGACAUGGCAAUGAUGACGAAUAACUGGCAGACACCUGGCGCAUCGAAUCCGGGACGUUACAAUAUGGCCAAUAUCAUAUUGCUCCUUUGAUCUCCAUCUUCGGGGCGCCAUGAUCAUCUUCGUCACCGGCAUGACACCAUUGAAAGAUCGUGGAUGUCGCCUAGAGGGGGGUGAAUAGGCGUUUUAAAAUAAUUACGGUCUAGGCUUGAACAAAUGCGGAAUAAACCUAGCGGUUAAUUUGUCAAGCACAAAACCUAAAACAACUAGGCUCACCUAUGUGCACCAACAACUUAUGCUAAGCAAGAUAAGCAACUAUGUGAUAGCAAGAUAUAUGACAAAGAACAAUAUGGCUAUCACAAAGUAAAGUGCAUAAGUAAAGGGGCUCGGGUAAGAGAUAACCGAGGCACGCGGAGACGACGAUGUAUCCCGAAGUUCACACCCUUGCGGAUGCUAAUCUCCGUUUGGAGCGGUGUGGAGGCACAAUGCUCCCCAAGAAGCCACUAGGGCCACCGUAAUCUCCUCACGCCCUCGCACAAUGCAAGAUGCCAUGAUUCCACUAAGGGACCCUUGAGGGCGGUCACUGAACCUGUACAAAUGGCGACCCUUGGGGGCGGUCACCGAACCCGUACACUUUGGCAACCCUUGGGGGCGGUCACCGGUACCCGUCAAAUUGCUCGGGGCAAUCUCCACAACCUAAUUGGAGACCCCGACGCUUGCCCGGAGCUUUACACCACAAUGAUUGAGCUCCGAACACCACCAACCGUCUAGGGCACCAAGGCACCCAAGAGGAACAAGCUCUAGGGUGCCCAAACACCCAAGAGUAAUAAGCUUCUCAAACUUCACUUCCACGUAUCACCCUGGAGAACUCAAACUGAUGCACCAAAUGCAAUGGCAAGGGCACACAGAGUGCCCAAGUCCUUCUCUCCCAAAUCCCACCAAAGCAACUAAUGCUAGGGAGGAAAAUGAGAGGAAGAACGAAAGAAGAACACGAAGAACUUCAAGAUCUAGAUCCAAGGGGUUCCCCUCACUUAGGGGAGAAAGUGAUUGGUGGAAACGUGGAUCUAGAUCUCCUCUCUCUUUUCCCUCAAGAACUAGCAAGAAUCCAUGGAGGGAUUGAGAGUUAGCAAGCUCGAAGAAGGUCAACAAUGGGGGAAGAACACGAGCUCAAAGGAUUUGGUUCAUUGGGGAAGAAGACCCCCUUUUAUAGGACCUCCCAAUUCCAACCGUUAUGUGCUCAGGUCGUGCACAAGCGGUACUACCGCUUCGAGGAGCGGUACUACCGCUUAGCACGGUCAAAACAGCCCAAACGAGAGAGAAAACACGAGAUUUUGGUCUGGGGCGGUACUACCGCUUAGGAUCCACGGUAGUACUGCUCCAGAGCGGUACUACCGCUCAGGAGCAGCGGUAGUACCGCUCUGGAGCGGUAGUAAAAAAUUGCAUCCGCUCUAGUCGCGGUAGUACCGAUGCAGCCUUUACCAAAACAGCCACAACUUUUGCAAACGAACUCCGAAUUCAACGAAACCAAGUUUGUUGGAAAGCUAAUGACAUGGACUAACACAAUAUUGAUAGAAAUAUCAAGAAUAAGCAAAUGAGAAAAGUCCCAUAAGAAAAUGGUGAGAACCCUUCAUCGGAUAAGACCGGUAAAACCUCCAACACCGAAAACAUCAUAGAAGACGCAUGCGAACUCCGUUUUCGAUGAACUCAAGCUUGUCAUCAAGAUGACCAUAAGCUCUAAGACUCACAAAGAUAACCAAACAAGAACCAAGAAACAUGAUGCAAGGAUGCAAUGGUUUGAGCUCUCUACUAACGAUACGAUCAAGCUACCAACUUGAGAGCCCCCCUUGAUAGUACGGCAAACGAUCCUAUAACUCGGUCUCCCAACUACCACCACAAGACCGGUAAAAUAGAAAACCUAUCAAGGGAAAACCUUUGCCUUGCACAUGGUCCACUUGAGCUAGAUGAAGACGAUCUUGACUCCCUCAAGUUUGACCACCUUUCUUGAUUGCGUUGACUCGAUGAAGACUAGAUGAUUGCUUCCCCAUAGUUCACUAUGGGUGAGCCACUCUUCGGCACAUCUUCACAAGUCCAUUGACACCACAAUGGAUGGCAAGAUUCAAGCACUUGAUCUCUUCAUGAUGCUCCACUUGAACUUGCACACGGCAAUCUUGAUGACGAUCACCACUUGAUGUCAUCCUUUCCAUGGGUUGUAUGAUAUCUUCCUCUUGACGCAAGCCCAUGGAUAUGUACCUAACCCCACAUACAACUCUCACAUAGACCAUGGGUUAGUACAUAAAGUGUAAUGGACAAUGUUUACCAUACCAUGGGAUCACUUGAUCCCUCUCGGUACAUCUUCUACGCUUUGUGAGUUGAUCAACUUGAUUCACUCUUGACUUAGUCUUGAUCAACCUUGAAUCUUUGCAAGUCUCUUCAUUUGGAUGAUGUCUUGAAGAUAAACAUGAAUGAUCACACAACCUUCUUCUUCAAGACAUGCUUGCAAUAAGCUCAACACUCGCAUGACCAAUCUUUGGAUAAUUCCUUAAUAGCACCUUGGUCAACUCAAAAACUCCUUGAAACUAACACAUGGACUUCAAGAAAAGCCUAUGGACAAAUCCUUCAAAUACAACUCAAGACAACCAUUAGUCCAUAGAGAUUGUCAUCAAUUACCAAAACCAAACAUGGGGGCACCGCAUGUUCUUUCAAUCUCCCCCAUUUUGGUAAUUGAUGACAAUCACUUUCAAGAGAGUUUAUAUAAGGAAUUAUGCAUCACCAUGCAAUGCAACAACUAAUAGUGCAUGCGAAUGAGAUGCAAAUGCUAAGGAACAAAAACAAAGCAAGAAGAGAUAACUCUCUAAACUUCUCCACAAAACCCUCUGAAACUUCUCCCCCAUUGGCAUCGAUUGCCAAAAUGGGAAAAAACUAAGAAGGCCAAUAUAAAUUGUGGUCCUCCAUAAAUUGUGUAUUUCUCAACAAGAGAGUGGAAUGCAAUACACAUACCCAACUACCAAUACUUGGAGGAAGACAAACUAUAUUGACGCCCAAAGAUUGCAAUAGAAAGAUAUGCCACAAAGACAUAACAAAGAGAGACACAAGCAAUCAGAAGAUAUCAAUUGAAGCAAGCGAUCAACGGAUAUCAAUUGAACCAACUAGACCAAUGAUCCUACAUGCCACAAGAAUAAACAUAUAAUGAAAAGCGCAAAGGAGUGUUCUAAAGAAACUAGAGAAGCUCCCCAUGAUUUGUGGACACGUAAGAAUUUUUUGUAUUUGAAUACAAAGUGAACAAAAUAGGAUCAUAGCUCCCCCAAAAUCAAUAGAAACUCACAUCCAGUGCAAGUGAGCAUAUAGGAAACAAAGCCUAGCGCUUGCAACAAGCACAUGGUUGAGCAACAUGUAAAAGAGGCAACUUAAGAAUAGGCUCAACCAAAAUGAUGUGUGUGAGUCAUGGCGAAGCACUUGAGAAGACUAAGAUUAGGAUGAGCAUUAAGCAUCAACAUAGUCUUGAAAGAAUGAGGCACACGGUGCAAGGCCUAUCAUUCCCACACACAAGUGGCAAAUGGGUUCACAAGCUUACUAAUAAGCAAAAGAGAACCUAUGCUUGUGACAACCCGUGGUGAAGAUAGACGAGGGGAGGCUCAUCAAGACGAGGGAUACCAAUUAAGAUGGCAAAAACCUCGUAAAUAUAAGCAAGAGGAAGAUAAUCUUCACCACACAAGAGUGCAACAAGAUGCAACGAUAGAGGACACGCACUCAAGGCAAAAGCUUUCAUGGAGCCACCAAAGAAAUAACAUAAGAAAGACAAGGUGGACGUGAAAGAAAAGAUAUCAACUAGAGAUGUAAUUUCUCUCAAGUGUAUAAGGUUCUAUGUAGAUGAAAUCAUGAUGAUAUAUAUAUACAAAGAAUGAUGUACACCCGAAAUAGUUACAACACGAAGAAACAAGAUAUCCACAAGGAAGUCAUAAAUAUACCAAUAAGAUAUUUGCUUGAAAGCAUAGCACUUGGCUAGAUAUGGUCUCAUUGUAUAUAAAUGAAGUCCAAACACACAUCCAUCAAAGGCAUCACAACUAGCAACAAGAGAUCAUCGUUGGGAUGCUUUGAGAAAGGAAACAAGUAUCACAAGAUAUGAAAUGAAUAUCAUGCCAAGAUGCAACCUACACAAGGUUGAAUGCAAGAGGAGAAAGCAUGAAUAGAUACUUGUUACCGAGAUAUCAUUGGAAGGAUGUAGUAGAUACCAAUUGAAGGUAGAUAGUAGUUCAUUGAUCAUCCUUGCUUGACUCCAAUAUGCACAUGGUGACAACACCUUCCUUGUGAGUGAGCCGAGCAUCCAAUGCAUCUCCAAAUGUUCCUAGAAGAACAACACAAACUAAACGGUACCCAAACUCAUUUGGACCAAAUAGUUAGAAACACCAAUACAUAGGACAAACUCCACAUAAAUAUGUGCAUAUAGGUAUGAAAAUGGAUUUCAUGCACAUCUCAUCCAAAUUGAGACUAGGUGAAGUUUCCCCUAUAUAUUGAGUCAACGAAAGAAAGCAUGCCAAAUAGAAUACAUGAAGUAAAUAUGCAUGCUCAAAACUUUCAAGAACCGAUACCAAAAGACAAAGAAAUGCCAAGUGAAAAGGAUACCAAAUGGAGAAAUCAUCACUUGGAAGAUAUCAUUAAAGAUACAUCAAGGAAUGAGAUAUCCAUUGAUACACACUAAAUUAAAGAUGUCAAACUCCCAAAGAGAGGAUGGUUCCAAACAAACCAAGCUCCCAACAAAGUUUCAUGAUGGCACAAGGUACCAAAAGAAAACGGCUUGCCUUCCACCAACACACACUUGAUAAGGAUCACAAGAAGAGUGUUCUAAAGAAAAUAGGAUAGCUCCCCCACGAGUUAUGCAUUAUAAAGAACUUCCUUUUGAAUACAAAAUGAACAAGGUGGGAUCACCACUUUCACUAUAUCUAGAAAACACUAGACAAGAACAAGAAAUUAACAAGAUCCACAAGUGGCAUGGAAGGCAACGAGAGUUGACACAAACCUUGGCAAGAGAAAAGGCAAAUAAAAACAAAAGCCAAUGUAAAGAUGAUCAAUUAAAUUCUACCACACAUAAGUGAUUACCAAUUGUCAAAAGACAAGAAGUAUUUGGAAAUAAUUCCCGGUGGUAGAUAGCAAGGAUAUCCGACAUCAUCUUCACUCCAAACAAAAAUCAAAUUGCAACUUGUAGAGCUAACAUGCCACCUAGGAACAAGAUAAUUUACAAUAUCAAUUAUAGGUGACAAUAUCUCAAAUGUACACAUUUUCUAGGCUUGUAAUAUGCACAUAGCAUAUUACUCCCCCAUAAUGUGAUACCAAUGAAGAAAACUUAACAAGAGGCAAUAAGAGGAUCCAACACAUUUAGAAUUUGAAUUUCUCAUGAGAGAUAUACCACCUAGCGACUAGAUAAUCUUGAAAUAUCAAUACUAGAUGGUAUUACUAAUGUGUGCACAUUUAUAGGAUUGUGAGGUGCACAAAGCACACCACUCCCCCAUAAUGGAUAUUCCAUUAAUCUCUCACAAGAGCCAACUAAGAAAUAAACAAGAUGCACUAAGGCUCAACGAACGACACACAAGUACAUGAUGUGCAAACCAACAUACACAAAGGCAAUUUGGAGACACAUCAUAUACAAACACAUGCAAGGAACAAACCAAAACAUGCAAAGGGGCAAGUAACUUUCAAUGUAAACAAUUUAAGUACAAGUUACCGCAAGGAGGAACAUUGGAUAUAAGAUAGAAACUUGACAACCCAAUUGACUUGGCUUGAGACAACAAGAAAUAUGAAGUCCCCUUAAUUCUUCAUAAUGUAGCCAAGUCUCCAAUGACCUCCAACAACACCUAUUGAUCAAGUUUGGGCUUGUUGGUCCCCAACCAAGUUGGGUCCUAAGAGGUUAGUCACAAUAGGUUUGGCUACCCAAAUGGUUCUUUGCUUGACACCACUUUGAGUACCAACAAAUUUGGCAAACACAUUGCCAACCUUAUCCUUACCAAGAGAAUAGAUAUCAUCAAUAAUAAUUGGGUUGGAUAAGUUACCACUAGUGCAUGAAGAAGCGACGUGACCUUUCUCAUGGCAUAAGUAGCAACGUCUACUCUUCACUUUCUUCUCACUUGAUUUCUCAAUUUGAGAAGCAUUAACUUGAGUCUUCUUGGGAAGAGGCCUUUCUUCAACUUGAUGUUGAGCAUGAGAUUGAACUUGUGCCAUCUUCCCUUGUUGCUUGACACUAAUGGCCUUCUUAUUCAAUGGGCAAGAUCUAACAUGAUGCCCUUCGACUUUGCACUUGAAGCAAACAAUCUUGGCCGAAUUCUUGACUUGUUCUUGGCCCUUCCUUUUGUUCAUCUUGGACUUCUUCUUCUUAUUGGAGUUGAAUCCAAGUCCACCUUUGUCAUUGGGGGAUUUUUGCACACUCAAGAUAUUGUUGAGUGUGGAUUUCCCUUGAUGACUCUUUUCUAAGUCUUUCUUCAAAGAAGUGACUUGGGCCUUGAGCUCUUUGAUUUCCUCUACAUGGUUAGUCUCAACACAAGUACUAGAGGAAGUAUAAGCUUCAUAGUUAGAGCAACAAGGCAAGGAAAGCAAUUCAUCACAAGAUGUACCAACACUGUGAGUAGAUGAAUUACAAGGACUAGCACAUGGCAAUAUACUAUUUUGACUAGAAGUAGUGCUAGUAUCCACAUGAGGCUCACUAGAUGUUACCUUAGCAAACAUGGCCUCAUGAGCUAUCUUUAGCAAACUAUGGGAUACUAGAAGAUCAUCAUGAGAGCUUGAGAGCUUUUCAUGAAUUUCUUCCAAUUUCCCAUAAUUGCUAGAUAGCACCUCAAGUUGAGCCCGUAGCUGAACAUUCUCCUUCAAAAUGGAUGCUUCACAAGUAAUAGAAUUAGUAGCACAAGCAUCAUCAUUAACAACAAGAGGAGAAGGCAACUUGGCAAGCUCUUUUAAAUAAGAAGCUUCAAGUUGGGCAUGAGACUCGGUGAGUUUGAUGAGCUCACCCUUGAUGACCCUUGAGCCAUUUUCGAGGUGCUCAAAAUCCUCAAGGAGUCUAGCAUGAGAAACUUCAAGCUUAGCAUUUUUAGUUCUGAAAUCGUUGGCCACCUCAAAAGCUCUAUCAUGAGAUUCGGAGGUGGUUUGUUCAUGUUCAAGAGCUUGAGAUAGCUCCGCGAUCUCAUUUGCAUAAUCACGCCCAUGAGCUUCCAUUUUCUCAAUGGUGACCUCAUGCUCCUCGAGAUGAGAUUCCAACUCCUCAAUAUAUUUCUUGCCCUCAAUGGCAAUGGACAUAAUUUCCAUGAAGUUGGAACGAGCAAUUUUAUUUUUAAGAAGAGCUUUAAAAAUCAUCUCCCCCUUAGUUUUUAAGGAGGCAACAUUAUCAUUCUCUUCAUCAUUAUCCAUCAUCAUUAGCAUCAACAUCAUCAUCAAGAGACAUAUUGGGGUACAAAGUAGGAGAUACCUUUGAUGCCUUAGCCAUAAGGCAAAAAGCAAUAGAUGACGAUGUAGGAUCCCUUGAGGCACCAUUAAACACCACACCUUGUUCCAUGGAGUGUUCGGUUUCCUCUACAUUGUUAGCACAAUAAUUCGAGGAAAUAGAUGCAUUUUUAUCAUGGCAACAAGGCAUAGCAAGCAUAUCAUCAUGUGAUUUAGUCAAGCAAUUUCUACAUGAUAUGCAAGGACUAUCAACACAAGCAUGUGAAACAUUUGGAGUGCUCGAAGUGUUAAAGCCCAAAGAAGGAGCAUUGCAAUAAUAUAGUGAUGAAGGAUCCUCCACAAGAAGCAUACUAUCACCAUUGCAAUGACCAACACUACUCACCAUAUCAUUACCUUGUGGCAAACCACAUGUAGGUGAAGUAGAAGAAGCUGAGAAGACUAUACGACCGGAGGUGGAGGGGGAACAAUCAUCCCCACAAAUAUUGGACACACCAUAUUUAUCUUGAAGCUUUGUCCACAACUCAUGAGCAUCCCGGAACGGCAUGAGUUGAAAAAUAACUACAUUACUCAAAGCAUCAAAAAGCACAUUAGAAGCUUGAGAAUUGAGAUAAGAGUUUUUCUCAUCCUCUAAAGAUAAUCUUUGGAGAUCCUUUGGAGGAGAAAAACCCAUAUCUACAAUUCGCUCUAAAUAUGGGUCCAUGACCCUAAAGAGAUUAAGCAUGCGAAUUACCCAAACAUCAAACUUUGUGCCAUCGAAACUAAGAGUGUCAGAGAAUCCUAAUCCCCUAGUUGACAUCUUUAUUCUCUAGGCGGUUAAGCCUAACAAAGAGAGACGAGGCUCUGAUACCAAUUGAAAGAACGUGGAUGUCGCCUAGAGGGAGGGUGAAUAUGCGUUUUAAAAUAAUUAUGGUUUAGGCUUGAACAAAUGCGGAAUAAACCUAGCGGUUAAUUUUUCAAGCACAAAACCUAAAACAACUAGGCUCACCUAUGUGCACCAACAACUUAUGCUAAGCAAGAUAAGCAACUAUGUGAUAGCAAGAUAUAUGACAAAGAACAAUAUGGCUAUUACAAAGUAAAGUGCAUAAGUAAAGGGGCUCGGGUCAGAGAUAACCAAGGCACGCGGAGACGACGAUGUAUCCCGAAGUUCACACCCUUGCGGAUGCUAAUCUCCGUUUGGAGCGGUGUGGAGGCACAAUGCUCCCCAAGAAGCCACUAGGGCCACCGUAAUCUCCUCACGCCCUCGCACAAUGCAAGAUGCCGUGAUUACACUAAGGGACCCUUGAGGGCGGUCACCGAACCCGUACAAAUGGCGACCCUUGGGGGCGGUCACCGAACCCGUACACUUUGGUAACCCUUGGGGGCGGUCACCGGUACCCGUCAAAUUGCUCAGGGUGAUCUCCACAACCUAAUUGGAGACCCCGACGCUUGCCCGGAGCUUUACACCACAAUGAUUGAGCUCCGAACACCACCAACCGUCUAGGGCACCAAGGCACACAAGAGGAACAAGCUCUAGGGUGCCCAAACACCCAAGAGUAAUAAGCUUCUCAAACUUCACUUCCACGUAUCACCGUGGAGAACUCAAACUGAUGCACCAAAUGCAAUGGCAAGGGCACACGGAGUGCCCAAGUCCUUCUCUCCCAAAUCCCACCAAAGCAACUAAUGCUAGGGAGGAAAAUGAGAGGAAGAACGAAAGAAGAACACGAAGAACUUCAAGAUCUAGAUCCAAGGGGUUCCCCUCAAUUAGAGGAGAAAGUGAUUGGUGGAAACGUGGAUCUAGAUCUCCUCUCUCUUUUCCCUCAAGAACUAGCAAGAAUCCAUGGAGGGAUUGAGAGUUAGCAAGCUCGAAGAAGGUCAACAAUGGGGGAAGAACAUGAGCUCAAAGGAUUUGGUUCAUUGGGGAAGAAGACCCCCUUUUAUAGGACCUCCCGAUUCCAACCGUUAUGCUCAGGUCGUGCACAAGCGGUACUACCGCUUGGAGGAGCGGUACUACCGCUUAGCACGGUCAAAAUAGCCCAAGCGAGAGAGAAAACACGAGAUUUUGGUCCGGGGCGGUACUACCGCUUAGGAGCCAUGGUAGUACUGCUCCGGAGCGGUACUACCGCUCAGGAGCAGCGGUAGUACCGCUCUGGAGCGGUAGUAAAAAAUUACAUCCGCUCUAGUCGCGGUAGUACCGAUGCAGCCUUUACCAAAACAGCCAUAACUUUUGCAAACGGACUCCGAAUUCAACGAAACCAAGUUUGUUGGAAAGCUAACGACAUGGGCUAACACAAUAUUGAUAGAAAUAUCAAGAAUAAGCAAAUGAGAAAAGUCCCAUAAGAAAAUGGUGAGAACCCUUCAUCGAAUAAGACCGGUAAAACCUCCAACACCGAAAACAUCAUAGAAGACGCAUGCGAACUCCGUUUUCGAUGAACUCAAGCUUGUCAUCAAGAUGACCAUAAGCUCUAAGACUCACAAAGAUAACCAAAAAAGAAGCAAGAAACAUGAUGCAAGGAUGCAAUGGUUUGAGCUCUCUACUAAUGAUACGAUCAAGCUACCAACUUGAGAGCCCCCCUUGAUUGUACUGCAAACGAUCCUAUAACUCGGUCUCCCAACUACCACCACAAGACCGGUAAAAUAGAAAACCUAUCAAGGGAAAACCUUUGCCUUGCACAUGGUCCACUUGAGCUAGAUGAAGACGAUCUUGACUCCCUCAAGUUUGACCACCUUUCUUGAUUGCGUUGACUCGAUGAAGACUAGAUGAUUGCUUCCCCAUAGUUCACUAUGGGUGAGCCACUCUUCGGCACAUCUUCACAAGUCCAUUGACACCACAAUGGAUGGCAAGAUUCAAGCACUUGAUCUCUUCGUGAUGCUCCACUUGAACUUGCACACGGCAAUCUUGAUGACGAUCACCACUUGAUGUCAUCCUUUCCAUGGGUUGUAUGAUAUCUUCCUCUUGACGCAAGCCCAUGGAUACGUACCUAACCCCACAUACAACUCUCACAUAGACCAUGGGUUAGUACAUAAAGUGUAAUGGACAAUGUUUACCAUACCAUGGGAUCACUUGAUCCCUCUCGGUACAUCUUCUACGCUUUGUGAGUUGAUCAACUUGAUUCACUCUUGACUUAGUCUUGAUCAACCUUGAAUCUUUGCAACUCUCUUCAUUUGGAUGAUGUCUUGAAGAUAAACAUGAAUGAUCACACAACCUUCUUCUUCAAGACAUGCUUGCAAUAAGCUCAACACUCGCAUGACCAAUCUUUGGAUAAUUCCUUAAUAGCACCUUGGUCAACUCAAAAACUCCUUGAAACCAACACAUGGACUUCAAGAAAAGCCUAUGGACAAAUCCUUCAAAUACAACUCAAGACAACCAUUAGUCCAUAGAGAUUGUCAUCCAUUACCAAAACCAAACAUGGGGGCACCGCAUGUUCUUUCAACCAUGAUCUCCAUCAUCAUGAUCUCCAUCAUCGUGUCUCCAUGAAGUUGUUCGCCAACUAUUACUUCUACUACUAUGGCUAACGGCUUAGCAAUAAAGUACGGUAAUUACAUGGCUUUUAUUCAUUGACACGCAGGUCAUACAAUAAUUAAGACAACUCCUAUGACUCCUACCGGUUGUCAUACUCAUCGACAUGCAAGUCAUGAUUCCUAUUACAAGAACAUGAUCAAUCUCAUACAUCACAUAUAUAUCAUUCAUCACAACCUUUUUGGCCAUAUCACAUCACAAGGCAUAUGCUGCAAAAACAAGUUAGACGUCCUCUAAUUUUUGUUGCAUGUUUUUACGUGGCUGCAAUAGGGUUCUAGCAAGAACGUUUCUUACCUACGUAAAACCACAACGUGAUAUGCCAAUUUCUAUUUACCCUUCAUAAGGACCCUUUUCAUCGAAUCUGAUCCGAUUAAAGUGGGAGAGACUGACACCUGCUAGCCACCUUAUGCAACUAGUGCAUGUCAGUCGGUGAAACAUGUCUCACGUAAGCGUACAUGUAAGGUCGGUCCGGGCCGCUUCAUCCCACGAUGACGCCGAAACAAUAUAAGACUAGUAGUGGCAAGAAAAUUGACAAUAUCUAUGCCCACAACAAGAUUGUGUUCUACUCGUGCAUAGAAACUACGCAUAAACCUGGCUCUUGAUGCCACUGCUGGAGAACGUUGCAGAAAAUAAAAAAAUUCUACGCUUCACCAAGAUCAAUCUAUGGAGUCAUCUAGCAACGAGAGAGAGGAGUGCAUCUACAUGCCCUUGUAGAUCGCGAGCGGAAGCGUUCAAGAGAACAUGGUUGAGGGAGUCGUACUCGUCGUGAUCCAAAUCACCGAAGAUCCUAGUGCUGAACGGACAGCACCUCCGCGUUCAACACACGUACGGUUGGGAAGACGUCUCCUCCUUCUUGAUCCAGCAAGGAGGAAGGAGAUGUUGAUGGAGAUCCAGCAGCACAACGGCGUGGUGGUGGAAGUAGCGGCGAUAUCGGCAGGGCUUCACCAAGCUCAGCGAGAGGGAGAGGUGGUACGGGGGGAGAGGGAGGCGCCAGGGACUAGGGUGCGGCUGCCCUCCCUCCCCCAUCUUUAUAUAGGGGCCCUAGGGGGUGCGCCGGCCCUCUAGAGAUCCCAUCUCAAGGGGGGGCGGCGGCCAACGGGGUAACUUGCCCCCCAAGCCAAGUGGGGCGCCCCCCACCCCUAGGGUUUCCAACCCUAAGUGCAGGGGGAGGCCCAAGGGGGGUGCACCAGCCCACCAGGGGCUGGUUCCCUUCCCUCUUCAGCCCACGGGGCCCUCCGGGAUAGGUGGCCCCAUCCGGUGGACCCCCGGGACCCUUCCGGUGGUCCCGGUACAAUACCGGUGACCCCCGAAACUUUCCCGGUGGCCGAAACUGGACUUCCUAUAUACAAUUCUUCACCUCCGGACCAUUCCGGAAAUCCUCGUGACGUCCGGGAUCUCAUCCGGGACUCCGAACAACUUUUAGGUUACCGCAUACUAAUAUCUCUACAACCCUAGCAUCACCGAACCUUAAGUGUGUAGACCCUACGGGUUCGGGAAUCACGUAGACAUGACCGAGACAGCUCUCCGGCCAAUAACCAACAGCGGGAUCUGGAUACCCAUGUUGGCUCCCACAUGUUCCACAAUGAUCUCAUCGAAUGAACCACAAUGUCGAGCAUUCAAGUAAUCCUGUAUACAAUUCCCUUUGUCAAUCGGUACGUUACUUGCCCGAGAUUCGAUCGUCGGUAUCCCAAUACCUCGUUCAAUCUCGUUACCGGCAAGUCACUUUACUCGUACCGUAAUGCAUGAUCCCGUGACCAACCACUUAGUCACAUUGAGCUCAUUAUGAUGAUGCAUUACCGAGUGGGCCCAGAGAUACCUCUCCGUCAUACGGAGUGACAAAUCCCAGUCUCGAUCCGUGUCAACCCAACAGACACUUUCGGGGAUACCUGUAGUAUACCUUUAUAGUCACCCAGUUAUGUUGUGACGUUUGGUACACCCAAAGCACUCCUACGGUAUCCGGGAGUUACACGAUCUCAUGGUCUAAGGAAAUGAUACUUGACAUUGGAAAAGCUCUAGCAAACGAACUACACGAUCUUGUGCUAUGCUUAGGAUUGGGUCUUGUCCAUCACAUCAUUCUCCUAAUGAUGUGAUCUCGUUAUCAAUGACAUCCAAUGUCCAUACUCAGGAAACCAUGACUAUCUGUUAAUCAACGAGCUAGUCAACUAGAGGCUUACUAGGGACAUGUUGUGGUCUAUAUAUGCACACAUGUAUUACAAUUUUCGGAUAACACAAUUAUAGCAUGAAUAACAGACAAUUAUCAUGAACAAGGAAAUAUAAUAAUAAUCAUUUUAUUAUUGCCUCUAGGGCAUAUUUCCAACAUAAUGAUGUCGCACACAAGUCAGCGCAUACGUGAGCUCCUGGACAAAAAAUCCGGUAUGGCUAGGUCCAUCUAUGGAUCUAGGAAGCGCGCUUCGGCAUAGGGUCAGAGCUACCAAAACGAUCACGUUGAUAGAACACAAGCCAGGAAUUAGAACCGAACACAACAACCGUCGACAGCAUGCCACGACAGGUCCAAAUACAGGGGUGCCGCGCACCCCCUGUGCUUCACCGAUGAGGUGCUGGAACAUGAAUUCCCAGAAGGAUUUAAACCCAUGAAUAUAGAGGCAUACGACGGAACGACAGACCCUGGGGUCUGGAUUGAGGAUUUUAUCCUUCACAUUCAUAUGGCCCGUGGAGAUGAUCUCUACGCCAUUAAAUACCUACCCCUUAAGUUGAAAGGACCAGCUCGUCAUUGGUUGAAAAGCCUCCCCAAAAACUCAAUUGGAAGUUGGGAAGAACUUGAGGAUGCUUUUAGGGCCAAUUUUCAAGGUACCUACGUCCGACCUCCGGAUGCAGACGACCUAAGUCACAUAAUUCAACAGCCCGGAGAGUCAUCCCGAAAACUUUGGAACAUAUUUCUUACUAAGAAGAAUCAAAUCGUCGACUGCCCGGAUGCCGCAGCCUUAGCGGCCUUCAAGCACAGUGUCCGGGACGAAUGGCUUGCCAGGCACCUCGGCCAGGAAAAGCCAAGGACAAUGGCAUCCUUAACAAGCCUCAUGACCCGCUUUUGGGCGGGCGAGGACAGUUGGCUAGCCCGUAGUGGCACCAGCGACCCAGGCACAUCUGAAGUCAAAGACGGCAACGGGAAGCCGUGGCGCAAUAAAAACAAGCGUUGAAACAAUGAAAACAGCCCAGAUAACACGACGGUAAACACCGGAUUCAGGGGCUCUCAACCCGGUCAACAGAAGAAGCCAUUUAAAGGUAACAUAGAAGGACCGUCCAGCCUAAAUAAGAUUCUGGACAAAUUAUGUCAGAUUCAUGGCACCUCCGAAAAACCUGCAAAUCACACCCACAGAGAGUGUUGGGUUUUCAAGCAGGUCGGCAAGCUAAAUGUCGAACACAAGGGGAGGGAGAUGCCAAGUGAGGACGAGGAUGAGCCCCGCCAGCCGAACACUGGGGGACAGAAAAAAUUCCCACCAGAAGUCAAAGCAGUGAAUAUGAUUAAUGCAACUCACGUUCCAAAGAGAAGGCGCAAAUGCGCACUCCAAGACGUAUACGCUGUGGAGCCCGUCGCCCCCAAAUUCAAUCCCUGGCCGGCCUGCCUAAUCACUUUUGAUCGCACGGAUCAUCCGACUAGUAUCCAGCACGGUGGAUCAGCCGCCUUGGUGCUCGACCCAAUAAUCGACGGAUACCAUCUCACUCGAGUCCUUAUGGAUGGCGGCAGCAGUCUUAACCUGAUAUAUUAGGACACUGUCUGCAAAAUGGGGAUAGACCCGUCAAGAAUCAGUCAAAGCAACACUACCUUUAAAGGAGUGAUACCAGGCGUCGAAGCCCACUGGACGGGCUCUCUAGUACUAGAGGUUGUAUUUGGAUCUCUCGACAACUUCAUAAGCGAAGAACUAAUCUUCGACAUCGCUCCAUUCCGAAGUGGCUAUCACGCACUACUCGGAAGAACGGCCUUCGCCCGUUUUAAUGUAGUACCGCACUAUGCCUAUCUUAAACUUAAGAUGCCCGGUCCACGUGGUGUCAUCACAGUUAGCGGAAAUACAGAGCAUUCCUUACAUGCGGAAGAAUAUGUUGUGGCUAUAGCAGCCGAACAUUGAGCGGUCCCUCCAACCAAAUAAAUGGUCGGUCGUCAAGACCACGGACACGGUUGGACGAGUCCGGCGCUCCACUAAAUGCAACAGCCCCGCUGGGAUAUCCCCAUAAAUGGUGCUAGGGGCUGCUCGCAAACAAAAAAAAGAAGAGGCCCAUAGUUGGGCCUGACCUUAUCAAUACAAUAACAUAUUGCAUUUUCAUGGUUCAUUCAGAUUAAUGAACCCCUCGCAUGAAGUCUUUCACCUGGGUUUUUCCUUUUUACAGAUGAUCAUCGUGCUACACCCUUCCAGGAUACGGCACAAUGGAGAUAAAGGCGCAGACGUGCAGCAGGGCCCCGCUCAAAGGUUUCUCUUUAGAUUAAGACCCUACGUAAACCUUUUUUAAUGUCUCAUGUUGCUUCUUCCCCUCCGGAAACUUGACACAAUUGAGAGGGAUACUGGCGUUUUUCGGCAUUUUUGUCACACCAGACUAAUGCACAUACCUGGAAACUCAGGGCUUAUUAUCGAGGGUGUUAUUCAGCCCAGUAUAUGUUGUAAAGUCCGAAUACCUUAGGGAGUGUUCGGCGUCGCGAGUUUGGCCUUAUAUGCAUCAGCUCCGAAUCAUGUCUUUGGUCAAAUGUUGGGUUUGCCCGGCUCCCGUGUUUUGCUACCUUACGUUCCGCUCUAUCGGCUAAGGCGGCACCGGGAGAACUACUGCGAUUGUGCCCUGGUUCAUCUGGAUGAGCACCUCAGUAGAGAAAGUCAAAAACUGACUGUCAUGAUACAGCGCGAGACUGGUCAACCACUUGAUGACAAAGCGGAAUCUUCACGAUUCCUCCGCAUUAACGAAGGACUGGUUUCCCGGUCAUGUACGUACGCGCACCACCUUCGGGUGAACGCGGAAGUACCAGGGGCUAUAUAGUAGCCCCACCGUCAAACUCCUAUGGCUAAGUGAAAGUGUUAAAGCUAUAUAGUCCGAUUGCCUGGUUCACCGCGCUACCACCUCCUUAACGGACCAAGACGUUGGAUCAAGUGUGACUACACAUUUUCUCGAACACCCCCGCAUUAUAUGUGUGGGGGCUGAAGCAGACGAUUGCUAAGUUGCAGGUUAUAUACAUACAUAAACGGCCGCACAGGAGGCACUACAAUACUUUCGGGCAAAAGUAUAAACACAACCUUUAUAAUCAAAAUAGCAUUGUCUUUACAAUUGAGACACAUGUCACUCGAACAUGGCACUGUUCGAGCACUGAGACUCUAUUAAACAGGCGCCUUCUAAGAUUUCUUCAAAAUAGUGCUCGCCAGGUCCUGGCCUUCCGCCGCACCCUGGGUUGCAAUAGCGGUGGUCUCCAUCCCAGCCCAGUAUGUUUUAACACGGACAAGAGCCAUCCGCACACCCUCUAUGCACGCCGACCUCUUCACAGCAUCGAUAUGCGACAUAGCACCAAGGAAUUGUUGCACUAAUCCAAAAUAGUUGUCCGGCCUUGGUCCACGUGGCCAAAUAUGAUCCACUACAGACCUCAUAGCAAGCCCGAACAACCUGUGGAGUUCGGCCCAUGUGGACAUCCUUUCAUUCAACGGCAGCGGACGCGUCGGGGCACUGAACUGCGACCAGAAUAAUCUUUCUGUCUGAUGGUCUUUCCGAUCUUUGUAAAACUCAGUCGCAUCAGCAGCACUCUUGGCCAGGUCCGCAUAUGUGUCUGCAACACUCCACAACUGAUCUAGAGGGGCAUACUUCGGAUCUCCAAACUUCAACCACAACAAAAAGGGCCUCCCAGCCGUGAUAUCUCUGGCUUCACGAAGCUCCUCCCUUAUCCCUCUCAUUUCAGAGCGGGUUUCCUUGGCUGCCUCUAGGGCCUUCUUCAGGUCGGCUGCUCUCGCUUGGUUGUCCCUUUCAAGGAGCUCAUAGCGGUCGGCGGCAUCUUUCAGCUCAACAGCCAUCUCGGCUAUCCUUUCCUCGCUCUGGCGAUGAGCAGCCUGUUCGGCUCUCAACUCUUUGACCGCCUUCAGGGCGGCCACAUCACUUAUCCGAGCUUGUUCCUUGGCUCGGGCAAGCUCCGCCCGAAGGGUCUCUACGGCAGCAGCUCCAUCUGCGGUCACAAUAUAUUAUAAGAUACUAGCAUAAUGCUCCUCUUACAAUUUACUGGCAAGACGAACAUACAUACCCUGGGCCUCGUCAAGCCGCUUGUUAACAAGCGCGAUGUCGGCAUCCACCACGUCCAGCUGCCACUUCAGUUCGGCAAAAUCAGCAGUCCGGUCAAUAGUCGGACAAUCAGCCGCCUGCACAUAAAAAGCAGCGCGAUUAUUACCUGAGAUUACGAUCCUCUGUUUGCCACCUCUAGAUGGCAACCAGAGUCUCAGGGGCUACUAUCUAUACAGAGCACACCUAGCAUAUGCGGUACCGUCAGAAAUACAUAUAUUAUUUUGCGUACCUCAAAGCCGCCCAGCAGACUUGUAAAAGCUACAUUCAAUCCGCUUUUGGCGGACGAAAUCCUCUCAAUCACCGUACCCAUUAAGGUACGAUGUGUCUACGAGAUGGCUGCUCGCUCCAGGAGACCCAUCAGUGUGUCCGGCUGUAUGUCGGACAAUUCCGGAAUCUUUCUAUCGCUCUCCUUGGGAGCCGGAUAAUCCAAACUUCGGGCAGCCGAAGUGUCAACUUCUGGCCUCGGCGGAUCAGGAGAAACCCUCCGUGACGACACCUCGGGGUCAUCCGCCCCAUGUGACGGGGAGGCAGGGGGAGGCGUUUCGCUCUCCAUCAUCUCCGGAAGAAGACCCCCCAAAGACGAACUCUGUGGAGAAGGGCUACAAGCCGGACUGCAACAAAUAUGUUUCGGUUAUUAUCCUUAGAGACAGAACGGGAUAAAUUUACCAAAGUACCUUUUUACUUACGGCUCGGUGGAGGGUUGGCCCCCUUGCGGGCACUGUGCGGUAAGGACGCCCUCUGGGGCAGGGCCCCUUGGCGAGGGUUUCUUCCCUUGUUUGGAAGCCUCCAUUUCCAUGUCUUCAGAGGCGGCCCUUUUCUUACCUUGAGGAGAGGGGAUUUUAGAUUCCCCUCCCCGAUUAUCCUCCUUCGUGGAGGCACUUACUCCCCCAAUUUGGAUGUGUAAAAUAUGAGGCCCACCUGUGGCUUCUCCAUUCCUCCCCUUAUCUUCUCUUGAUGGCAUCUGAUACGGCGCGCGCUCAAGCAUCCUGGUCAACAAAGGAUCCGGCGAGCCUUCAGGAAAAGGGGUCGAACACCUAAUCCUCUCCGCCUUCCUUAUCCGGUCCCGGCGGAGAGCAAUUUUUCAGAAUGUUGUUAUAAAAAACAUAAAGGACGAUGUGUUCGGUAGCGGGAUUACUUACUUGGGUAUCCGGACGGUUGCAGUUGAGACCCAUGUCCUCGGUGGUAUCCGGACACUUUAUUCGUGAUCCGAAGAAAGACCCAUACAUCUCUUUGAGCGUCAUGCCGAAGAAUUGUUGAACGGUUUGCGGUCCUUCUGGGUUGAACUACCACAUAUGGAGAGGUCGACGUUGGUAGGGCAGGACCCGACGAACCAGCAUUACUUGCAUUAUCGUGACGAGACUGACAUCCUUCUUGAGAAGGUCUCGGAUGCGGCUUUGCUGUGUCAGCAUGUCAUUAACUGGCCCCCAGUCCAGCCCCUUGUUGACCCAUGACGCCAGCUACGGCGGAGGGCCCGAGCGGAACGCUGGAGCGGCCGCCCACUUUGUACCUCGGGGAGCUGUGAUGUAAAACCACUCCCAUUGCCAUAAGUCGGGAGUUUCCAUGAAGGAACCCUUUGGCCACGGGGCAUCGGUGCCUUUGCUUAUUAUAGCGCCUCUGCACUCUGCAUGACGCCCGUCGAUCACCUUCGGCCUCACAUUGAAAGUCUUGAGCCAUAGGCCGAAGUGGGGGGUGAUGCGGAGGAAGGCUUCACACACGACGAUAAACAAUGAGAUGUGAAGGAUGGAAUCCGGAGCUAGAUCGUGGAAAUCUAGCCCGUAAUAGAACAUAAGCCCUCUCACGAAGGGAUCAAGACUAAAACCUAACCCUUGGAGGAAGUGGGAAAUAAAUAUGACACUCUCGUUGGGUUCGGGAGUGGGGAUGACCUGCCCUUGAGCAGGUAGCCUGUGCGGGAUUUUGGCGGUGAGAUACCUGGCCUCCCUAAGCUUCUUGAUGUCCUCCUCUGUGACAAAGGAGGCCAUCCACCGGCCUUGAAGGUUGGAUCUGGACAUGGUUGAAGGUUCAAAGUGUCUAGCUUGAGCCUUGGGUGUUGGAACUCGAGGUGCGGGAGGGGGAGGAUCGAGCGUGGGAAGAAAAGGAUAGGCCUUGGCCCCCUUAUAAAGAGGACGAAUAUCAAGCGUCCCCCGCGUGACCGUUUGGGACUUGCCUAAAAUCGAGGAGUCAUAUUAAAUAAAACACGGUUGGGUUACCCACACCUGUAUUGACGAGAAUCCCGUGAUAAGGGGGGCAUGAUCUCUGCUUCGACAAGACGUGUCAAUAAAACCGCCUCGUAGUGGCUGGUUAUGAAAAAUGGUUCGAAUAAAGACCGGACCGCGGCGUGAUGUCAGCAGAUCGGAUCUGUGGAAUAUUGUACUCUCUACGGUGGUAUGUGGAAUUUGUUUUGCAGAGCCGAACACGAUUCUCGUGUUCAAAAUCUUCUAUGGAGUAUUCGGAGAAGGAACCCGCCUUGCAAUGCCAAAGACAAUCUGCGCGUCAGACUCAUUGUCAUUGAAGCCUGGUUCAGGGGCUACUGAGGGAGUCCUGGAUUAAGGGGUCCUCGGACAGCCGGACUAUAUACUUUGGUCGGACUGUUGGACUAUGAAGAUACAAGAUUGAACAUUUUGUCCUGUGUCCGGAUGGGACUCUCCUUUGCGUGGAAGGCAAGCCUGGCAAUUCGGAUAUGUAGAUCUCCUUCUCUGUAACCGACUCUGUGUAACCCCUAGCCCCCUCCGGUGUCUAUAUAAACCGGAGGGUUUAGUCCGUACGACAAGAACAAUCAUAAUCAUAGGCUAGCUUCUAGGGUUUAGCCUCUACGAUCUCGUGGUAGAUCUUGUAAUACUCAUAUCAUCAAGAUCAAUCAAGCAGGAAGUAGGGUAUUACCUCCAUCGAGAGGGCCCGAACCUGCGUAAAACAUCGUGUCCCCUGCCUCCUGUUACCAUUAGCCUUAGACGCACAGUUCGGGACCCCCUACCCGAGAUCCGCCGGUUUUGACACCGACAGUUACAGUAAUGUAAGAGCCAUAUGAGAGCAAUCAACUGCUCACCUCCUUGAUGACCUUGUUGUUGGUCAAAUGGAUCCUUUACUUGUUGAGAUUUGCAUAACCUAUCUUCUAGAUCAAGCAGUGGCGAGUGUGUUUUUGCAACUUUGUGUUGCUUUUGAUCCCAUGUGUGGGGUGUUCAUCGGACUGGCUGAGCAAUCAACGGAUACACUGAUGCACGAGCUAUCCCAGAUGCACUAGAUACGAUUUCCUAGAUCAACUCCUCACGCUCUUUAGGUUCGGGCACCUGCAGAUAUAAUGAUUCUGUUUGUUUAAUUAGCUACAAACGAAACAUCACAAACUUUUAAAGUANNNNNNNNNNNNNNNNNNNNNNNNNNNNNNNNNNNNNNNNNNNNNNNNNNNNNNNNNNNNNNNNNNNNNNNNNNNNNNNNNNNNNNNNNNNNNNNNNNNNNNNNNNNNNNNNNNNNNNNNNNNNNNNNNNNNNNNNNNNNNNNNNNNNNNNNNNNNNNNNNNNNNNNNNNNNNNNNNNNNNNNNNNNNNNNNNNNNNNNNNNNNNCAAACAUUCAUCGCAUAUAACUUGUUGUAAAGAUAAUUAGCUUAACAAAUGCAAGGGUUGAUUCAUAAAGAGUAUUAGUUUCAGACUACACUACCCACAAAGUGUUAAACUUCCAGCCUCCAAAAAUGGAUAAAAAUAUAUCUAAUCAAAGUUGGAUAAUGAUAACAUCAGUUCAAUCAUUAAAUAUUGAAGGCAUGUAUCAUGUACCAACACAAUAAAAAAUGUACACUUGUAACAUACCCAUAUGCAACAUAUGGCUUGACCCUGCGGAUGAUGAUUGUGGCUUUGUUAGCCUUCAAGAACACUGCGAACGGAGCGUAGAUCAGAUGGUUAGAUUUCGUGCAGUGGAACCAGCCACCAGGAUUCAAGUCCUAUACUUGACAUUGGUGCUCGCAUUUUCUUGGAUUUAUUCCAGGCUUUUCCGUGAUGUUUGUUCAGUGGGAGGAGAUGUUCUUGUCGACUAUGAGACGCUUGUGGUGACUUCGUCAAUCUCAAAAUGUUGUUCCGAUUUAGUAUCUCAGAGAUCCUUAUAGGGGUAGGUUGUGUGUGUGUGUGUGUUCAUAGGGAUGAGUGUAUGUGAGUUUCUGCGAUUCUAUUGUUACAAAAAAAACUUCAAGAACAUCCAUUUAAUAUCUGCCCAACCAAACGUGGAUUGUCUUCAAAUCGGACUUCCGUCAAAUUGAUUUUGUUGUGUUAUUUUCCUCUUUUUUAGACUACGCCAGUUGCAAAUUCCUUUCUAUGUCUUUUCUGGGUUGUGUGCACCGCAAUGUAGAGGCCAAUUAUGAACCUUUUCACUUGUAUUGCCCUCAUGCGUGUUUUUUUGUCAUAAAAACUUCCUUUAUUGAAAGAAAAAAAUGUGGCCAUAAAUAUACAUUGCAGUCCUCACAUUUUAGUCAUCUGGGGAGAAUGGGAUAUGCUUAUCAUAAACUUAUCGCACUUGCGUACUUAAGCUUGAGUCGGUGUAUCUUUUUAAGCCAAUGGAACGAUCUAACUUUGUCAUAAAUUGUGCCCUCACCAAACCUAUUUCCCAUCGUUCUACAGAACUGAUGUCCGCGGUAGCUUCCAAGCAAGAACAUUCUAUCUAAUUUCAUACUUGGUUUUUGGCUUCUUUCGAUCUAUCAUGCUUGGCCUAAGAUCAUAACUUUAAUUCUGAUUAUUAAUACUAUAAUAUAGCUAUCGACCGGCUAGUGUUUCUAACUCUAGUUCUACGUACUAAUCUUAAUCUCCCCAGCAGAUAAACAAAAACAUCUGGUCAUUAGUUUGUUUUUCUUGCAAAGAACACGGACAUAAAUCUCUACGAAAUUGCACAACCAUAGAUCAUUGAAGACUUCUAUCGUGAGAGCUAAUUUUUGAAAUUUCUAGAGGGAACAAAUAUUUGAAUUAGACGAAAGAAAAUAUUAUGCAGAUUGGUAAUCAGGCUUCAUUAGAUGUUUAAGUUAUUUAGAACAUUUUUAAAAUAAAAGAAAUCGCACAACAAUCGUUCAUUGCCGAAAUUCAGUUUCUUAUAGCAUCUACAGCCGAACGCCCCAAACCCAUAAACAGAUGCAAAAGCCGGUACCAAUCGGAGAUUUAGGAAUUGACAUCAACAAUCAUCUCGUGAUCUAGAAAGCGAUCUUGAUGGAUUGCCCAAGAAUGUUCGGACUGACAGUAUGUGUAGCCGCAACUCCAUCGAAGACAUUGAUAGUGCAAGCUUUGUUGUGUAUAGGAGAAGGAGUUCUCGUUGGCAUCACACGGCACGAAUAUUGAAUGUAUUUCCCCAUACCUCCUAAUCCGAUUAUGCUCAUCGGCUGGAUGUUGUGUGACCUCUGGUUGUUCUAAUACUAGCCAACAAAUCAUCCUCGUUUUUAGAGGAUUUGAGUGGGGAUGAGGAGCCAUAUAUAUAGUCUCGGUAGUGUAUACAUGUACUGUUGCCACAGCGAACGUGCACAUGCUUCAUCAAUCCCCCCUUAGGUACGGACAUUGUUUGCUGGAAGCAUGAAUCGUUUGCCUCUUACCACUCGGGUACGGGGACAGAGGGGCUUUGCACUCUAAUUUACUCCCACUGUUCCUAAUAUUACUUAAAGAAAUAUAAGUUAUCUAAACGAGAGAGUACUAGUCUCUUUAGAGAUUUCAAUAUGGACUAUAUACGGAUCAAAUGAGUGAAUCUCCACUCUAAACUAUACCUAUAUAUGUAGUUCAUAUUGAAAUAUCUAGAAAAACUUAUAUUUACACCCUAAAUUAUGCCUAUAUAUAUGUAGUCCAUAUUGAAAUCUCUAGAAAGACUUAUAUUUAGACAUGGAGGGAGUACUUUGUAAAUCAGUUUGUUUGUGCGUUAAGACCUGUGAUGGGGAUUGAGCUGAAUCAACCGAAAUACAAUGUGUUCACCGGCAAUAAGAAAAACCGAGACUUUGCAAAGCCCGCAUCCUAGGCUGACAACAACGAGAAACAUAUUCUCAGCACAUAGCAGAAGAUUAAAUACAUCUCAUAACAUCCACAUACAAAGUCAGACAGAUUCAUCCAAACAUGCAUAUCAUGGUUCCGAAAUAUCAAAACUGCAUCCACCAUCCACUUCCUAAUGUAAAGCAGGCUUAACAAACAAAACAUCUUCCGAAUACAAGGAUCGAUGAUCAACCUAGUUCAUCCUCCUGACGAGCUGGUUGAUGUAGUUCUCGCGGUUGCCAGCGUCACCGCCCUCGACGUAGUGGUUCCUCUUCUUCUUGAGGCCUCCCAGCGGCGCCUUCAGCUUGAAUGGCCACAGGAAGUUGCUGGCCUCCUUGAAGUGAAGGCCAACGGUCAGGAUCUCGUGGACAAGGUCCUUAAUGCAGAUGAUGUUGUACUUUCCAAGACCCUGACAAUUAUUAGACAACCAAAAUUGUCAGAAUCACACCAAAGUUGCAUUUGGAGAUGCAAAGUAAAGAGCCAUAUGUUGGGCAAUCGACUGCUCACCUCCUUAGUGACCUUGUUAUUGGUUAGAGGAAUCCUUUGCUUGUUGAGCUUUCCAUAGCCUCUCUUGUAGAUCAAAUCCCUCACGAUCUUCAAGUUCGGGUACCUAUUAUAUCCAUUUAGCUCUAGUGCCCAUGCCAUGAGGUCCUCAAGUUGUCGCUAUGACGCGGAGUACGAAAAAUUGCUUCAACAUCGAGGGGAAGAAAAGCCUGGUGCGGGAGUGGUAUAUCCCUGCCGUGUUUGUCAUCCAUGAACCCAAAGACUCUCCGAUGGAGGCAUCUUCCCCGAGGAAUAACGGGUUUAGCCGAGAAGCAAGGAGGGAUCCAUGUAUAUUGCACCAAAUCCGGAAUUUAUGUCCAGCCAAUAUGCCAAAUCGGCCCUUACUGGAGAAGAUCGAAUCCUUGCUGACCUUGUGUGUGCCUCUUCAAAAAUGGUGUGACCGCACAGCCUGUUCUCCACCCACAUUACCUAUAUCAAAUGUUCAAGGUCUUCAGCAAUGUUUGUGGUCUUGAAUAUAUUUUUGAAUGAGAUUUUGGGAGGAUUAUUUCACGGUGUGCGUGGAAAACACAACAUGAUUGAACAAAUCAUAAGUACCUCACCUCCUUGAAGGCUAUGACUUAAUCACGCAUAGGCUACGUUCAACAAUGACAUAGUUCUGAUGAGUUCCGGUGGAACCUUCACAAGAACUGGAAGUUCUCAGUCAGAUCUAUAUACCGGAUUUUCCUCCACUACGAUGCCCCAAUUAAUUGAAAAAAUAUGAAGCUUAAAACCCUUGUCCUCGUGGGGGCGCUAGCACUGUAUUAGUGUCUUUGACUAUUUAAAAAUUAUCGGCUUUUUCAAAAGAAAGAAAAAAAACUCCAUUGCAGAUUGCCUUUUCAUGUAGCGCUGACUCUGUUUUUAGUGUACUCUACACCGACCGGAGCACCUGGCAGUUCCCUAUGCGAAAUGUAUGCAUAUGCAGCGUGCGUCCAAGAGAUAUUUACCAAACAUGGAUCGUCUUCAGAUCGGACUUCCGUCACAUUGAGUUGGCUGUGUUAUUUUCCUUUUUGUUGUAGACUAGCCAGUCUUGCCUGGGUUGUGUACGUUCUAGCGAUAUAGAGGCUAAUUGUGAACUUUUCACUUGUAUUGCUCUGGUGUGUGUUUUGUGUCAUGAAAACUACCUUUAUGAAAAAAGCAUUGUCACGCAUAUACAUUGUAGUCCUCGAAUUGUAGUCGUCUGGGGAUAAUGGGAUAUGCUUCCUCAUGAAGCUCCUAAACUCAUCGCACUUGUGCACUCAGCUAAUCUUGGGUCAUUGUUGUUUAAGCAAAUGAAACGAUGUACUUUGUCUAUUAAGGGUGCUCUCAGCUAACCUAUCUCGCAUUCUCGCGUCAUACUACGAAACUGAUGUCCACGGCAGCUUCCAAGCCAGAACAUACUAGAAAAUUUUAUACUAUGACUUUUUUUGCCUUCUUUCGAUGUGCCAUGCUUGGCUUAAGGUCAAAACAUUAAUUCGUUGGCUACUAUAAUAUAGUAGCUAUUGACUGGCUAGUGUUUCUAACUCUAGUUCUACGGGUUUUUUUUUUGUUUGUUUGUUUUUUUUAAACGAGGCAAAAGACUUGCCAUUUUUAUUGAUUAAGAAGAAGUGAGAAUUGCCUGGUUAAUUGACGGAAAACCGGGCUAAAACCAAUACAACCCAACCCAUAUAACAUGGGCACCACCGGCCAACCUGACCACCGACAUGAAACAUGAGCUGCAAAGAAGAAAAGACAUCCGCCGGGAAGUCGCAAGCGUCAUCGUCAUCACCGGUUACCUCCGAACGGGCGACUCCGACUUCACCAUAGAGCUCCACCAACGAAGCCUCCCCCACAAACAGCUACACAGAGCAAUGACGGCACAUGCCAACAGAUGGCCACACGCGCCAACAACCGACAACUCCGACUUUGACGACGAUCCUCACAAGGGAACCAAGCUCCUCUUGACGCCAUCAUCGUUGCCAAACAGAAAUUGGCGCCCCCGAAACGGCCGCCUCAGCAAACCACGCGGCGAAGAUGCCGCCCUUCCACGCGGCGAAGAUGCCGCCAUCCCACGCGGCGAAGAUGCCGCCAUCCACCGGUCUCAGGUUGUAGACGGCUCCAAGACGAUGCCCCCAAGGAGGAAGAAGACGUGAAGACGCCUUCAUCGCCCGAUCCCGCAGAUCAGAGGUUUCCCUCCGGAGCCAAGGCCGCGGGGUGAGGGAUGGAGCACCAUACAUCAGCGACGCUUCCAAGAAAGAGUGCGACGCCCAAUCUCCACUGAGAAAAACAAGACGUAUGGUCAUUAUUUUGUUGCUCUUGCAAACAACGCGGACAUAAAUCUCUACGAAAUCACAAAACCAUAGAUCAUUGAAGACUUUUACAGGCAAGAGCUAAUUUUUCAAAAAAGAAUGAAGGAGGAAAUAAAUAUAUAGAUUAGUCUGAAGGAAGUUAUUAUUCUUGUUAGUAAAUAAGGCUUCAUUGUAUGUCUAAGUUAUUUAGAAUAUUUUUAAAAUAAAAUAAAUUGCACUGCAGCGAGUCACUGCAAAAUUCAGUUUUCUUAGCCAUUGACAUUUCAUUGACAACCAAACCUCUAUACUAUUUCAAAGUGGCGUCAGUUUUCUUAGCCCAUUGACAUUUCAUUGACAACCAAAACUCUAUACUAUUUCAAAGUUGCCACUGGGCGGCAGUUGCAAAAGCCGGUACAACUGGGAGUCGAUCUAUCAGCAGACAUCAACAAUGAUCUUGUCAUGGCACAGGGUUAGAGCAUCUCCAACAGCCGCGCUAUGCGCCGCGCGCAAAAACCCUGUUUGCCGCGCGCGCUUCGGCUGGUUUAGCGCGGCCGCGAGCGCUGGCUCCAGCAGCCGCGCUAUAAUGCAGCGCGCGCGCGCCGCUCCAGCAGCGCGCAAAAAUACAGCGCGCGCGACUCGCUCCGCGCGCGCGACUUGGGUUUCGAAACAAUUAUCAAAAUGCAAUGAACAUUGAAAUUUGUCCACAAACAUCUUCCAACCAAGUCAUGCCCACAAGUUCAUCCAACCAAGUUCAAAAUGCAAAGUAAAAGUUCAAAACAUAUAAAUGAAAGACACAUCAAACAUCUUCCUCGUCUUCGUCCUCAUCUUCCGAAAAUGAAUCUUCCUCUCUAUCCUCAUCACGCAUCGCAUCACGUGAAGCUCCGACGGUGUUGACAAGAUCUUCAACGGUAUCUUCACGGGAAUGUGUGUGAGGAGGCACAUCAAAAGACAUUCCACCCAUGGCCGGAGGUGCACCCAUGCCUCCCAUAAGAGUAGCGAAACUCAUGCCUCCCAUAGCGGCCAUAGUGUCAGAGGGUGCUCCGAAGCCACCCAUGCCUCCCAUGGCGGUCGGAGGUGCGCCCAUGCCUCCCAUGGCGCCCAAGCCACCCAUGCCUCCCAUGGCGGCCGGAGGUGCACCCAUGCCUCCCAUGGCGCCGAAGCCACCCAUGCCUCCCAUGGCGCCGCCAAGGCCACCGCCACCCAUUGUGAGGAUCAUGGCUCUUUUUUGGAUCAAGACUUCUUCACGAGCAAGGUUGACAUAUUCCUUUUGCGCACCAUUGAACGAAGAUGUGUCCAAGAAGAACAAGUGCUUCUCCCAUUCCAACAACCUAGAUCGCUCCUUCAUGCCCACCUUCCUCUCCUCCAAUGCCACUUUCCUCUCCUUGGCGGCCACCCUCCUCUCCUCGGCCGCCAACCUCCUCUCCUCGGCCGCGGCAUCUUGGUUCCUUGCCAUUUUCCUCACCUCGUUGGCUUCUUUUCUUGCCUUCACAAUAGCUUCCAUAGCAUUUUUGAGCUCAUCAUCUCCUUUCCUCUUCUUCUUUUCGGUUUUGUCUUUCUUGCACCCAUCCGGUCGUUUUGGCUUCGAGUAUGAAACCGAGUUGGGUGUGGGGCUUCUCUUGCCGUCAUCACUUGAUGCAUCAUCCUCCUCAUCAUCAUCAUCCACCUUGCGUUUGUUGCUCAAAUGCAAAUCAUCCAAACCAUCACGAUUCUUCCAUUUCUCAUCAUUCUUUAACACUUCAUAGCAAUGAGACAAGGUAAAGACCCUUCCUUUCUUGAUCUUCCCUUUCUUGGUGGUCCUCGUCUUUUCUUUGAACAAGUUUUGUGCAAUGUUGAACUACAAGAAAAACAAAACAAGUUAGCACUUCGGACACCAAGAACAAGUAUGAGAUGAACAUAUAUGAGAUGACACUUACUCUAUCAUCCUCAUUUGUGCCACUUGGGUUAAUCUUGUCAACAGACUUUUGUGCGGCCGCCCACUUUUGACAAUCCGAGUUGAUUGUGAACCAUCAGGACCGAAGUGAUCUCUCUGAGCGGUCAAUUCCACUCAUGUUGUGAGCAUCAAAGUAUUCUUUCAUUCACCCCCAAUACGCAUCUCUACUUUGAUCACCUUCAAUGGAUGGAUCCCUUGACACUUGCAAAUAAGUAUUGCAUAGUAACUUGUCAUCGUUGGUGCUGUAAUUGCCCGCUCUUCCUUUCGGCGCGUCGACAAUGCCCUCACCCUCCUCGUCCACCUCAAAUUCAUGGUCUUCCAAAUGGAUGUCAUUGGUUUGAGACCAAUGCGAAUUGUUGGACCCAACACCCAUAGUUGACAUGUAUGCAUCAUCAUUGAGACUAAAAAAAUUUUUUGAACAAUGCACAUAAGCUAUCUAUAUGUGAUGAUGCAUUGAAAAACAAAAAGAAAAUAAAAGUUAGAAUUUUUUUCACCUUGGGGGCAUUUCGUCGAACACAUGGUGCGCGUCGGCGGCCGGCUCAACGAGUGAGCUCGUCGGCGCUUCGGUAGCCGCCGCGGCCGUCGAACGCCCUGCAAGCUUCUUUCCCCUCGCCUUCGUGCCGCCGGAGCCGUCCGCCGCCUUGUUUUUCUUCGCCGAAGUUUUGCCCUUCUUCGGCCGCGCUGCAUUGGGGAGCUUCGACGGUGCGGCGGCGGCAUGGGACGGCGCCGGCGCGACGCCACCCGUCGCCGUGGUCAUCAGCGGUGGCAAGAAGAGGCUGCGCGCGAGGCCGGCGCGAGGCGGAGCUCCGGCGGUGGCGACGCCAACGCUAACCGCGCUAGGGUUUCCGGCAGCGNNNNNNNNNNNNNNNNNNNNNNNNNNNNNNNNNNNNNNNNNNNNNNNNNNNNNNNNNNNNNNNNNNNNNNNNNNNNNNNNNNNNNNNNNNNNNNNNNNNNNNNNNNNNNNNNNNNNNNNNNNNNNNNNNNNNNNNNNNNNNNNNNNNNNNNNNNNNNNNNNNNNNNNNNNNNNNNNNNNNNNNNNNNNNNNNNNNNNNNNNNNNNNNNNNNNNNNNNNNNNNNNNNNNNNNNNNNNNNNNNNNNNNNNNNNNNNNNNNNNNNNNNNNNNNNNNNNNNNNNNNNNNNNNNNNNNNNNNNNNNNNUGGCGCUGGCGCCGGCGCGUGCGGGGCGUAGGAGGAGGAAAGGAGGAAAGGAGAGAGUACGGCGCGAGCGGUCGAGUGUGCCGCGCGCUGUACCAGGCGCCCGAAAUACGCCGCGCGGAAUGGCGUUUCCGACAGCGCGCCCAACUCGGUUUAGCGCGCGCGCCGUUAUUGCGCGCCCGCUAGAGCGACCCGCCGCGUUGCGCGUGCGCUAAAACCGACGAAUUUACGGCGCGGCGCUAGUUUAGCGCGGCUGUUGAAGAUGCUCUUAGAUACACAACGGCUGAACAAGGCGAUGUUGAUCAGACCACCUUCGGCACGAGCAAGUUGAUGCCAUCCCUGCAUGAUGCAGGAGGUGACCCAGUUGGCACCUCGUAAAACCAAGGUUGGAUGUGUUUCCUCGUACCUCCUAAUCCAAUUCUGCUCAUCGGCCAGUUGCCCUGUUGCCUCUAGUUGUUCCAAGAGGAUUUGAGUAUGGGACGAGGAGUUCGACCACUCGACGGUGUAUAAUAUAUAUUCUCCAUGACCUUUACAUGUAUUGUUGCCAGGGCAGAACAUGCUUCAUCAAUCUCUCCUUGGUUAUUCCAAAUGCAUUCAGCGUAUGGUUGGUCAGUCAUCGUUAAUGUGUGACAGAUGUUUGGUUGUUUUAGCCCGAAUGGGAAUGUGCUCCUCCCAUUUUCCUUUCUCAAGUCCGUCUGCGUCGGCUCAUCCAAACCGGGAUGUUUUUGAUUGUUUUAGUCAGAAUUUCCAGCCCAACAGAAAUUUUACGCAGAACUAACAAGUUAGAAGAAAAAAUUACAAAACCCAACAUGGAAGUACUAGGCUGACAGCAACGAGAAACGUAUUCGCGGCACAUAGCAGGAGGCAUUAAACACGGUCUCAAAACCUCCACAUACAUAGUCAGAUUCUUCCAAACAUGCAUCAUGGUUCCGAAAUAUCAAAACUGCAUCCACCAUCCACUUCCUAAUGUAAAGCAGGCUUAACAAACAAAACAUCUUCCGAAUACAAGGGGGAUCAUCGAUGAUCAACCUAGUUCAUCCUCCUGACGAGCUGGUUGAUGUAGUUCUCGCGGUUGCCGGCGUCACCACCCUCGACGUAGUGGUUCCUCUUCUUCUUGAGGCCUCCCAGCGGCGCCUUCAGCUUGAAUGGCCACAGGAAGUUGUUGGCCUCCUUGAAGUGAAGGCCAAUGGUCAGGAUCUCGUGGACAAGGUCCUUAAUGCAGAUGAUGUUGUGCUUUCCAAGACCCUGACAAUUAUUAGACAACCAAAAUUGUCAGAAUCACACCAAAGUUGCAUUUGGAGAUGCAAAGUAAAGAGCCAUAUGUUGGGCAAUCGACUGCUCACCUCCUUAGUGACCUUGUUAUUGGUUAGAGGAAUCCUUUGCUUGUUGAGCUUUCCAUAGCCUCUCUUGUAGAUCAAAUCCCUCACGAUCUUCAAGUUCGGGUACCUAUUAUAUCCGUUUAGCUCUAGUGCCCAUGCCAUGAGGUCCUCAAGUUGUCGCUAUGACGCGGAGUACGAAAAAUUGCUUCAACAUCAAGGGGAAGAAAAGCCUGGUGCGGGAGUGGUAUAUCCCUGCCAUGUUUGUCAUCCAUGAACCCAAAGACUCUCCGAUGGAGGCAUCUUCCCCGAGGAAUAACGGGUUUAGCCGAGAAGCAAGGAGGGAUCCAUGUAUAUUGCACCAAAUCCGGAAUUUAUGUCCAGCCAAUAUGCCAAAUCGGCCCUUACUGGAGAAGAUCGAAUCCUUGCUGACCUUGUGUGUGCCUCUUCAAAAAUGGUGUGACCGCACAGCCUGUUCUCCACCCACAUUACCUAUAUCAAAUGUUCAAGGUCUUCAGCAAUGUUUGUGGUCUUGAAUAUAUUUUUGAAUGAGAUUUUGGGAGGAUUAUUUCACGGUGUGCGUGGAAAACACAACAUGAUUGAACAAAUCCUAAGUACCUCACCUCCUUGAAGGCUAUGACUUAAUCACGCAUAGGCUACGUUCAACAAUGACAUAGUUCUGAUGAGUUCCGGUGGAACCUUCACAAGAACCGGAAGUUCUCAGUCAGAUCUAUAUACCGGAUUUUCCUCCACUAUGAUGCCCCAAUUAAUUGAAAAAAUAUGAAGCUUAAAACCCUUGUCCUCGUGGGGGCGCUAGCAUUGUAUUAGUGCCUUUGACUAUUUAAAAAUUAUCGGCUUUUUCAAAAGAAAGAAAAAAAAAACUCCAUUGUAGAUUGCCUUUUCAUGUAGCGCUGACUCUGUUUUUAGUGUACUCUACACCGACCGGAGCACCUGGCAGUUCCCUAUGCGAAAUGUAUGCAUAUGCAGCGUGCGUCCAAGAGAUAUUUACCAAACAUGGAUCGUCUUCAGAUCGGACUUCCGUCACAUUGAGUUGGCUGUGUUAUUUUCCUUUUUGUUGUAGACUAGCCAGUCUUGCCUGGGUUGUGUACGUUCUAGCGAUAUAGAGGCUAAUUGUGAACUUUUCACUUGUAUUGCUCUGGUGUGUGUUUUGUGUCAUGAAAACUACCUUUAUGAAAAAAGCAUUGUCACGCAUAUACAUUGCAGUCCUCGAAUUGUAGUCGUCUGGGGAUAAUGGGAUAUGCUUCCUCAUGAAGCUCCUAAACUCAUCGCACUUGUGCACUUAAUCUUGGGUCAUUGUUGUUUAAGCAAAUGAAAUGAUGUACUUUGUCAUUAACGGUGCUCUCAGCUAACCUAUCUUGCAUUCUCGCGUCAUACUACGAAACUGAUGUCCACGGCAGCUUCCAAGCCAGAACAUACUAGAAAAUUUCAUACUAGGACUUUGUUUGCCUUCUUUCGAUGUGCCAUGCUUGGCUUAAGGUCAAAACAUUAAUUCGCUGGCUACUAUAAUAUACUCCCUCUGUAAACUAAUAUAAGAGUGUUUAGAUCACUAUUUUAGUAUUCUAAACGCUCUUAUAUUAGUUUACGGAGGGAAUAGUAGCUAUUGACUGGCUAGUGUUUCUACUGAGAUAAACAAAACGUAUGGUCAUUAGUUUGUUGCUCUUGCAAACAACGCGGACAUAAAUCUCUACGAAAUCACAAAACCAUAUAUCAUUGAAGACUCUUACAGGCAAGAGCUAAUUUUUCAAAAAAAAAUGAAAGAGGAAAUAAAUAUAUAGAUUAGUUUGAAGGAAGUUAUUAUUCACGUUAAUAAAUCAGGCUUCAUUGUAUGUCUAAGUUAUUUAGAAUAUUUGUAAAAUAAAAUAAAUUGCACUGCAGCGAGUCACCGCCAACAUUCAGUUUUCUUAGCCCAUUGACAUUUCAUUGACAACCAAACCUCUAUACUAUUUCAAAGUUGCCACUGGGCAGUUGCAAAAGCAGGUACAACUGGGAGUCGAUAUAGGAGCAAACAUCAACAAUGAUCUUGUCAUGGCACAGGGGUUAGAGACACAACGGCUCAACAAGGCGCUAUUGAUCAGACCACCUUCGGCACGAGCAAGUUGAUGCCAUCCCUGCAUGAUGCAGGAGGUGACCUAGUUGGCACCUCGUCAAACCAAGGUUGGAUGUGUUUCCUCAUACCUCCUAAUCCAAUUCUGCUCAUCGGCAUGUUGCGGUAUUGCCUCUAGUUGUUCUAAUACUAGAGGAUGAACCAUUCUCGCUCUUAAGAGGAUUUGAGUAGGGGAUGAGGAGUUCAACCACUCGACGGUGUACCGUUGACCUUUACAUGUACCGUUGCCAGGGCAGAACGUACUUCAUCAUCAAUCUCUCCUUGGCGUAUGGUUGGUCAGCAAUCGUUAAUGGGUGACAGACGUUUGGUUGUUUUAGUCCGAAUGGGAAUGAUUUGAGUGGGAAUGUGCUCCUCCCAUUUUCCUUUCUCAAGUCCGUCUGCGUCGGCUCAUCCAAAUCGGGAUGUUGUUUGUUUGUUUUAGUCAGAAUUUCCGGCCCAACAACAGAAAAUUUUACGCAGAACUAACAAGCUAGAAGAAAAAAAUUACACCACAUGAAGUGCUAGGCUGACAACAAUAAGAAACGUAUUCGCGGAACACAGCAAGAGGCAUUAAACACGGUCUCAAAACCUCCACAUACAUAGUCACAUUCUUCCAAAAACAUGCAUCAUGGUUCCGAAAUAUCAAAACUGCAUCCACCAUCCACUUCCUAAUGUAAAGCAGGCUUAACAAACAAAACAUCUUCCGAAUACAAGGGGGAUCAUCGAUGAUCAACCUAGUUCAUCCUCCUGACGAGCUGGUUGAUGUAG